rnacentral:lncRNA from 1 species
ACGCCGGCUUCGCCAGGAGCCGCCAGUCAGGCUGCCCUCGUGCUACCGGCUCAGGCGACAACAACCUGGCGCCGCUAGACCUGCAAACCCCCACGGUCUUCGAGAACGACUACUACAUAAACCUCGUCCAGAAGAGGGGCCUCCUGCACUCAGACCAGGAGCUCUUCAAUGGUGGCGCUGCCGACACGCUGGUCCGGGAGUAUGUCGGUAGCCAGAGUGCCUUCUUCAAGGACUUUGUGGAGGGAAUGAUCAAGAUGGGGGACAUCACGCCGCUGACGGGGUCGAACGGACAGAUCAGGAUGAACUGUAGGAGGGUCAACUAAGAUUGUUCUCCCCUUUCCGCAGCAACAAUCCGAUGUUGUUACCAUGCUUGAUUUGCCCCUUUUCACUUAAACUCGUUUGUUUCCUUUUCUUUUAAGGUUAAAAUGUUAAAAUAUAUUACAAUACUGCCCUUUUGUGGCAUGUUCAUGGAAGAACUGAACAUGGAUGCACUGGCAAAAGAACAAAGAGCAAAGUGAGAUAUGACAAAUCAACAAUUUUAAUGUAUGGAGUGGCAAAUACUCAAAUUAUUAAGUAAAGAGGGGCUAAAGAUCAAAUCCCAUAUGCUUGGAACUCAAGUUAUGAUCAACUCUGAUAAAGUCCCCACCACACACUACCGACAAAGAACCCAUGGGUUCCCCUCCCUCCGCCCGCCACUUAUAAAGAUAUCACUUGGAAAAUAAAAACACUUGGCACAGAUCAUGUAGAACAUGACACCAACGAAUAAAGUAUGAUAUGCAGCAGAGUUUAAGCAUGAUAUCGAACAAAGAAUAGAGUUUACAAGACAUACAAGAGAUUAUAAGUAAAGACGCAAGUCUUGUAACACACACUAUACACUUUUUGUCAUCCAUUGGCAUCAAAGACACCAAAAUGUGAGAAAAGUUAACUACCCAGUCCAUUGAACUAUGCACUGGCCGAAGAAGGAGAACUCUCUUCAUCUUAUGACCUCCAGUAACUUCUCAGUCUUCAUGUACAUAGGCAGUUGGGAAUGUCCAUUUAAUUAUAUUCUAUAUUUAAAUAUCUAGCUUCCACUAACCCAUUUCUCUUAACAUGCAAGCAUGUCAUCUUAGCAAGCAACAUGCAUGGGAAAAUACCCACCUCAAAAUACAAUCAUGCAUAGGAGAAAACCCAACUCAACAUGCAAACAUGCAUUAAUUUUUAUUUCAUUGGGCUAUUUAUAUUUAAUAAAUAUUUUAGAACUAUACAAUAAGCAUUAGAAAAUAUAUUUAUUUUUAGUUAUAGUUCUCAUAUUAUUACUAUAAUCAUGCAUAGGAAAAGGUCCAUGUCAACAUGCAUGACAAUUCAUUCUAUUAUUCUAUUAUGCUCUUUAUAUUUUACAAAUAUGUUACAACUAUACAAUAAUGAAACACAAUAAAAUAUUACUCCAAAUAUAAUGCUUCAUACAAUCAAAUAUCAUUGAAAUAUAUUGCAAAAUAUUUCCACAACAAUGUGCGAGGUCAUCUAGUUUUAAGAAAUAGAAAGGAGCUCAAUUGCUAAAAGUGACUAAUUCAUUCCCAGUCUGUUAAGAAAGUCAGGCAUCAACCAAAUUGGAACUCAGGUUAUGACCAAUCUGAUACUUUGUACCCGAAUAUGUGUUUCUCAAUGCGGAUCCCCAAAUCUAUAGAAGAUUUACUUCGGCAAAUUAGACUUGAGAAAAAGCUAAUUCGUAUAGUAAAUAAAAACAGAGAGAUUAUAUCUAUCUUCCAUGCAUAUAAUAUUAGUCAUCGACCUAGAUCUUCUAGAGCUUAGACUCUAGAGUUGAAGUCAACUUUAUUUCUCCCAACUAACUGCCCGUUUGUCUUAUUAAUUGUCUCCUUUGACACAGCCAUGCCCCACAUGCUACUAGCAAGCUACGUGUACAAUCAAGUAAAUAAAACAGAUUUAUGCAUUGUCACAACCGAUAAGUGACAAAUUCCCCCCACAUGCAUUUAGUUUAUACACAGUGUUUGUGGACGUGAUUUUUUUUUCAAGCACAAAUAGUAUGUGUACAUGCAGCUCCGGAGCAACAGAGAAAGUGUUAGGUGGACAAGAACACAACACAAAAUAUUACCCUCAAUCGUCAAGUCUUGCAAGACAAUUGUUGAUGUGGAGAGCAGGGACAAAGCCAGGAUUUUACAUCGAGGGGGGCAAGUAAGACUGGCUUGGUAUUAUGAGUUUAAUGAGGGUUCUGGAAGUGCUAAAAUACCAUGAACAUGGUGUUCUAAUGAGUGGUGGCAAAAAAAAAAGAGUAGUAAUAUGAAGGAAAUCUGAACCUUGGGCAUGGCUUAGCCCCUGUCCCUGGUGGAGAGAAUGAGAGAGACAAUGAGAGAUGGGACUUACGAGUAAUAUAAUCUAAAGAGUAGAGACACCCAACCUACUCUGUGAGUUAGUUUGUUCGUUUGACUCAAGAUGAUAGUGGAUGAACAGUCAACAAUCGAUUCUAACGUUACGAUGUUCAAGUUUUUUUAGGGUGUAUUUGGUUGGAGGAAUACCAUGGAUGGUUUGGGGUUAUCCUUGUUUUUUUGGCUCAUCGGGUUGUUUGGUGAACACUUGUCACACAUAGACUCAACAGUACUAUUCAAAAAGGAAAAGAGAUAGACUCAUUUUUUUAAAUGCAUGUCACUUCAUUAAGAGAGAACGAUAAUUUGAUUACCAGAGGGUUGCAAUAGAGUUCUGAAGCCCCUAACGGCACAAAACCGCAUCCACAUAUACGAAAUGAACAUGUUGACUACUCCCUAUCACCCAGAGUUCUAAGGAAGAAGAAGAAGAUAGAAGGCCGGUCUGUGUAAAAGUUGCCCCUACCUCGUCCAGACAGCCAACACGGGACGCGAUCCUCAGUAGUGACUCGAAGAGAAUAGUAGUAGCGACAAGAAUAGCACCGGCAUGGCAACGAUCCGGGAGCAACAUCAACGCUCAGCAUCGGUCCUACAAAUCGCACAUUAGUGGCAAGAAGCGCAGCAGCAUGGCAAUGAUUCGGAAUCACCGGUAGCGGUGCAUUGCACUUAGUUUUGGUUGCAUGCAUGUAUCGCGCGUCAGCAACAUCACGACACCUUUUGUUUUGUGCUCAUGGAGUAGUUGUGGCUAAUCGGGUCCCAGAGGCAAUACACAGUCAUGGCUUACUAGUGGCCACCGGAUGCGGGCGGCAUGACAGUCCGGAAGGCGGUGCUCGUGCCAUUGCAGUGGUUGGCGGUAGACGGUCCCCACAUCUAGCCCGUGGGUUGCUCCUCUUGUGUGUAGUCAUAGUGGUGCGGUUUGGUCUGAGUGACAACGUGCAUAGCCAUGGUGGGUGGCAGGUGUGGCCUCUCGACUGUCGUCAUUGCCCUCCUCCACCCAGUCGUCCGGCGCAACUCCAAUUUGCUUGACAUUGGAUCUUGGCGGUACGACAACAUCCAGCGACAAGAUAGAGUCUCAGGUCUGGACAACUGCCAUCUACAUCCCCAUGAAGCAGUCUUCCGCUCGAUAACGCAUGUGUUAUGCAUGUGGUCUUGGGUUUGCUGGCAAGGGUGGCGACACGUGGUAGUGUUGUCUCCUACAUAUCUACCAUCGGCUACCACUAGAGAGAUCAAUCCAGCGCUACCAGGUCAUCCUAAACUGGGCUUUUGGCGGUGCCGAUGACCUUCCACUAGUAGAAAACAAGGCUUUGGUCCAGGCCGGGCUAGCCCAUUAGUCCCGGUUCAGUCAUGAACCGGGACCCAUGGGGCAUAGGUCCCGGUUCGUGAGACCAGGGGCCAGCCGGGCCUCGUGGGGCAUUGGUCCCGGUUCGUCUGGACCCUUUGGUCCCGGUUCCAGACACGAACCGGUACCAAUGGACCUCGCUCCUGGCCCACAACCAUUGGUCCCAGUUUGUGGCUGGAACCGGCACCAAUGAGAUGCCUAUAUAUACCCCCUCGCCCACGAGCAGAGCAGUGGAGAGUGCUCUAUUUUUCUGGCCGGCCGUGGGAGAGCUUUGUGGUGCUCUAGCUCACCUCCUAUGCACAUGAGGUGUUCGAUGAAAUGCCCGAGCCACAAUUAAGCUUUCUCCUCUCGAAGCUCCUUGUCCAAACUCCAUUUUCCUCGAGAUUUUUCUAUGUUUGGCGGUCCGUCCUGUCCCGUCCCCGUCCUCACCGCCGUCGAUCGCCCACGCCGAUCUUGUCGCCGGCACCACCGUGGUGAGCCUCUUGAUCUUAUCUUCUUUCUAAAAUAAAAAAGUUCUUACUUGUAUGAUUUAGAUAGAUACUUGUGUACUUUUCUUACUUUUAUUAUUGUUUUUUAUUAGAUAGUGUGAUGGUUUUGGUAUCCGCCUCCGUCGCCCUUGUCCUGUCUAUGAUUCCACUACAAAAAAAGACACAUCCGUGACAUUUUGGGCCGAACGAAUUUUUUUCUGUCAUACAUAUGACACUUCUAUGACGAUAAUUGUGACAAAACCCGGUAUCAUCAUAGAUGUGGUGGGCUCCUACUUCUAUGACAAAAAAUCAUGACAGAAAAUGGGCUUUUCGUCCUGGGCGGGCCGGAGACGCAGCUGCAUGACAUUCUUUGGGCCGUUCAUGACGGAAAAAACCGUGGUAGAAGCGAGGGCGAGGAAAAUUUCGGGGAGUUCCCGGUUACGGUGGGAGGUCGGGGGCCGAGCGAUGCGCGUUUCUCUCGUACACGUAUGCGCGUGUGUGCGAGGCGUUGGCUCUAACUGAACCCGAGCGAGGCGUUGGGCUCUAACUGAACCCGAGCGAUUGCACUGCAGGCUAUGCGUUACUGAACCCGAGCGAUCGAUCGAUGACUGUUAACUGAACCCGAUCGAGCGAUUCCUUCGCUACUGCUGCUAACUGAAGCCGAUUGAUUGGANNNNNNNNNNNNNNNNNNNNNNNNNNNNNNNNNNNNNNNNNNNNNNNNNNNNNNNNNNNNNNNNNNNNNNNNNNNNNNNNNNNNNNNNNNNNNNNNNNNNNNNNNNNNNNNNNNNNNNNNNNNNNNNNNNNNNNNNNNNNNNNNNNNNNNNNNNNNNNNNNNNNNNNNNNNNNNNNNNNNNNNNNNNNNNNNNNNNNNNNNNNNNNNNNNNNNNNNNNNNNNNNNNNNNNNNNNNNNNNNNNNNNNNNNNNNNNNNNNNNNNNNNNNNNNNNNNNNNNNNNNNNNNNNNNNNNNNNNNNNNNNNNNNNNNNNNNNNNNNNNNNNNNNNNNNNNNNNNNNNNNNNNNNNNNNNNNNNNNNNNNNNNNNNNNNNNNNNNNNNNNNNNNNNNNNNNNNNNNNNNNNNNNNNNNNNNNAACAGUAGACGAUGGAGGGGUGGUUGAACAGUAGCCGGUGGAGUAGCACGCGGUGGAGGCUGGAUGAACAGGAGCCCGUGGAGGCUGGAGGAGGUCGACGGUAGCCCGUGGAGGCUAGAGGAGGUCGACGGUGGAGAUGAGCAGUAUCCCGUGGAGUCCCGUUUUGCGGUACGCCACACCCCUCCCGAUGAACAGGACCCCCGUUUUGACCGUAGGAGGUCCGUUUCAUCUGUUUUGCGGUACGCCACACCCCUCCCGAUGAACAGGACCCCUGUUUCGACCGUAGGAGGUCCGUUUCGUCCGUUUUGCGGUACGCCACACCCCUCCCGAUCAACAGGACCCCCGUUUCGACCGUAGGAGGUCCGUUUCCUCCGUUCUGCGGUACGCCAUGCCUCGUUUCCAUCGCCUGUUCCGUCCAAGCCCUCCCGAUGAACACGACCACGCAUUCCGUUCCGACCCAGCCGGUUGGCUCCCACGCGUUCCGUUGCCUCCCGAUGAACACGACGCAUUCCGUUGCCUCCCCAUGAACACGACGCAUUCCGUUGCCUCCCCAUGAACACGACGACGAUGCUGUUUCUCCGUUCCGACCCAGCCAUGUACACGAGCCCUGGCCGUACGUAUGCGCGAGUAGACGUUCGAGACCCCGCCCGUAUGUACACAUACGUGGCCGUAUUUUCUUUCUUGCACCCUGGCCGCUGUACGUACGUGUACAUGCUAUACGCGCGCCUCUACUACGACACGUACGCGCCUCUACUACGACACGUACGCGUCUCUACUACGACACGUGCGCGCCUCUACAUCCACCAGUAUAUAUGUAUGUACAGUUCGCGACCAGAAUGACAACGCUACGUACGCUUCGACCAGGUGGGUCCCGACUGUCAGACACUUCCUUGCGUGCGAAGAUGUAGCUGGUGGGUCCCUGCAGUCAGGGGGGCGAAUCGUUUUGUUUUUUUGCCCGGACGCACUUCCUUGCGUGCGAAGGUGUAGCUGGUGGGUCCCAGCAGUCAGGGGGGAAACGUUUUUUUCGCAAAAUACGGUGGCCCGUCCGGUGGGUCCCCGCUGUCAGGUGGAGGAAUAAUUAUUUUGCACGUAAUAAGGAGGCACUUCCUUGCUGCGGCCGUGGACCCAGCUGUCAGCCUCUCCACGUACAGUCCACGUCCGAUGAAAGCCAUUCCUUGACCACGUUGACCACGCCGCGCCGAGAGCACCAGGGCGGUGGACGACGGCGAGGCCUAGGAAGGGGAUGACGCGGAGCCGGGGAAGCCGCGGCAGUGGAUGCCCACGCGGAGAGGAGUACGAGGGUUCACUGGUUCGGCUGCGGUGUGAGGCUGCCGUCGCCGCAGAAUAACAGGGGGAGUGGGUGAGUGGAGGGAUGGCCUGGCCAGCGGUGGGAGUAGUAUGGGGACGGUGAGGCAUCCGCGGCAGCACAGCCGGCCACGGGAGGCAGGAGCAUGCGGCACGACCGGCGCUGCUUUGGGCGGCUGGGGCAAGAAGACCAGAGGUUGAAGAAGCACUACGGCCGUUGGAUGGACAUCGUUGACCACGACGCGCCGAGAGCACCAGGGCGGUGGACGACGGCGAGGCCUACGAAGGGAACGACACGGAGCCGGGGAAGACACGGCAGUGGCUGCCCACGCGGUGGAGAGUACGAGGGGUGACUGGUUCGGCUGCCGUUGCCGGAAAAUAACAGGAGGUGUGGGUGAGUAGAGGGAUAGACAGGCCAGGGAUGCGAGUAUGAUGGGGCUGUGAGGCCUGCCCGGCAGCACUGCCGGCCACGGGAGGUGGGAGCAGGCGGUUCCGACGGCGCUGGUUUGGGCGGCUGGGGCAGGAAGAUCAGAGACUGAAGAAGCACGAUUGCCGUUAGAUUGACAUCUAAUGGUCUGACGCUGGUAGAGUCGAUUGUUGACUAAGUUUCUUUUUUGAGAAACCUUGUGUAUGCAUGAACUUAGUAGGCCCACAAGUCAGCCUCCAAAUCUCUGGCAGACAACAUAAAGCCCAUUUGCUAUUUUUUAUAAUUUGCAGCCCAUUUGCUAAUUCUUAAGUAAUUUAUUACAGCCCAUUUUCUGCCGAGGACCACGGUCAAAAAGUUCAACCUUAUUUUGCAUAUUUCGGUGGAGUCCGAACUGUUGUAAUCCCGAAAUGAUAAACAUUUUUUAAGAACUUAUUGAUUUGCCAAAAAAAUCGUUUUGUUUUUGUAAGCAAAUAAGGCGUGGGACAAUUGAGUUGGUUUAAGGGAAAACCAGUGGUAAAAAAAUCAGCGCUGGGUGGGAAAAAACAACAAAAAUAAGGAUGUAAAUAUGAAAAGGGAAUUUUAUGUGUUUUCAAUAUAAUGAUACGUGUAUAUGACUAGUAAAACUAUAGGUAGAAAUUAGAAAACGGAUGUAGGACAUGCGUUUCAAGAGGAAAAUCGAACUGGGCUGUGUGUUUGAUUCAGUAAAAAAACUGCCUGCGGAUGUUGUAAGACAAAAUAUAACUAACGCUGGCGGGCCAGAGGCCAGUAGAUACCUGCUGGAUCUUUGUGCCCCGUUGUCGUCAUGGGCUGGGCCUGUUAAAAACAAAACCAACCCUGGGCAGUCUACAGCCCAGUUGAAACUUGCUCGACCUGAAAAAACAAUAUACGUGCUCAAUAAACGAGAGAAUUCUGCAAGUACAGACUGAUAACUGGGAUGCAGCACGGAUAUUGUUUUUUUAUCGUGAUAAUAAGUGCAUGCACUUGUUUCGAAAAAAUUGGAGAACUGGGAAUUCGAACAGCGGGUGCUUAUGCUACCCAUCAAAUAAAAAUCAGGUGCCUAAAAAUUCGUUUCGAAACAAAUGAUUCAGCUUUAUAUCCACGUCGACCCUCGGCAUGAUGGUUGGAAGCAAAUGCAAGUUCAUACCAAAAGAUCGUUAACAACAAUACCAACUUGCGGACGAUAAGGUAGUACAACUACCAAUACCAAACUAACUUAUAAUGUUUUUACUCCUGGCCCUAGUGUUCGUCUGGUAGAAAAUCUUGCAGAGGACCAGCUCCCGCUCCUUCUCUUGCUCCAGGUCCCCGAGGUGGUACUGGUGCAUCACCCAAUUGGUCCUCUGCUGGUCGAAGUUCUUGUUGGUGUGCAGCACCAGAACCUUUUUUGCUGCCCGUUUGCCGGCCGUUGACCAUCACCGGCAAGGUAUUGCCGGUCUUGUGCCACAUCGCGUGCAUGCCGCACUCCGACUGUAUCUUGUGACGCGUCCACGUGCCCCUUUUGAACGCCCUGGAAUUGCGCUGGAAGAAAUGCUUCCUUAGGCCACUCAGUGUGAUACCUGCAGUAUUGUGGAAUACAAGUUUUAGUGUACCUAGUUGGCAUUUUCAUAACAUCUUUGGCAUGUUGCAGUCACUUGUUUCACCUUUUAUUAACUGUCAAAUUGUAAUUGCUUCACCAGGUCUGCGUCUAAAAAGAAAAAUAGAGCUAUAAACAAAGGAAUAUGUUUGUGCAAGUAGACGGCCGAUCGGUGUCUUACCUGGAAGUUUCUCAGGUUAGGUGUAGCAUAUGCCGUGCUCGCUGUCAAUGGUUGGUAUGAAAAAAUCGAUGAGAGACUGAAAUCUCGCGCUAUCAGCACUCACUUUGGCCUCAAGGUGCCCGAUCAGCUCCUGAUCCGUGGGAUCGAACUUGACGCCAGCCGGUAGCACCGGCCAAUCCUUCUUCGACUUGCAUCGGUAAUUGUAGUUAUAUGGUACUCAAUGUAUGAUCAAUCGACUGUUUUAAGUGAAUGAUGAAAGAUUUCGACAGAUAAGUGGUACUCCAAAUCUGAAGUCCAGAAUACCCGAACACGCCGCCGGGAUUCUUGUGUCACCUCACCCGCAGCGUGUUGUCACGUCAAUUCAAUGUGUGGACAUGAUGAAUAAUUUGACCGACGUAUACUAGUACUGCUACUGUACUACUUACUAGUCGUAUUUAGUGUCACAAUUUAUACAUAGGUUUAACUAACAAGUACGCACUUGAAGCCUAACUGAUAUAUAUAUAUGGCUUCUGCACAGCAUCUCCAUCAUCAUUAUCAGUACAUCCUACGCAGGUGAGUUAGGAUGCACUUGAUCCCAGGAAGGUAUCUAUCCUUCAAACCAGAGGAGUGCUUCAAACUAACAACAAUACAUAAUAUCCAACAAAAGAGGGUCAUGCUACAACAUCAGAAUACAUGGCUCAGUCUAGAUAUCAGCACGAAUCAAGUUGUGCAUAUUUGCUGUUGGCAUGAACCACAUCGCCGCAUGUCGGGUUUGCAAAAGCCAUCCAUCGCAUGGAAGCUUGAUGCCUUUCACACACUGAAGAUUAUCUGGCAACAAGCUGUGUCGACGAAUCUCUGGAUAUGGUGAUUCAUGAAACCCAUGGUAUGAUGUGUNNNNNNNNNNNNNNNNNNNNNNNNNNNNNNNNNNNNNNNNNNNNNNNNNNNNNNNNNNNNNNNNNNNNNNNNNNNNNNNNNNNNNNNNNNNNNNNNNNNNNNNNNNNNNNNNNNNNNNNNNNNNNNNNNNNNNNNNNNNNNNNNNNNNNNNNNNNNNNNNNNNNNNNNNNNNNNNNNNNNNNNNNNNNNNNNNNNNNNNNNNNNNNNNNNNNNNNNNNNNNNNNNNNNNNNNNNNNNNNNNNNNNNNNNNNNNNNNNNNNNNNNNNNNNNNNNNNNNNNNNNNNNNNNNNNNNNNNNNNNNNNNNNNNNNNNNNNNNNNNNNNNNNNNNNNNNNNNNNNNNNNNNNNNNNNNNNNNNNNNNNNNCCCCCCACGAAUGGAAGUUGCAUAACACAGUAAUCAUCGCCGGUGAUAUGAUCGAUGAUUGGUUGGAUGAUCGGAUAAUUGAGCCCGAGGAACAAGGAGUGGUUGCCGAGGCUGUAAACCCGCCUCCAGUUGAAUACGUCUGGCCCAACGGAGCCGGGAUCUUUCUCGAACACGAAGCAGCCAUAGCCAUCAAUGUCACGAACGCCCCACGCAUUGUACUGCAUGUGGUUUGAUGUAAUGGUUUGGUCAAUUUGGUACGUGCGAAUGAGCAUCAAAUGACCACCGUCAGCUGAACGAGCGAUAAACCACCACCCAUCGGCUGGUAUGAUUCCAGGUCCUGGAAUCAUGAAGGCCAGCGCAUUUGCGUCUGCUGCAACAAUUCAAAUUGGAGACCAAAAGGACAAAAAUAAACAAUCAUGUUCAGAGUAUGUGUGGAAUUAAGAUUAUUAUAACAGUGACACAUAUCAUAGACAGAAAAUUGCAAUGCCGUGGUCAUAAUCAUACCCCAAGAUAAAAAAUAAGCCAAUGUCUUUCAUAUUCUAGCAAUAUGUCAUGGUUCAAACAUCAUGUAACAAUGAGAGGAAAACAGCUAUGACAACGCCUACUCAUAUUCUACCAUAGCACUUACUACUACUGUUCUCAUAUCAACUCUAAGCAAUAACAUGCGUUGUUAUAAAAAUCUUGUAAACGAGAGUAACAUAUAGCAAUCAUGAUGUUAUGCUCAUAAUAUGUAUUCUAACAAUCAUUAGAUGCCAAUUCUUCUCAUAUCAACUCUAACAAUAACAUGUGUGGUCAUAAAAAUCUAGGAAAUGAGAGGAACAUAUAGCAAUGAUGUGGUUAUAGACAUGCUAGGCAUUCUAAAUUUGUAACAAAUGAACAGGCAGUCGUAUUCAUAAGGUAAAGAUGAGAUGAGAUAGAACAAUUACACGACGAUAGAUUCCACCAGUAUAGGCAGCCAAUCUAUGCGUCGACCGCUUAAACGAUGCCAUCGUGCACUAUAGCAUCAGACAGAAAUGUUGCCUCAUCAGGAUUGAUGAUGAGCCAUAACCAUGUAUGGCGACCGGAUUCCAGAUAGACUAAUCCCAUGUUGAACAAGGCAAUGAGCUUGUAAUCCAUGUAGUCUUCUGAUGGUGUGGGCACUUCGCAGAUUACAACUUUCUGCAGCAGAGGUCGAGCCAAAAGAUUGACGCGUCUCGUGCGUAGUAGGCAGGAGUGUCCGGCGGGCCGCGAGGCUCGAUGGCGGCGGUAUCCAAUGAUGGAAGGGUGAUCUCUCGCUGGGUGUAGAUAUCCACGAGAUGCCACGGACUACCGGUGUGGUGGAUGAGGACGAUCCAGUUGGCCUUCAUGCCCGCCCAGUAGUGGCCGCGCAUGAAGGACAGGUGGACGGGUAGUGGUAGCAUGUCGAGGGGCACCACGGCAACCUUCGUAGGAUCGUCAAGUCGGUAUCUGGGCCACCUGCGAGGAUCAGGCAUCAGCAAGCAGGGUGUCUUGAAAAGAGCCGGCCGGUUGCAGACGAGUAGACGGUACAAAGACACCGAGCAUGCGGCCAGAUGGACGGUGCUGAGUAGGUCCAUAUGACUACAGAUCUGCUCCAAGAGAACAUCGGGGAGGGAAUUCCAAUCGCGGCUCUGCGUGUCAGUCGGUUCUGCCAUUGGGGUUUUCGGUGCCUGUGAGCCAGCGGGGAAGUGGAUUCGGGCGGGCGAGCGAAGAAGCUUCUCCUCGUGUGGCCAAGCCGUGAGCGGGGGGAUAUGGUACGCGCGAGCUACCAAGGAAGAUGGCGUGGGCGGGCGAGCAGUGAGCGGGUGUAAAUGGUGUGCGGUCGACGAUGGGGAAGAGAGGAGGAAGAAGAAGAGAGGAGGAAGAAGAAGAGAGGAGGAAGAAGAGUGGAAGACGGGGAAGAAAGUGCAUUCAAUCUCAAUUCUACUAGUACUACUACCAGGAUAUACCGUCCUUCGGAGUGUAAAUAGUUACACCGAUGACAUGUGGGUCUACCACAACAGGGCCCAUAUGUCAGUUAAUGGAGGACAGAGGUGCGUAGGCGUAUUUGCGGAAGCGUGCUCUACUGGCAAACAUGAUGGCAGUACUGGGUAAGGCUGAUUUAGUAACACCAACACGCUGGUUCAGCUUAUUAAUUACGUGUCCCAUCUGCCGCAGCAUGUAUUCUCACUUCACUGCGAAGACUAGUUGAAUAGUUCUCUCUGACCGAGAUGGGGAAUAAUGGAUCGCGAGGACUUUCUUUCUACAGUAUCCCUAUGCCUCUAUGCUCACUUCACUCAUUUUGCUCCGUACCUAGUCACUUGUUGAAAUAUGUAGAAAGACAAAUACUCCGUAUUUGGGAACAGAGGGAGGCUUUUACUCCGUACUAUUUGGGAACAGAGGGAGUAUCACCAUAUGGAGGGAACAUAGGAAGCCUGAAAUAUGAACAUGUCAAUGGGAGGGAGUAAGCCCCAUGCAUGCAUGCAUGCAUGCAACAUGCAACACUCACACGUACACAUGGACGCACGCAACACUCACGCACCCAUGCGGCACACAGCACACGACACAACACACACGCUCACGCUCAAGUGCUCAACCUACUCCCUACGUCCGUGAAAGACUGUACAUUUAGAGAUUUACACAUUGACCAGGGCAUAAUUAACGCCCAAAAGUAGCAGACUUAUGUGUGCAUGCGACCAUUGAGAUAAGAAGAUUAAAUGAAGGCCGUUGCAUGCUGUAAUUAAGGAUAGACAUGUAGCCUAUACCUACAACACAAGUUGGUGCAUUAGUCAAUCAAUAUCGAUUUAGAUUAAAGGCUAAAUGCAUUGGAAGUGUAGAUGUACAUCAUGUACUACACUCUUUGUUUUAUAGCCGAUGUACACUCUUUGUUGGAAGACCGAGGGAGGACACGUGCAUGCACUCACAUACACAGCCAGGGCGGUUCGCGCGCAAGGGUUCGACUCGUGUCGCGCCUGCGUAAAGUUUUGUUUAACUGAUUUCUUUGCUCUGCUAACUGACAGGUGGGACCCAGAAACCAGGUGACAAUUUAACCAGUCAACAAAGUGCCACGUCGACUAUGUGGCCGGUCAGUAGGGUGCAAUACGGUGCUCUACGAUGAGCUAGUGAUCGUAUAAUCGCCGCAAAACUAUAUAUAGUGACCGUAAAGAGCGUAUUGUUACAUACGUUGACCGCCAGUGUAUUUUUCUCGUUUCAAGUUAAGCCAUAUUAAUCGGAAAGGACGCAGUAUGGACUACUACUACUAGUACUAGUACUGCUUUGAUGUGUCCCGUCAACUCGCCGAAUGAGGAGAAGCUUGCUUACUACGCCUCUCCCUCGCCCACGCGCGCGGUGGUUCGCAGGACGAGGAGAGGGUUUUGACUACAGCGCCCUCUCCCUCUCCCUCGCCCUCGCGGUGGACGUGCAGCAGUUCAAUCGGUGUCAGAUUGCCAGAAGCAUAUUGUACUGUAGUAUCAUCAUUGUUGGACCUUCCGAAGAGGCGAAGAGCCAAGUGCAAGGUUCACAUGAGUACGAACUGUUGAACCUCCGGAAGAGGCAAAGAGCCAAGCGCAAGGUUUUAUAGGAUUUGUCGUCCUAGUAGGAGUGUACUACAACUAUAGCGAACGAUGCUACUGUAUGAUGCUGCCACGUCACGUAUAUCCAAAGCUGUGCCACCUUUUUUUUCUCAAAGAGCGUGUUGGAGCCCGUGAAACAACCACACAAGUUGCACGUACACAUAACACAUUUACUUGUAAUAAAUUCUAAAGGACAAAUGCCAGUAUGCCACACAAGUUCAUCUCCAAUUCAUGUGAUAAAUUUGUGCACGACUAGUCUACAUAUAUUCACAGCGCUACCGUUCACAAUUACCGUACUCCACUUACACGUUAUAGAUGGGCUACAUGUCCUCCUCCAGGUUCCAGUCCCAGGUGUUCUUCAUGGACGGCACGAUCCAUAGCGGUGGGCAACGGGAAUCAUUGUCGCAGCUUUCUAGUCCGGUUCCACACGAUGGAGACUCAUCCAAGCUGAAGCGGCAUAAAUCAGGGAUAGCGUGUCCCAGCAUGUCGUUCAUCCGGCGGUGCGCACUGAAGACACAACCAUGCUUCAUGAAUGGCAGGCCUUCUGUGUCGUGCACGGAAGGUGGCAUCCGCUUCACAAUGGGGUAGCUGUCCCCGAUGAAAAGCGAGUACUCUCCAAGAGUGUUCCUCGGCACCCACGUAGCAUCACGGGGGUCGAACUCGGCGCCGUUCAUCUGGUACACGCGGCAUCCCAGAUCUGGACACAUGGUGACGUACAUAGUCAAGGUCCAUGCAUAAUAAUGUUAUGCUCAAAUAUGGCGAUCCGUAAUACUGUGCAGCAAAUAGUACUACUCCGGUAUAGAGGAAGUAAAAUAACCGGCUUAUUAUAUAUAGCCACUCUUGGCUACAUGGAUGAGAUAGUAAGACAUGGAAAAACAAAAAUGGUGGCAGCUAGUGGGUUCAAGUCUUCAUGGGCCUAGCUAGCUAUACGCGUCCUCCAAGGUAAAAAGUACUCCUACUAGUACUACAAAGUAUACUACUAGUACAACAAUGAAAGAGAAGGCGAGAGGGUUAAAAAAUGGAAUACCUGGGUAGAUGGUGACGGUCCGAUCGUGGUAGAUUGUGUGACCAUGUUGCACAUCAGUGGUACCAUGGGUAACGACUGCUAAGAUAGUUGAUCCCAAUAUGCCAAAGUCAGCUACAAGGUUCCAGGUUAGACCGAAUCGCGGAUGCAAAUGCACAUCUAGGAUCGGCGAUCUUAUUUUGAUCGGGGGAUGACUGGUCCCUACAAAAUAAUGGAGUACCGUUAGGGAUGCAAAUGAUGGUUUGUGCAUUCCGUUUGUAAUCUCCCAUACCGUAGGAUGGCAACAAGAUGAAACAAGUCCCCUGGCUUGUCACCGCGAAGAUGCGGCCUAGAUGGCGCACGGCGUCUUCGAACGUGUAGGGGUACAAAUCUGCCGCCGCCAACAUGCGCCAGCCUCUGCCGUUACUGCCUCUUGCAUUGACGGCAAUCCUUAUGUCGAACACCGCGAUGAGAUAGUAAUCGUCAUAGCCGCGUCGCUUUGUCGGCGGGUCCGCAAUUGCUAUCUUCUUCAAUCUCAUGUAGGCAUCAUCAUACGUAUUCAAGCCCAGCCAGUCCGGAAGGCCGAUCCCAAUGGUGGAGAAGGGGUCUACCGGAACGGGCGCACUGCUGUGGAUGUUGUGCAAAAUGAUGGUGGUAUCCGGCCGGAGGUAUGCAAGCCAAUCUUCGUUCGCACCAACCCAGACCUAUAUAUAAGACGGUGGGCAGCGGAGAAAUUACGGGAUGGAAAUGGAAUAACUAAGUACUACAUGAUCAAACUCCAUUACUGACCUGCUCAUCGGACAAAAUCCGACUACCUCUCAACGUCGGCAACUCUAGCGGAGUCAACGUGCAACCAUGGCCAGGGAGCGGUGGACUGUUCGAAGGAUUGUCCCAUAGAAGAACCUUCUCCUCGAGGAAGCAUGGAAGACCAACAAGCAUGGCCUUUUCCCAAGCCUGUUUAAGCAGCGUCUUGAAAAAGUUGGUGCAGGAAGCACCGAGUCUUGCGGCGGUGAGGACGUCGGAGCGGCGUGCGAUUUCUCCCACAGGAUCAUCGUCCAAGGUCUCCCAGCCUCGACGAGGAGGAGAACCACCCGGCGAAUCCAUGGGAGUAGCGACGAACUGCCUUCUCUUCGGGGGGAGGGGAACUGGCGAGGAGGAGAUAAGAGCGUAGUAACCGCAGGGCCUCGUGCCUUCCAACUGUAGAUCCCUCAGCGAAGGGGUGAGGCUAUUAUUUACUACUAGUACUAGCAUUAUGGAACGUUAUGGGAUUGCAUUAUACUGUAAAUAAUAGCACUAGUAAGAAAUUUUUGGCACUAGGUAGUAGUUUUUGGCGUGGAUUAAGAAAUUUUGGGUAUGUUUUUGACAUUUUUUGUACACGCCAACUAGUGUCAAAAAACGUCUUACAUUAUGUGACGGAGGAGGACGUACUCGUACUGUAGGAGUACUAGUACUACUUUUCUCAACUAGUAGUGCGAUGUACUGUACUUCUAGUCUAGUCUAGUAUAGUGCACCAAUUUUGAACUCUUGAAUCUCAGGGCCAAGGAGCUACAGUUGGAAGUGGAGGGUACUACUGUUCUCUAGAACCAUCGUUGUACUAUCAAUGCAGGGGAAGUACACCUGCGUAGUGGCCUAGUGGGUACUCUCGGUGCUCUAUUCAGCCGCUCCUCUCACGUAGCUGGCCUACUCAGCUGCUCCUCUCACGCACACACUAGUAGCCUGUUUAUCAGCGACGGUUACUGCGGGGGCAGAACAUUUGAGUUAUUUGAUACAGCGAGACUAGGAUUUUCGCUUCCAUUUGUGGAGGUGUAAUGGAUCUCGUCGAACUUUGUUAGUAGUUCCUUCUUUAUGAAUGAGAUGAAGCAAAGCUUUUGCCUCCGUUUCAAAAAAAACACGUCAAGAGGAAUUACUUUUAUAGUAGAGCCGAUAAUGGAGUGAAGUCCAUGUGUGCAACGCCACAAGCUACAGAGUAGUAGUAGAGCACUUUACGAACAGAGCCAUAUUGCAUAGUUCCCAAUGCCCCGCCAGGCUUUUCCGGCUCCUUGGGCUUAAUUGGGAGGCGCUAGUUUAAAUAUGCUACUAGCUGGAAGCUGCAAGCGAGGUGCGGCUAGGGCGAGCACGCAAGCCACGGGAUGCUGGAAAGGAAAACCCGUUCACGUGGCUAGGCUGUCUAGUGCACCCAGAUUGUGGGGCCGCAUGUCCGUUUGACUUCAAAACUCAAACUACCCGUGUAAAAUAUUGGCUCGCAGCAAAGUGUAGUAGUACUAUUUUUUUAAAAGGCCGUCGUGUGUUCGGCCGGGAUCGAACCCACAAAACGAGGUAUACACUCCCGCGACCACUAGUAGUACUCGUUGGAGUACAACGCAACCUAGAAUCGCCUUUUGUCGCUAGUAGUACGUACAUUGUUCCUUACAAGAAACCCCUAAGAGCAUGGUUAAUAGUAUAGCCAGCUGCUGGCUAUAAGCCAGUGCCAUGUCAUCUACAGCCCAUCUUAUAGCCAAUAUGUACAAUAAUAGAUCAAAAGAGUGUACUACUUUUUUAUUAUGUGGCCCACUUCUCAUCUCACAAAGUGCCUAGGAGCACGUGCUAGAGCUGGCUCUUCACGAAGAGCCCGCUUACCUUCUCUCUCCUCUUCUCUUUCCUCCAACUAAGCAGAAAUAUACUAGUUUAUUUCUUAUAGCCCGCUGACUCAGCUCUAUUGUACUUGCUCUAAUAAUGCAAGAAACCACUAAAAUGCCAAGAAACUACUACCACUUGCAUACGUGGCAGACUUAAGAUAAGACUAUCUUAUCAACCAUUGUACAUGCUCUUACCAACAAAAAUCCUCGAGUGACCUCCUACCUCCGGCCCGUCCACCUAGUCAUCCUCGGCCAUGGGACGCAGCUACCGCCGCCAGCAAAAGGAGAGGUCAAAACCGCCGGCGGUGUGGAGCCCAUGUUGCGGCAGCCUGGAUGCCAGCUCCAUCCGGCGCUCGCGGCCUCUAGCUAGCCAAGAUAGCUCCGUCCAGCUGCUUGUCUGCAAGGUUUGCUAGCUAGAUUGGCACGGCAGCGCGGCGGCUUGCUCGCGCGCGCCGCGCUAAGGCCAGCCAUCUGGCUCGAGCAAAGGCCAGCGCGGCGGCUUGCUCGCCCGUGAGUCAUGCUCGGGCCAGCCUGCCAACCCGUGCGGAGGCCAGCGCAGCGUCCGGCCCGUCCGGCGGAGCGGCGGCCAACUCGCUCAUCACCGGCGCCACCGACGAACACGCAUCAGUACUGUUUGAAGUAAUGUUCAGGAAAAAUAAUGAUUUGAGGGGGAAUAACAAGAUAGAAGGUCAGAUGUGGGUCCCUCGUGUCAACGAUCAAACAAAAUGUGUUGGUUUAAGCUACCUCGUCAGCACAGACGUGUGGGCCAACCCUGUCAUAAAUGGGUUUAAACGAACCUAAUCGGUAGGAGUACUAGGUAGUUUUUGGCGUGGAUUAAGAAAUUUUGGGUAUGUUUUUGCUAUUUUUGUACAAUAGAUUCUUCCUAGGGCUGGUUGAAAGUGGUAGUUUUUUGUUAAAUACUCUACAUAUUGUAAGUAGGAGUGAAAGUUAAGCUUUGGAAGCCAAUAAGAAAGGCUAGUUACAUAGUGCAUAUGUGUACAUGAUUGAAAGUAAAUAUCAACCAUGAGUGACUAAUAUCUUGAUGGAAAACUCGAAACUAUGAAAUACUAGGAAAAAAAAUGCAUGGUUGGAAAUACUAGCAAUGUUCAUGUCCGUUGCAAUGAAUCAUAAUUAGAAUAAUACUUAUUCACAAACUUGGUACAAAACACUCUAAUUUUGAUAAUAUGUCACUAGAGAUAUAUUAUGUUUCAAUUAGAAUAUAUUCCUUGGGCUAUUUUGGUGAGGUCAGGGAGGGAUGUGGUUGGUUUUAAGAUAAUAAUUAUGGGUUUUUUCUGCAAAUUGGUAGACAAGUGGGAUGUUGGUGAGAAAAGGCAACAACUUACCUCACAAUCGUUAGAUGUAGAUCUAAUGGUCAGAAACGACGGAUGGCAGACACACCAACAUCACCAACUUAGUCUUGUGUAGGAGUACUAGCAAGAUCCGUGCAUUGCACGGAACAUCAAGAUACAUUUUUUAUAAAACACUUGUUGUGAUUGACCCUUGCUGGAGUAAUCCCAUGUGUAAAAAGUAAUGAUAUCUCGAGAAAUAUGAGAUAAGGUGAAGAGGAGUGGGGUGUGGUGGUGGUUGGUGGUCGAACUGAGCGGAGGCAUGGGGAUUGACGACGCCGGCAGCGGCCACCAGGCCAGUUUGUUCCAGAGGCUUCCUUUCUUAAUUGCUCAACAAUGAGGUUUGUUGGAGAUAAGGAUGAACGAGGGAAGGCCUUGUCUGCAAAUGUGGAGAGGGGUGCGGGUAUCUUUUAGUUUAAUUUCCAUCCGUCAGAUAUAGAUCAGACGGUCUAUAUUGCAAGAUGGCACACGUACCAUCAUCACCAACUCGGUUUUUUUUAUAACAGAAGAAAUAUAAGUAUGGAGAUACAAACGUAUUAUCGAUACUUGCUUCCGUAAACUAGCAUCUACAUUCUAUUCAACGCCUCGGCAUGUGGGGCCUUAGCACAAUGACUUCUCGACUGUGUAAAACAAACAUUUUCCCGUCGCCGACAAGGAGGGGGUGACGGCAGCGCGCUUUUUGGCUUGCUCUAGUCCUAGUAGUCAUACUAGGUGGUCUAAGCACGUGUAGAUUUAUUCUUUUUCAUGUCUCAUGUUCGUCGUACUGCCACGACUGUUGAUGAAUAGAUGGUAAGUUAUUCACGGGGAAACCCUUGUUGAGCGUGUUUGCGAGAGAGAGAGAGAGACAGUGUGCGUGUGUGAUAUGUUAGAGACUGAGGCAAUGAUAACAUAUUCUUUGUGUCUAUGUGUGUGGAGGAUAGAGAGAGACAUGUACAUGGGGCUUUGUGUUGUGUAACGUGGAGACACAUAUACAUAAUUAGAGAGUGAGUGUGUGAGAUACACAUGCGGACAUGAGGAGAGAUGAGGAUCCAGAUAAAUGGGUGUUUGUGCGUGUCUGUGUGUGUUUGUGCACGCGUUUGUGUGUGAGAGGGAGAGAGUGUAUGUGGAGUAGAGAGACCACUGAUGAUGUAAACCUAGUAUAAGGGAAGGGGGAAUGGUGUGACAUGUGUAGUAGCGAGAUAGCAUGGGUGCGGGCGGGGGGAGCAGACUAUUUGGAAGAGACAUCGAGUGUGUGUGUGGGAGAGGGGUGUGAGAGCGAGAGAAAGAGAGAGCUAGCGACGGAGAGAGAGAGAGAGAGAGAGAGGAAGAGAAGGGGCGAGAGGGGUCGUUUGUGUCCAUAAAUGGCGUAUAGAUAGGGAGACAAUGUUGAUGUUGUCCGAAACUGGCCUAUGAACGGAGACGCAAGGGAAGCGAGUCAUCGUGUGUGUGAUAGGGACUUCAUGAGAGAUCUAGAAUAGAUGGUGUAGAGAACAAUGUGCGAAAUCGAGAACGAUUAUACAUUAGGGAGCUAUGCAAAGAGUCACGACAUAUAUGUAUACAGGGAAGGAGCUGGGGCGGGUCCGCAUGUGGGAGAGAUAGAAAGAGGAGAGUGGUGCACAAGGAGACAAAGUGUGCUUGUUUGCAGUGGGGGUGGUGUGUGAGGUCAGUGCGCGAGAACCACAUAACUAGGGAGAUAGACAUUUGGGGGCGACGUUUUGUGUGUAUGGGAAAUAUACACUCUACAUAGUGCGUGUGCUUGGGUAAGAGAGAUAGCGGGAGACCUAGAGAGUGAGGGAAGAGAUGUGUGCAUGCCCGAGAGACAAAGUGAUAGAGACCUAUGUUGGGGUCCAGACUUUACAAGAGAGAGGGGUGUUAAUGUGCUCGUGUGUUGGUGUUUGGGGGAGAGAACGANNNNNNNNNNGGUGGGGGGGGGUUGACUUCAGAUAAAGAGUGAGGUGUCUAUAUUUGAGGGACUUUAGCGUAAUUGAGAUAUUGUGCACUCAUGGUUGAUCAAUUUGUUUCACAGUUUGUACUAUGAGAUAACAAUACUUUUGAACAUGCGUGAUAUACCUUGAUGUACCAGAAUUACAAACCUAAGAUUGGAAUUUUGGAAUUCGACUCCAUCAUUAGCUUUUGUAAUUCAUUUAAACGGAGGUACAUUUUUUAAGCCGGGAUUUCGUGAUUUCAAAUUCAUAUAUCAAACCUAGAGAUAUACACAUACGGGCAUGUUCAAACUUUAUAAUCAUCCACUUUAUUCAUACACGUACACAUUUUUGCUUUUGUCAUCAUAUUUAGGAUAAACACAUUUGGAAUUUCAUUUGAAUUGGACCGUAUGAUGGUAUUUGCUUGUAGUAGCUCAAUGAUCCAUAUUUGAAUUGAAUGGACAAUCUAAGUUUCGAGUUGGAGACAUUGAUUUUCAAAACUUGCACUUUUUUUUUGCGUGCGAAACAAACAAAUUGUCGGCCAUGAUAUCAUAGUCGGCCGUACGAGAGCAGAAUACUUAUAAUUUUAGGCGCCAAAAGCUUUCAAACUUCCCGCUCACAUCGAAAUAUCACGCGCCCGAAAGUUUAGCCCUGCGAUAUUCCUGUUUUACCCCUGCCACAUGAACGGAAAAGGGCUGCUUUGGUAACUCCGUUGUUUUCCCCUCUUUGCCCCCAACAUUCUUCCCCAGAGCCCCUCCCCUUCCCCUCCCCGACCCCCCAACCACGGCAAGCCGCCGAAUCUAGUCCUCCGCCGCAGCGGUGGACCUCACACCCCGCCGGAUCUACCUUCCGCACCUUGGAACCCCCAACUGCCAACUCACCACUUCACCGGAGCCGCUUCAGCGACUGGCUUGUCCACCCCUCCAGAUCUCCUUGACCGCCAUCAUGGUCCACCGCACCGGAUCUGCUUAACCGGCGCCCUCGUCCACCACAGCAUAGGCCCUUCACUGACUCCCUUGUCCGCCCCUUCGCUGGCCCUUCAUACAAGCCCUCGUCCGCCGCAACAGAUCGGCCUCACCGAAAGCACCGUACAACGCGCCCGCCGAAGCCUUUGUCCACUGCACCGGACCCGCUCCACGGACGCCAUAUUCAACUCCACCGGCCCUGCUUUACCGACGCCGCAGCCUCAUAAGGUUAUUUCGAUUUGUACUCCUUCGGUUUUUCUCUUUAUCGUGCAACUGUUCACUUACGACAGAUGAGCUUUCUUGUAUGUUGACAAGCGCCGCAACCGUAGCACCGGAGUCGCUUCAGCGACGGCGACAGCCGGCCCAAACUCAACCGCAACACGAGCACCAUCGACGAUCCUUAGCUAUCAAGUAUGACAACGAUACCCAUACGCCGCCGAGAAUCAGGUACUAUUAUCCAACGGCCGGCGCCUACGUUCACUUUCCUAGCAUAAGCACCGCACCUUUGAAUUUCUUCAGGGCAUCAUUCAGUUUUUCAUGAGACGCGUUAUUCUACUUGCAUCUGUAGGGCCAUACUUCUGGCAGUGAACAUGUUACAUGUGCUAAAUUACAUACCAGUGCACAUAUAGUUAAUAUGCUUUAGUUUUGUUCUGAUGCCACCUGUUGGUUCCAUCAGACUGCUUAAUGUUCUCUAUGCUUAAUUACACAUCAGCAAACUAGCAUGUGGUUCUGCUGCUUUUGUUCGUUUUACCCUACAUUUUCUGAUGCUAGCUAUUACAUCACUGCUCCGAGCCUCUGUUCAUUACUUGUUUGUGUGUUCUUGAUCUUCCCAAGUUGCAUGACUAAUUUGAUGCUUCUAUUAAUUAUGGAGCUGCCAUCCCCAUCAAGCAAAAUAUUUGUUCUUUUGGGGCUGGCACCUCGAACAAGCAUAAAAAUAGAGGGAAGCAGAUAUAUUGUCGUGUAUGCACACACCCUUCUUUCAUUAGUUUAGAUGAACCAUUGAUGAUCAAUUCGGACCAGUGCAUGCGAUUAAAAUUAAUUUUACCUAAAUAGAUGGUGCAGAAUAAACUACAACAACUAGAUUUGCAACCACGGGAUGCUGACGAUAUCUUCAAAAAACAUUGCAAUAGCAGCUAGGCUUCACAUCAACAUAUGGUAAGCCAGUGUGUUUUAGUACAUGUGAAAUGUAAUGCGAGUGGGCUGCUUUCUUGGCUUGUGCCCUCAACGUGUAAUCCUACCGAAUUACAAAUAGUUCAGUUGUCUGCUUUGCUGUAUUGCUUGAUUCGAAUGCUUAUUUGUUGUUACACUAUACCUGAGUUGGCCAAUAUGUCAGCAGUGCCUACUGUACUAUCGUAAAGAAAUGCAUGCCUAUUUCAUUUGAGUCCUUAACUUUUCCUCUCAACUUCAUCACAAGACUGUCUUCAUAGUUUAUAUGAGGCCACACUGUUAAGUGCUUUCUCAAAUUAUUUCAACUACUUAGAUGCCUUGGCAACUUAAAUAUAGCGGUUGUACACUCCCUUUCAACUAGGGAUGUCAACUGGGUCCCGUUUAAUCCCGAUUAAAGUCCACUAGUGGUAUGAUAGUUCAAAAGAGUUUUUGUUUUUUGAGGAAAAUGAACUAGGGAGGUAGCAAACACUAACUAGAUGGGACUGGCGGAUGUCGUUCAUUUGCCACUUACAUCCCUAGUUUCAUCUUACCAUUUUAAUUUCUUUUCGGCUAAUGCUGCUUCGAACCAUUUAAAUAUAGUUUGCCAUGCUCGGCAAUAAUUCGUCCGUCGUUUACCAUGUAAGCUUACUGCCUGGAUCAUAUGAUAACUAUCUCUUACUGAUGUCCAGCAGAAACCUUUUAGGAUGCCGUUCACACUAGGACACAAUGUACAACCCCAGAAUCUAUUUGUUGAAGCAGUGCGCCAUCCAUGUUACCAGAUGGUAGCAGUUCAGAGGCAACACCGCCAGAGAGCAGUCUGAGCACAGAUAUUAUAGUGCUUGAGGCUCUACUAGAGGCAGAAAGAGAUGGUGUGGCUGCCAUGAAUGAGGUAAUCUUUAUCUUGAGGCUGGAAAUUACGGAAUUAGCGGCACGCAUUAUGCAAGCAACCCAAGAAUUGGAGGAAGUAAGAAUGUUGCAUUUGAAGACGGAGGAGGUCCUGCUGUUUCUGCUAUCUGAAGCCCAAGGUAAUCCCGGUUCUUCUUUAGAUACCAGUUGAAAUUGUCAUUAGAUUAUUGUACUUGCAUGUUGUGUCAUGUCUCUGAAUGGAUUAUGUUGCAAGACCCCUUAUGUUGUCCAUGUGUUGUAAUGAUCCGAAUUUUUUAGGCGAGGUAAUCCUCAAUACUUGUAUGAUUGACAUAAGGUGAACUGUUUUUCGUGUGAGCAUAUUGUAUUGGAUGAAAUAACUGUUUGACUCAGAGUGUAUCCAACCUACUGAAUUCGAAGAUCAAGGUAUUUCUAAAUCAUAAUCAUAUAUAAAGGUGGAAUAAAUCUUUGUUGUGGUUUUGAAGAAAUAAAUAAAAAACAUAUAAUUAUCUGUGGAUAUUUGUAAUCGAAUACAAAUUGGAUUUGAAUUUAGUUUGCCAGGUCCCAGGGUAAACAUGCAUGCUAAUUCUCCCAAGUUUUGAACGAAGCGGCUAAACACCCACUAUAAUUUGUCGGCUGCCCGAAGCAAGUGUUUGCGAGAUGGAAAUUACUGUCUACCCCUGACACUUGACAUCCUUAUCGACCGGAUUUACACUGCUGUCGAUAGGGGUAGACUAGUAACUUCAAUCAGACGUGACACGACGGCCUCUGAGCCCAUUCAGACACGGUGGGCGCCAAACGUGGGCGGCAAAACACAUUUGAUUCAAGCUCGUCCGAAAGACAUGUGUCUCUUCCUCCAUUUCCCCAUUCAUACACGGUGGGCGGCAAAACAAACUCUCCUCGUCCGAAAUCGAUGUAGGCUAAUAUUUUAAAUAGGGGCAGAUGUGUAACUUCCAUCAGACGUGACACAACCGCCCUACCUGUCAGCCCCGUUCAUACACCGUGGGCGCCAACCGUGGGCGGCAAAACACCCUCUCCUCGCCCGAAAUAGUUACCGGCAAAUAUUUGGGAGAUGCGAGAUUACCGUCCCAUCCCCAACCAACGCGAUGUCCGAAAUUUUAAACGGGGGAUAAGUUCGUAACUUCACCCCAUUUCAGAGAAGCGCGUCCCAAAGUUUGAGAUCCCCCUCCCCUCCAUUUCCCCAUUCAUACACCGUCGGCGGCAUGACAACCUCCGCACUGCGGCCAGCCUCCUCCGUCCGCCACCCCAUCCUCCACCUUGCCGGAGCCGCUACCCCUACCCCGUCGUCCACUGCAAGAGAUGGACGUCUCUCAUCCACGACGCUGGACCAGGAUCCUUUCAUCGCCUCCUCUCGCUUCAUCGGCGCUGUCGUCCACCUUGCCGUUGCCGCUCCUACGACCGCCUCGUCCACGGCAACAUGAUAUAUCCCCCGACCCGGCCGUCUGCCGUCUAAAGUCUUCUUCCCCGCCGCCGACAGCCAUCGCACCCGCAGCACCCUCAACAUAUCAGCAUAGGCCUACACGGCGUCGCAAGAGAGGUGGUACUCUUUCAUAUGUGCUUAAGUUAUUGAUCUCACCCGGAAAAUAGAUCGUAAUUUGUUUACUGUACUUUUCUUGUCCGUACCAAAUCGUAGUGGCUAGUUGAAAGCAAACAUUGGUUGCGAAGUAGCUUUGUCCGGUUUGCACCUUCAGAUCCGCCAUGGCACGGGCACUAUACUCGUAAAGCUUAUGGUUUCCCCCCUUUAUAUUCACUGCCAUCAUCAUAGGUGCUUCGUGUCGUGCUAGCACUGCUCCUCAAGACCUCAACCCAAAGCUUACGUGUUGAAAUACGAAUCUGAUAUGAUGCUCAUAUCACUAAAAUAGAGAACGUUUAAUUGGUCACCUAAUGUUCCUAUAUUCGUUUCGAAAAGCAUGUGCGCCACCCACUGGUCCAGCUAGUUCCACUUUCCUGAUUUUUCUCUUGAUGCUUAGGGUUUCCCCUUUAUCUACUCUACUAUCAUCUGCGUAGGUGCUUUCUGUCGUACUAGCAUUACUCCACCCUUCAAGCUAAACAACACAACACUCAGAAUUCGAAAGCUUAGUUGUUCAAAUAUGAUUGUGAUAUGAUACUGAUAUUAGUUAACCGACACAUUUAAUUGGUUAGCUAAAGGUCCCACUUGAGUUUCCAAAUGCAUGUCGCGACAUAUAGAGAGACAGCAUAAUUGCAUUUCUUUGUCACUUGUUGACCGUACUUUCUUGUCCAUACCAAAUCUUAGUUGUUAUUUCAAAGCAAACAUCGGUUGCUAACUACCCUUUGCGCGGUUUGCAGCUUCAGAUCUGCCAUCCCACUGCCACGGUCAAUACUGUACUCAUCAUGCUUAUGUUUUCCCCAUUUUAUGAUGACCACAAUCAGCCUACGUGGUUCAUGUCAUAAUAGCACUGCUCCACCCAUCGAGCUAAACAAGCUUAGUUGGACAAAUUCAUAUCUGAUAUUAUUGUUGAUAUUAGUAAAACUGAGAGAUGUUUAAUUGGUUAGCUAAAUGUUCCUACUUUAGUUUCGAAAUGCAUGUGAGCCACAUAUGGAGAGACCAGAAAGAAUAGUAUUUCUCUGUGCGCUCUGGUUCAUCAUGGGUGGCCAACCGACAUUGUAUUGAAAGACUUGUAAUAUCUUCAAUCUGCUUGCUCUUCUACUCUUCUUUAAGAUGAUACUCUUCUCUUGCGGUCGACUGGUCAGGUCGAGUUGUUCUCCCUUAGUAUAUUUUGAAUCUGUCAGGUCAGGUAGACUUGUUCUUCUUUACUAUAUGUUGAAGCUAUCAUCAGCGAAGUGUCAUCACUUCUGGAGCUCUCAUAUUUGAGUAGUAGGCCACAUUAUAUUAAUGCACACACAAAAUUACAGCAUGCAUGGCAUCUUUAAAAAGAAUUGCAGAGAUAGCACAAAGGGGUUUACAGGGAGGCAGCAUUGGAUUAGAAUCACUUCUGCAUUACAAAGAAAAUCUCACUUGUUUUUAUGUUUUCAUGCAUGUCAGAUAUUGAACAUUAUCAAAAUGAAUAUGAGAAUGGGCGCACGAGAGGAAUAUUGCGGAACGAUCCACUGGCUAACAAACUUGGCAUGGUGGAGGAUGGCCUAUCUUAUUCACCCAUCAAGGUGCUUGCUCUAACUUUGCAAAGUUGUAUUGGUCGCACAUAUUUUGCAUCUGACCUCUUACAUUACUUCUACUUUGUUACACCAUCUGCUUAGUUUAAGCAUCAUAUAUGAGUAUAUGCCAUACCUAUCCAUUUUCUGUACCUAUUCCAUGUGUCGUCACACUAUGUUUUUCCAGUCAAAUGUUGUUCUUUCGUAAUAGAUGUCCAAAAGGAAGAGGGUGAGUGCAGAUCCUCAAGGAGUACAAACUAGAUAUUUGGAAAAGGUAGUGAUACCUGUUAAAUCAGAUAUAUCAGCAGCCACAGAAAACACAGGCCCAACUGUACCACACUUUACCCCUAGUCCAGUGGCCAAACCCCUAUUAGAACUGCUGGGAGCCCAGCGUCAGGUAUUGUCUAUGAUAUCAAUUCAAAAUUUGAACUCCUAAAUUUCUGCUUGUGCCUUACCUUCUCUCUUGUAUGAAAACUAAUUUCAGAUGAAUCUCCUUGCUCAAAGGAUCAUACGAUCUCAAAACAAUAAUGGGCUCUGCAUUGCUCUUGUCAGUACCUCUCUCCCUUUUGCCUUGUAACGCUGUACUUAAUUAAUUGCUAUUUGAUUAUGUAUCAUCAGUCUGCACCUGAGCUUCAUUAUCCUCUGUUUCUUCCAAUAUUAUUUGAUCUAUAUUUACCUUUGCAAAAUGUAGAAUAAUGGCAACGCUUAUAAAGAAUUUUUUUGGGGAAUUUAUUGAAUUAUCCUUCCAUCAACAUGGAGAAGGGCUUUGUCCAGCCCGUGUUAACAUGUAAUGUAAGUUCAUCCUUCUCAAGCCUUCAAACUUUGUUCUAGUAUAGAUUUGGAUAGGCAUCAUUUCCUCCACUGCUGUUUGCUUUGCUGUUUACAUCUGAUUGGAUGUUUGCAACAACUACCAGUUUCAAAUUGUAGUUGUAAAAACAUGUUCCUUAUGCAGAACAGAUCCAUUUAUUUGCUUAUAUAAUUGUGAAACCUAGUACGUGUCUCCUUGUUUCUCUUUCAGACUCGUAUCUCUUACGCCAGGCGGAACUUUAGGGAAGAUAGUGAGCCAAACCAUCUUGAGGACAGCGAGAUGACCCCAAGGUUCUGUCUUGAUGAAGACAGUGAGUUGAAGCUACUCACCAGCAGGUGUGAGACAACCUCUGUGCAGUUGCUGCCUCAAUCAGUUUGACUUCUUCAGUCUCAACUUAAAGCGGAAAGGCUUGCUUCAGCUCAGCUCCGACUUGAAGUCAAAGAUGCAAUGAAGAUGUCAGAGGACAGCCGUGCGCACCAUCAUGCCUUAAAUCUAGAGUUGAUGCAUCUAUCGUUGACACAAUUGAGGUCUACUUAGCUUCUUCAGCUGUUUGGGGGGCCCGACGUGGCCAGGCCUAGUGCCUUCUAAAGUGCUCUCAGUUUUGUAUAUUCUUUUGUCGGCGCUUUUAUUUGCACUGGUGGCGAACUUUGAUGCCCAGUGGAUGUAAUAUGUGUGAUAGCCGUGAUAGCCUAGCGUAAGUUGCUUGCUUAUUUAUUUCCUUGUUGUCUUGUUUAUUUUUUUGCUUGUAGUCAUUGCAGUUCUUUUUCUGUGGUUUGCUAGUGGUUGCAAUAACCUAUUUUUUAAAACUAGGCCACAAUAACCAUGGGCUAAUAUUUACUGUAGUGACACUGGGCCUCCUACGGGCCGUAGAAACAGUGGGCCUUCUACGGGCCGUAGAAACAGUGGGCCUUCUACGGGCCGUAGAAACAAUGGGCCUUCUACGGGUCGUAUCAUCAAUGGGCCUUAUACGGGCAGUAUGAUCGAUUGGCCAAACAUGGGCCAAUAACAGGCCGCAUUAUGGCCGUAAACGGGCUAGAGUUGGAAUCGUCCGUUCAUGGGCCGACCAUAACGGGCCAUCGUUAAUAGGCCGUAUUUGAUGACGCUAUGAAAACGGCCGAACGUAUUAACGGACCACAAAUGGGCUGACUGUAACCACGGGCUGAAUUUGGCCCACAAGCAGAAAAUGACUGUAACGGGCCGUAAGUAAAAGAAUGCUGGAAAUGAGCCCAAGAAUAAAUGGGCUCUGAGAAGGCCGAAAGAUAACAUGGGUUGGAAACGGCCCAACGGAAUAACGAGCUGUUAAUGGGUAUGAAGUGAUACACUGUUCAUUACGGGCCAGUUUCACCACGGGCCGUUAAUGGGUGUAAAGUGAUACACUGUUCAUUAUGGGCCAGUUUCACCACGGGCCGUUAAUAGGCCAAGAGUUACAUAGGGUCUCAUAUGGGCCGAAAGACGUCAGGGGCCAUACAUGGGCCAGAAGUGAAAACGGGCUGGAAUCAUAUUGGGUGGCCCAGAUGACGCUACUGGGCCUAAUUCGGAUAGGGUGUAACGGGCCUUGGGUUAGCGGGCUGUAAAUGGGCUAUAUGCGAACAAGCCGUUAACACGCUUUACAUGGGCCGGCCCGCCACCUUUUGACCAAGUCAAACGGGCCGGCCUUUUCACGGGAAUGGGCCUCUGUUCGGCCAUGCCAUGUGUCGACAUAUCAUAGGCGCCUUCUGUCCAAUGAGUGGAUGACAUCUGUCCCAACGAUGAGCCGACACGUGUUUCCUCCAGCCAAUGAUGAUUUUACACGUGGAAAAUCCCCAUUGGCCGGGGCUGUUAACGGGUUAUCGGAUCCAAAACCCGACCCGAUAGCUUAACGGCGUUCCGUUACGGUAGAUGCCACGUGUUGGUCACCCUUGACGAAAGCACUUCUGUGACGCGGGAUUUAUCGUCAUGGAAGUGGACACUUCCGUGAUGAUAAUUUUGGUAAUGUCAUGGAACACUUCUACGACAGCACAUGUAUGACUAUCUUGAUUCUGCCAUAAAAUCGUCACGGAUGUACAUGCAUGACACAAAAUGCGACCUACUGUGACAAACACGUAUCAUCAUGGAAGUGUAUUUUUUUGUAGUGUUCGGAUGUUGUAUAUAUAUUAUCUUUUAUAACUAUUUGGUUCAUUUAGUGUUUAUGACAAUUAUGCCGACCAAUGUGACAUAGAUUUUUUUAGCAAGGAGGUAUGUGAAUCGGAAAUUCCAACCGACCCUAUUGUCGAGAGGUUAAGUUUAGUUGAAGAAGAAAACAAUUACUUGAAGGAAAAAUUAAAAAAAAACUGAGGAGGAGAAGAUGAUAUUGGAUUUGCAUGUUGCGGAUGUCGUCGAUGAUAACAAGAUCAAGAUGGAUGCAAUGCGCUUGAAGAUUAGAAAGAUUAGAAAUAUGCCAUUCAUACCGAGGCUUGGUAUCAUUAUGCCGUUGGAUCAAUUGUUACCUUGGUUGCGAUUAUGAUCGCAUUUGUUGUUGCAUUGAAAUGUUUUACAUAGUUUCAAUGUAUGGUUUAAUUAGAUGCUCUGGAGAGCUAUAUGUUGUUCAAUGAGAACUAUGUAUGUACUUUGGUUUUAAUGUGAUGAUGAAAUUCUAUUAAUUUGGUCACUUAUCUAUUCAUGAUGUUUUGUAAUGGUUUUUGACACACUUAAUUAUAUAUAAUGCACGCAGACGAACCGGCAAUGGAUGUACGGUAACAGACGCACCUCCGAGUACAUUGAGGGCAUGCAUAAUUUUCUCGCAGUGGCUGAGGCAAACAAGCAGAAUGGUUUUAUGUGUUGUCCAUGCCCUAGCUAUGGGAAUACGAGGACUUACUCUAAAUCGAAAACCCUUCACACCCACCUGCUUUAUAAGGGUUUCAUGCCACACUAUAAUGUUUGGACCAAGCACGGAGAAAGAGGGGUUAUGAUGGAAGACAGCGAAGAAGAACAGGAUGAUGGCAACUAUGUGCCCCCUGAAUACGGUGACGCUGCAACGGGGGAAGUUGAAGAUCAAGAGGAACCAGACGAUGUGCCCGAUGAUGAUCUUCGCCGGGUCCUUGUUGAUGCAAAGAAACAGUGCGAAAGCCAAAAGGAGAAGCUGAAGUUCGAUCACAUGUUAGAGGAUCACAAAAAAGGGUUGUACCCCAAUUGCAAAGAUGGCAACACAAAGCUCGGUACCGUACUGGAAUUGCUGCAGUGGAAGGCAGAUAAUGGUGUACCUGACAAAGGAUUUGAGAAGCUACUGAAAAUAUUGAAGAAGCUUCCAAAGGAUAAUGAAUUGCCCGACAGUACGUACGCAGCAAAGAAAGUUGUGUGCCCUCUAGGAUUGGAGGUGCAGAAGAUACAUGCAUGCCCUAAUGACUACAUCCUCUACCGCGGUGCGUGUGAGGAUUUGAAUGCAUGCCCGGUAUGUGGUGCAUUGCGGUAUAGGAUCAGACGAGAUGACCCUGGUUAUGUUGACGGCGAGCGCCCCAGGAAAAGGGUUCCUGCCAAGGUGAUGUGGUAUGCUCCUAUAAUACCACGGUUGAAACGUCUGUUCAGAAACAAAGAGCAUGCCAAGUUGAUGUGAUGGCACAGAGAGGACCAUAAGAAAGACGGGAAGUUGAGAGCACCCGCUGACGGGUCGCAGUGGAGAAAAAUCGAGAGAACUUAUUGGGAGGACUUUGCAGGUGACGCAAGGAACGUAUGGUUUGGUUUAAGCGUGGAUGGCAUUAAUCCUUUUGGGGAGCAGAGCAACAAUCACAACACCUGGCCCGUGACUCUAUGUACCUAUAACCUUCCUCCUUGGCUGUGCAUGAAGCGGAAGUUCAUUAUGAUGCCAGUUCUCAUCCAAGGCCCUAAGCAACCCGGCAACGACAUUGAUGUGUAUCUAAGGCCAUUAGUUAAAUAACUUUUAUAGCUAUGGAAUGGAAACGGCGUAUGUGUGUGGGAUGACCACAAACAGCAGGAAUUUGACCUGCAUGCGUUGCUGUUUGUAUCCAUGAAUGAUUUUCCUUCUCUCAGUAACCUUUCAGGACAGACAAACAAGGGAUACCAUGCAUGCACGCACUGUUUAGAUGACACCGACAGUAUAUACCUAGACAAAUGCAGGAAUAAUGUGUACAAGGGCAUCGUAGAUUUCUUCCGACCAACCAUCAAUGUCGAAAGAAAGGCAAGCAUUUCAAAGGUGAGGCAGAUCACCGGAAGAAGCCCGCCAUCCGUACUGGUGAUCACAUACUUGCUAUGGUCAAUGAUUUACAAGUAAUCUUUGGAAAGGGUCCCGGCGGACUAUUGAUACAUCCAUUUUGCAUCAUGCUUUUAUAUCAAUAUUUAUUGCAUUAUGGGCUGUUAUUACACAUUAGGUCACAAUACUUAUGCCUAUUUUCUCUUAUUUUACAAGGUUUACAUAAGGAGGGAGAAUGCCGAAAGCUGGAAUUCUGGGUUGGAAAAGGAGCAAAUAUUAGAGACCUAUUCUGCACAACUCCAAAAGUCCUGAAACUCCACGGAAGUUAUUUUUGGAAAUAAUGAAAAAUACUGAGCGGAAGAAAUACCAGAGGGGGGCCACACCCUGGCCACGAGGGUGGGGGCGCACCCUACCCCCUGGGCGCGCCCCCUGCCUCGUGGGCCCCCUGUUGGCCCUCCGGUGCCCAUCUUCUGCUAUAUGAAGUCUUUCGUCCGAAGAAAAAUCAGAAGCAAGCUUUCGGGACGAGACUCCGCCGCCACGAGGCGAAACCAAUCUAGGGCUCUGGCAGAGCUCUUCUGCCGGGGACACUUCCCUCCGGGAGGGGGAAAUCAUCGCCAUCAUCAUCACCAACACUCCUCUCAUCGGGAGGGGGCCAAUCUCCAUCAACAUCUUCACCAGCACCAUCUCCUCUCAAACCCUAGUUCAUCUCUUGUAUCCAAUUCUUGUCUCUAAGUCUGGGAUUGGUACUUGUAGGUUGCUAGUAGUGUUGAUUACUCCUUGUAGUUGAUGCUAGUUGGUUUAUUUGGUGGAAGAUCAUAUGUUCAGAUCCUUUAUGCAUAUUAAUACUCUUCUGAUUAUGAACAUGAAUAUGCUUUGUGAGUAGUUACGUUUGCUCCUGAGGACAUGGGAGAAGUCUUGCUAUUAGUAGUCAUGUGAAUUUGGUAUUCGUUCGAUAUUUUGAUGAGAUGUAUGUUGUCUCUCCUCUAGUGGUGUUAUGUGAACGUCGACUACAUGACACUUCACCAUUAUUUGGGCCUAGAGGAAGGCAUUGGGAAGUAAUAAGUAGAUGAUGGGUUGCUAGAGUGAUAGAAGCUUAAACCCUAGUUUAUGCGUUGCUUCGUAAGGGCUGAUUUGGAUCCAUAUGUUUCAUGCUAUGGUUAGGUUUACCUUAAUACUUCUUUUGUAGUUGCGGAUGCUUGCAAUAGGAGUUAAUCAUAAGUGGGAUGUUUGUGCAAGUAAGGGCAGCACCCAAGCACCGGUCCACCCACAUAUCAAAUUAUCAAAGUACCGAACGCGAAUCAUAUGAACGUGAUGAAAACUAGCUUGACGAUAAUUCCCAUGUGUCCUCGGGAGCGCUUUUAUCUAUAUAAGAGUUUGUCCAGGCUUGUCCUUUGCUACAAAAAGGAUUGUGCCACCUUGCUGCACUUUAUUUACUUUUGUUACUUGUUACUCGUUACAAAUUAUCUUAUCACAAAACUAUCUGUUACCUAUAAUUUCAGUGCUUGCAGAGAAUACCUUGCUGAAAACCGCUUAUCAUUUCCUUCUGCUCCUCGUUGGGUUCGACACUCUUACUUAUCGAAAGGACUAUGAUAGAUCCCCUAUACUUGUGGGUCAUCAAGACUCUUUUCUGGCGCCGUUGCCGGGGAGUGAAGCACCUUUGGUAGGUGGAAUUUGGUAAGGAAAAAUAUAUAUAGUGUGCUGAAAUUUACUAUCAGUUGUUACUAUGGAAAGUAAUCCUCUGAGGGGCUUGUUCGGGGUAGCUUCACCCCGACCAGUAGAGCAAAGAGUUGCUCCUCAACCUACUGAACCUACUGAAAAUGAAAAUGUCUACUUUGAAAUUCCUUCGGGUAUGAUAGAAAAACUGUUAGCUAAUCCUUUUGCAGGAGAUGGAACAUUACAUCCUGAUGAGCACCUAAUAUAUGUGGAUGAAGUUUGUGGAUUUUCUAAGCUUGCAGGUAUGCCCGAUGAUGUUAUCAAGAAGAAGGUUUUCCCUUUAUCUUUGAAGGGAGAUGCAUUGACAUGGUAUAGGCUAUGUGAUGAUAUGGGAUCAUGGAACUACAAAUGAUUGAAAUUGGAAUUUCAUCAGAAGUUUUAUCCUAUGCAUCUUGUUCAUCGUGAUCGUAAUUAUAUAUAUAAUAUUUGGCCUCGCGAAGGAGAAAGCAUCGAUCAAGCUUGGGGGAGGCUUAAGUAAAUGUUAUAUUCAUGCCCCAAUCAUGAGCUCUCAAGAGAAAUGAUUAUUCAAAAUUUUUAUGCUCGGCUUUCUGAUAACAAUCGCACCAUGCUCGAUACUUCUUGUGCUGGCUCUUUUAUGAUGAAGACUAUUGAAUUCAAAUGGGAUUUAUUGUAAAGAAUUAAACGCAACUCUGAAGAUUGGGAUCUCGACGAAGGUAAGGAGUCAGGUAUGACAUCUAAGUUUGAUUGUUGUCAAUCUUUUAUGGAUACCGAUGUUUUUCGUAAAUUUAGCACUAAAUAUGGACUUGACUCUGAGAUAGUAGCUUCUUUCUGUGAAUCUUUUACUACUCAUGUUGAUCUCCCUAAGGAGAAGUGGUUUAAAUACCAUCCUCCCAUAGAAGUAAAAGUAGCUGCACCUAUUGAAGUCGAAGAGAAGACUAUCACUUAUAAUGAUCCUAUUGUUCCUACUGCCUAUGUUGAGAAACCACCUUUCCCUGUUAGAAUAAAGGAUCAUGCUAAAGCUUCAACUGUGGUUCGUAAAAGCAAUAUUAGAACUUAUACACCUCCUGAGCAAGUUAAAGUUGAACCUAAUAUUGCUAUUGUUAAAGAUCUCUUGGCUGAUAAUAUUGAUGGGCAUGUUAUUUAUUUCUGUGAUGAAACUGCUAGAAUUGCUAAACCUUGUGCUAAAGAUAAACAUAGAACUGUGGUAGGCAUGCCUAUUAUUUCUGUUAAAAUAGGAGAUCAAUGUUAUCAUGGCUUGUGUGAUAUGGGUACUAGUGCUAGUGCAAUACCUAUUGACUUAUACAAAGAAAUUAUGCAUGAUAUUGCACCUGCUGAGUUAGAAGAUAUUGAUGUCACAAUUAAGCUUGCCAAUGGAGAUACUAUUUCACCCAUGGGAAUUGUUAGAGAUGUUGAAGUCUUAUGUGGGAAAACUAAAUAUCCUGCUGAUUUUCUUGUUCUUGGUUCCCCACAAGAUAGCUUUUGUCCCAUUAUAUUUGGUAGACCCUUCUUAAACACUGUUAAUGCUAGGAUAGACUGCGAAAAGGAUGUUGUUACUAUUGGUCUAGGUGAUAUGUCUCAUGAGUUCAACUUCUCUAAAUUUCGUAGACAACACCAUGAAGAGGAACUGCCUAGUAAAGAUGAAAUUAUUGGUCUUGCUUCUAUUGCCGUACCUCCUAGUGAUCCUUUAGAACAAUAUUUGCUAGACCAUGAAAAUGAUAUGUUUAUGAAUGAAAGAAGGGAAAUAGAUGAAGUGUUCUUUAAACAGGGACCUAUUCUGGAACACAACUUGCCUGUUGAAAUCCUAGGGGAUCCUCCUCCACCCAAGGGUGAUCCUGUGUUUGAGCUUAAACCAUUGCCUGAUACUCUUAAAUAUGCUUAUCUUGAUGAAAAGAAGAUAUAUCCUGUUAUUAUUAGUGCUAACCUUUCAGAGGAGGAAGAAAAAUUAUUGAAAACUCUGAAGAAGCACCGUGCUGCUAUUGGAUAUACUCUUGAUGAUCUUAAGGGCAUUAGUCCCACUCUAUGCCAACACAAAAUAAAUUUGGAGAAAGAUGCCAAACCAGUUGUUGAUCAUCAACGACGGCUGAAUCCUAAAAUGAAAGAAGUGGUAAGAAAGGAAAUACUAAAGCUCCUUGAGGCAGGUAUAAUCUAUCCCGUUGCUGAUAGUCAGUGGGUAAGUCCUGUCCAUUGUGUCCCUAAGAAGGGAGGUAUUACUGUCGUUCCCAAUAAUAAAGAUGAAUUGAUUCCGCAAAGAAUUAUUACAGGGUAUAGGAUGGUAAUUGAUUUCCACAAAUUAAAUAAAGCUACUAAAAAAGAUCACUACCCCUUACCUUUUAUUGAUCAAAUGCUAGAAAGAUUAUCCAAACAUACACAUUUUUGCUUUCUAGAUGGUUAUUCUGGUUUCUCUCAAAUACCUGUGUCAGCUGAUGAUCAAGCUAAGACCACUUUUACUUGCCCUUUCGGUACUUUUCCUUAUAGACGUAUGCCUUUUGGUUUAUGUAAUGCACCUGCUACCUUUCAAAGAUGCAUGAUGGCUAUAUUCUCUGAUUUUUGUGAAAAGAUUUGCGAGGUUUUCAUGGAUGAUUUCUCCGUCUAUGGAUCCUCUUUUGAUGAUUGCUUGAGCAACCUUGAUCGAGUUUUGCAGAGAUGUGAAGAAACUAAUCUUGUCUUGAACUGGGAAAAGUGCCACUUUAUGGUUAAUGAAGGCAUUAUCUUGGGGCAUAAAAUUUCUGAAAGAGUUAUUGAAGUUGAUAAAGCUAAAGUUGAUGCUAUUGAAAAGAUGCCAUGUCCCAAGGACAUCAAAGGUAUAAGAAGUUUUCUUGGUCAUGCCGGGUUUUAUAGGAGGUUCAUUAAGGAUUUCUAAAAAAAUUCUCGGCCUGUGACUAAUCUAUUUCAAAAAGAUAUACCAUUUGUCUUUGAUGACGAUUGUGUAGAAGCAUUUGAAAUACUUAAGAAAGCAUUGAUUUCUGCACCUAUUGUUCAGCCACCUGAUUGGAAUUUACCCUUUGAAAUUAUGUGUGAUGCUAGUGAUUAUGCUGUAGGAGCUGUUCUAGGGCAAAGAGUUGAUAAGAAAUUAAUUGUUAUUCAAUAUGCUAGUAAAACUCUAGACAAUGCCCAAAGAAAUUAUGCUACUACUGAAAAGGAAUUCUUAGCAGUUGUAUUUGCUUGUGAUAAGUUCAGACCUUAUAUUGUUGAUUCUAAAGUAACUAUUCACAUGGAUCAUGCUGCUAUUAAAUAUCUUAUGGAAAAGAAAGAUGCUAAACCUAGGCUUAUUAGAUGGGUUCUCUUGCUACAAGAAUUUGAUUUGCAUAUUGUUGAUAGAAAGGGAGCUGAGAACCCCGUUGCAGACAACUUGUCUAGGUUAGAAAAUGUUCUUGAUGACCCACUACCUAUUGAUGAUAGCUUUCCCGAUGAGCAAUUAAAUGUCAUAAAUGCUUCUCAUACUGCUCCAUGGUAUGCUGAUUAUGCUAAUUACAUUGUUGCUAAAUUCAUACCACCUAGUUUCACAUACCAGCAAAAGAAAAAGUUUUUCUAUGAUUUGAGACAUUACUUCUGGGAUGACCCGCAUCUUUAUAAAGAAGGAGUAGAUGGUGUUAUUAGACGUUGUGUGCCUGAGCUUGAACAGGAACAUAUCCUACGCAAGUGUCACUCCGAGGCUUAUGGAGGACACCAUGCUGGAGAUAGAACUGCACAUAAGGUAUUGCAAUCCGGUUUUUAUUGGCCUACUCUCUUUAAGGAUGCCCGUAAGUUUGUCUUAUCUUGUGAUGAAUGUCAAAGAAUUGGUAAUAUUAGUAGACGUCAAGAAAUGCCUAUGAAUUAUUCACUUGUUAUUGAACCAUUUGAUGUUUGGGGCUUUGAUUAUAUGGGACCGUUUCCUGCCUCUAAUGGAUAUACACAUAUUUUAGUUGCUGUUGAUUACGUUACUAAGUGGGUAGAAGCUAUUCCAACUAGUAGUGCUGAUCAUAACACUUCUAUUAAGAUGCUUAAAGAAGUUAUUUUUUCGAGGUUUGGAGUCCCUAGAUAUUUAAUGACUGAUGGUGGUUCACAUUUUAUUCAUGGUGCCUUUCGUAAAAUGCUUGCUAAGUAUGAUGUUAAACAUAGAAUUGCAUCUCCUUAUCACCCACAGUCUAGUGGUCAAGUAGAAUUGAGCAAUAGAGAGCUCAAAUUAAUUUUGCAAAAGACUGUUAGUAGACCUAGACAGAAUUGGUCCAAGAAACUUGAUGAUGCAUUAUGGGUCUAUAGAACUACAUAUAAAAAUCCUAUGGGUAUGUCUCCAUAUAAAAUGGUUUAUGGAAAAGCAUGUCACUUAUCUCUCGAACUAGAACAUAAGGCGUAUUGGGCUAUUAAAGAGCUCAACUAUGAUUUCAAAAUUGCCGGUGAAAAUAGGUUAUUUGACAUUAGCUCACUUGAUGACUGGAGAACCCAAGCCUAUGAGAAUGGCAAGUUGUUUAAAGAAAAAGUUAAAAGAUGGCAUGACAAAAGAAUACAAAAGCGUGAGUUUAAUGUAGGUGAUUAUGUAUUGCUAUACAACUCUCAUUUAAGAUUUUUUGCAGGAAAACUUCUCUCUAAAUGGGGAGGUCCUUACGUUAUCGAGGAGGUUUAUCGUUCCGGUGCCAUAAAAAUCAACAACUUCGAAGGCACAAAUCCGAAGGUGGUGAACGGUCAAAGAAUCAAACACUAUAUCUCAGGUAAUCCUAUAAAUGUUGAAACCAACGUUAUUGAAACCGUAAACCCGGAGGAAUACAUAAGAGACACUUUCCAGAACGUUUCAGACUUCGAAAAGGAAUAGGUAUGUGGUACGGUAAGUAAACCGACUCCAAAACAGUUCUAAUGGCAAUUUUUCUCCGUUUUGGAAUAUUUAGAAAAAUAGAAAAAUAAGAAGCAGUCCGGGAAGGACACAAGGGCUCCACGAGGGUGGAGGGCGCGCCCCUGCCUCGUGGGCACCUCGUGUGCUCUCCGGACUCCGUUUUCUUGCACGAUACGUAUUUUGGUCGGUAAAAAUUCAUUAUAUAAUCUCCCGAAGGUUUUGACCAUCGUAUAACGCAAUUGUCCUCUGUUCUUGUUUCGAGCUGUUUUUCCUGACAGAUCUAGAUCAUCAUGAUGUCUCCAAGUGGCCCCAAGGACAAGUUCUUCGAGAAGGUCAUCAACCCCUACCUCGCGGAGGUGCUGCAACACCCUCAAACCAUUGAGAUGCAUGAGGGGGUGCUGCACAUCCGCGAUGUUGAGGGACCAAGGAGGACCGGAAGCGUGGAGACAAGGCAAAAGGCAAUGGAGCAACAAGUUUUCAAGUGCUAGGAGAUGGUGGAGCGUGGACUUGACUCCAAUCACAUAAUGAUCACGGAGUUCACCAACAACCACAAGCUAGAUGCCAAGGACAUUGGGGAGGCCAUCUUCAAGCUCCACGAGAAAAUUGAGCACCUCCAAGCCCAAAUCUAUGACCUGCAAAACCAAAACUAUGAGUAUGAAUAUAGAUUCAAGAGGAUGAGUUUGGCUGCAGAUUUAAGGAUCCCGGAGACUCGAUCAUCCUUCUAUGAUGGUGAGCCUAUGCCUUGGAAGAUGGACGACAAGCCUACAUCAUCCACAACCCCUUCACCAGCAAAGGAGACAUAAUCACAUGGGUAUGGGCACUCCCCUUGGCAACUGCCAAGCUUGGGGGAGGUGCGCCGGUAUCGUAUCACCAUCACAUCUCUAUCUUUACCGUUUUUCUUAGUUCGAUCCUUUUUAGUAUUAUCUUGAUCUAGUAGAAUAAAAGUUUUAGUAUGAUCUAGUUUUGAGUUUUGCUUUAUGAUCCUUCUAUGUAAUCGAGUCCGUGAGCCAUAUAAUAAAGAUUAGUGUUGAGUCAAGGGCUUGAUUAUUUUGCCAUGAUCUUGAGUGAAUAAAAGAAAAAGAAAAGGAAUAAAAAGAAACAAAGAGAUCAUAUUGAUCUUAUGGAGAGUAAUGACUUCACAUAGAAAGAGUAUGAUGAUUAAAAGUUGUUGAGAGUUGACAAGCAUAGCCUUGGUCAUCGUUGCAAUUAAUAGGAAGUAAUAAAGAAAGGGAGGUUUCACAUAUAAAUAUACUAUCUUGGACAUCUUUUAUGAUUGUGAGCACUCAUUAAAAUAUGACAUGCUAAAGAGUUGAUGUUGGACAAGGAAGACAACGUAAUGGGUUAUGUUUUCUUAUAUCCGAAAUAAAGUAUAUUGUUAUGGAUCAUCCAACAUGUUGAGCUUGCCUUUCCCCCUCAUGCUAGCCAAAUUCUUUGCACCAAGUAGAAAUACUACUUGUGCUUCCAAAAACCCUUAAACCCAGUUUUGCCAUCCACCAUAUCUACCUAUGGAUUGAGUAAGAUCCUUCAAGUAAGUUGUCAUCGGUGCAAGCAAUAAAAAUUGCUCUCUAAAUAUGUAUGAUUGAUUAGUGUGGAGGAAAUAAGCUUUAUACUAUCUUGUGUUGUGGAAGAAAUAAAAGCGACGGACUGCAUAAUAAAGGUCCAUAUCACAAGUGGCAAUAUAAAGUGACGUUUUUUUCACAUUGAGAUUUUGUGCAUCGAACCCUGAAAGCGCAUGACAACCUCCGCUUCCCUCUGCGAAGGGCCUAUCUUUUAAUUUUAUCCCUUACCCUUAUGCAAGAGUCAUGGUGAUCUUCACCUUUCCUUUUUAUAUUUUGUCCUUUGGCAAGCACAGUGUGUUGGAAAGAUCCUGAUAUAUAUAUAUAUAUAUCCAAUUGGAUGUAAGUUAGCAUGAACUAUUAUUGUUGACAUUACCCUUGAGGUAAAAGGUUGGGAGGCGAAACUAUAAGCCCCUAUCUUUCUCUGUGUCCGAUUAAAACUCCGUAACCACAAGUAUUGCGUGAGUGUUAGCAAUUGUGAAAGACUAAAUGAUAGUUGAGUAUGUGGACUUGCUGAAAAGCUCUGACAUAGACUCUUUCUGAUGUUAUGAUAAAUUGCAAUUGCUUCAAUGACUAAGAUUAUAGUUUGUUGGUUCUCAAUGAAGUUUCUGAUUCAUACUUGACAUUGUGAAUAGAUUAUUACUUGAGCAUAAGAAAUCAUAUGACAUUAUCCAUAUAUGUUGCUGUUAUGAGAAUAAUCAUGAUGCCCUCAUGUCCGUAUUUUAUUUUAUCGACACCUCUACCUCUAAACAUGUGGACAUAUUUAUCGUUAUCGGCUUCCGCUUGAGGACAAGCGAGGUCUAAGCUUGGGGGAGUUGAUACGUCCAUUUUGCAUCAUGCUUUUAUAUCGAUAUUUAUUGCAUUACCGGCUGUUAUUACACAUUAUGUCACAAUACUUAUGCCUAUUUUCUCUUAUUUUACAAGGUUUACAUAAGGAGGGAGAACGCCGGCAGCUGGAAUUCUGGGCUGGAAAAGGAGCAAAUAUUAGAGACCUAUUCUGCACAACUCCAAAAGUCCUGAAACUCCACGGAAGUUAUUUUUGGAAAUAAUGAAAAAUACUGAGCGUAAGAAAUACCAGAGGGGGCCCACACCCUGGCCACGAGGGUGGGGGGCGCGCCCUACCCCCCUGGGCGCGCCCCUGCCUCGUGGGCCCCCUGUUGGCCAUCCGGUGCCCAUCUUCUGCUAUAUGAAGUCUUUCGUCCGAAGAAAAAUCAAAAGCAAGCUUUCGGGACGAGACUCCGCCGCCACGAGGUGGAACCUUGGCGGAACCAAUCUAGGGCUCUGGCGGAGCUGUUCUGCCGGGGACACUUCCCUCUGGGAAGGGGGAAAUCAUCGCCAUCGUCAUCACCAACGCUCCUCUCAUCGGGAGGGGGCCAAUCUCCAUCAACAUCUUCACCAGCACCAUCUCCUCUCAAACCCUAGUUCAUCUCUUGUAUCCAAUUCUUGUCUCUAAGUCUGGGUUUGGUACUUGUAGGUUGCUAGUAGUGUUGAUUACUCCUUGUAGUUGAUGCUAGUUGGUUUAUUUGGUGGAAGAUCAUAUGUUCAGAUCCUUUAUGCAUAUUAAUAGUCUUCUGAUUAUGAACAUGAAUAUGCUUUGUGACUAGUUACGUUUGUUCCUGAGGACAUGGGAGAAGUCUUGCUAUUAGUAGUCAUGUGAAUUUGGUAUUCGUUCGAUAUUUUGAUGAGAUGUAUGUUGUCUCUCCUCUAGUGGUGUUAUGUGAACGUCGACUACAUGACACUUCACCAUUAUUUGGGCCUAGAGGAAGGCAUUGGGAAGUAAUAAGUAGAUGAUGGGUUGCUAGAGUGACAGAAGCUUAAACCCUAGUUUAUGCGUUGCUUCGUAAGGGGCUGAUUUGGAUCCAUGUGUUUCAUGCUAUGGUUAGGUUUACCUUAAUACUUCUUUUGUAGUUGCGGAUGCUUGCAAUAGGAGUUAAUCAUAAGUGGGAUGUUUGUUCAAGUAAGGGCAGCACCCAAGCACCGGUCCACCCACAUAUCAAAUUAUCGAAGUACCGAAGGCGAAUCAUAUGAACGUGAUGAAAACUAGCUUGACGAUAAUUCUCAUGUGUCCUCGGGAGCGCUUUUCUCUAUAUAAGAGUUUGUACAGGCUUGUCCUUUGCUACAAAAAGGAUUGGGCCACCUUGCUGCACUUUAUUUACUUUUGUUACUUGUUACUCGUUACAAAUUAUCUUAUCACAAAACUAUCUGUUACCUAUAAUUUCAGUGCUUGCAGAGAAUACCUUGCUGAAAACCGCUUAUCAUUUCCUUCUGCUCCUCGUUGUGUUCGACACUCUUACUUAUCGAAAGGACUACGAUAGAUCCCCUAUACUUGUGGGUCAUCAACUAUCUGUUCUGAAUGACACUGAGGGACACGCACCCAUGUGGAAGAAGAAAUCUAUAUUUUGGGACCUACCCUACUGGAAAGACCUAGAGGUCCGCUCUUCAAUCAACGUGAUGCACGUGACGAAGAAUCUUUGCAUGAACCUGCUAGGCUUCUUGGGCGUGUAUGGGAAUACAAAAGAUACACCGGAGGCACGGGAGGACCAGCAACGUGUGCACGAAAAAGAUGGCAUGCCUCCAAAGUAGUAUGAAGGUCCUGCGAGCUAAGCUCUUACCGAAGAAGAGAAGGAAAUCUUUUUUGAAUGCCUGCUCAGUAUGAAGGUCAUCUGGCUUCUCGUCGAAUAUAAAGGGAAUAAUAAAUAUGCCAGAGAAAAAGUUCCAGAACCUAAAGUCUCAUGACUACCACGUGAUUAUGACGCAACUGCUUUCAGUUACAUUGAGGGGGCUUCUACCGAAAAAAAUUCGAUUAGCCAUUGUGAAGCUAUGUUCAUUCCUCAAUGCAAUCUCUAAGAAGGUGAUCGAUCCAGAAAUCCUACCAAGGUUAAGUAGUGAUGUGGCGCGAUGUCUUGUUAGUUUCGAGCUGAUGUUCCCACCAUCCUUCUUCAAUAUCAUGACGCACAUCCUAGUUCAUCUAGUCGACGAGAUUGUCGUUCUGGGCCCUGUAUUUCUACACAAUAUGUUCCCCUUUGAGAGGUUCAUGGGAGUCCUAAAGAAAUAUGUCCGUAACCGCACUAGGCUAGAAGGAAGCAUCUCCAUGGGCCAUCAAACAGGGGAUGUCAGUGGGUUUUGUGUUGACUUCAUUCCUGACCUUAAGAAGAUUGGUCUCCCUCAAUCGCGGUAUGAGGGCAGACUGACUAGAAAAGGCACGCUAGGAGGGGACUCAAUAAUAAGUAGGGACGGGCAUUCUUGGUCUCAAGCACACUACACAGUUCUAUAGAAUUCUACCUUGGUGACCCCGUAUGUCGAUGAACACAAGAACAUUCUGCGCUCCAAACACUCGGAGCAGUGUGACGACUGGAUUACAUGUGAACACAUUAGGAAUUUCGGCAGUUGGUUGCAAACACGUCUUAGGGGUGACAACACUGUUUCUGAUGAGCUGUACUCGUUGGCGAGGGGACCAUCUUUGACUGUAUUGACUUACAAAGGGUACGAGAUAAAUGCGAAUACAUUUUGCACGAUCACCCAAGAUCAAAAGAGCACCAACCAAAACAACGGUGUCCGCUUUAAUGCAUCAACCAAGAGGGGAAAGGACACAUAUUAUGGUUACAUAGUGGACAUAUGGGAACUUGACUAUGGACAUGAUUUUAAGGUCCCUUUGUUUCAGUGCAAAUGGGUCAAUCUGUUAGGAGGCGGGGUACAGGUAGACCCACAGUACGGAAUGACAACAGUGGAUCUGAACAAUCUUGGGUACACAGACGAACCAUUUGUCCUAGCCAAUGAUGUGGUGCAGGUUUUCUAUGUGAAGGACAUGUCUACCAAACCGAGAAAAAGAAAAGAUAAGGAAGCUAAUACAUCAUACGAUGAGCCAAAGCGCCACAUAGUUCUUUCAGGGAAAAGAGGCAUCAUGGGAUUGGAGGGCAAGACAGACAUGUCUGAAGAUUAUGAAAAGUUUCAUGAAAUUCCUACCUUCAAAGUCAAGGCUGACCCAAGCACCCUGUUAAACGAUGAAGAAUAUCCAUGGUUACAGCGCAAUAAGCAAAGAAAAAGUGAAGACUUUCUCUCCACAACUAUUAUGAUGAUGCCUUUGAUCUAGAAUAUCACUGCAGUUACAUGUGAAGAAAUGAAAUGCUUUUUGUAACAGAUGAGCUUUCGUACGAAACCUUGAUACUUCGAAAGAGAAUGUACGUUUUCUACACGAAGUGCAUCCAGUUUUUGCCGUAGCCCUCUCAACUUUUUAGCACAUGCUAUGUGGGUGAAAUGAUGAUACCAUGCCAACUUUCAACCUUUUCAGAGUUCAUUUGUAGUGCUUUUCAAUUUCAGGGUCAUAUAGCUCAAAAAUAUCAGUAAAUACAUGAAAAAUACCAGAUGAAAAUAGAAAGAGUUGAAAAUUGAUGAUGUGGCUAUGAAUGGUUCAUUUUGAACACACAAAAAGUCUGGAGUUCAAAUAAGUUCAAAAAAUUAAAAUCCCUUUGUAACAGAUGAGUUUUCCUCCGAAACCCUGAUACUUCGGAAGAGAUUGUCCAUUUUGUACACGCACAUCCAGUUUUUGGGGUAACCCUCUCAACUUUUUAGCACAUGGUAUGUGGGUGAAAUGAUGAUACCAUGCCAACUUUCAACCUUUUUAGAGUUCAUUUGUAGUGCUUUUCAAUUUCAGGGUCAUAUAGCUCAAAAAUAUCAGUAAAUGCAUGAAAAAUAACAAAUGAAGUCAGAAAGGGUUGAAAAUUGAUGAUGUGGCUUUGAAUGGUGCAUUUUGAACACACAAAAAGUCUGCAGUUCAAAUAAGUUCAAAAAAUGAAAUCCCUUUGUAACAGAUGAACUUUCGUCCGAAACCCUGAUACUUUGAAAGAGAUUGUCCAUUUUGUCCACAAAGUGCAUCCAGUUUUUGACGUAACCCUCUCAACUUUUUAGCACAUGCUAUUUGGGUGAAAUGAUGAUACCAUGCCAACUUUCAACCUCUUCAGAGUUCAUUUGAAGUCUUUUUCAAUUUCAGGGUCAUUUAGCUCAAAGAAUGAACUAAUAGCAAAAAGAAUGAACUAGAAAACUUUUAUGAAACUCUAAUAGCAAAAAUAAUGAACUAGAAAACUUGAAUGAAACUCUAAUAGCAAAAAGAAUGAACUUCAAAACUUUAAUGAAACUCUAAUAGCAAAAGGAAUCCACUAAAAAGCUUUUAUAAACGUCUAGUAUUUUUGAAACUGAAAUUAUAUAAAAUUUAUGCAACUAAAAUUAUCAAAGUAUUUUUUGUUCAAAACAUUAAUAGCAAAAAGAAUUUUCAUAAAGAAUUUUUUGUUUGAAACUUUAAUAGCAAACUAAAAUAACAAAAUCUGUUUUUGAUUAAAACAGACAUUUCAAAUAAGCUGAAAAUUACCUAAUUGAAUAUAAUGAUAAAAUAUAGUAGUAUUAAAUAGCAGGAAAAAGAAUCACUCAAAAAUCUAUUUUUAAAGUAAAGUUAUUCAAAAACUAGAGAUUCACACAAAUUUCAAAAAAUUCAAUAUUCACAUUGGAAAACCAAUGGUACUAACAGAAAGUUAAUAAUUUUUAUUACCUAAAAGCCAAAAGAAUCACUGAAAAACUAGUAAGUAUUUUGCUGUAAGUAGAAACAAAAUAAAAUAAAUAAAGCAAAAAAGAAAACAAAAAAACUGGAAAAAAAUUAAAAAUGCCACCUACUGGGCCACCACGGCCUGAAUACGACUAGAAACCCAACCAUGGGCCAGGAUGCAGGCCCGCAGCAGGCCCAAUAGGCCCACAGGCAAGGAGUGACAGAUUAGGCCCGGAAGUCUGCAGUUGAGAGGAGUGAUAACCCACAAGUAUAGGGGAUCAAUUGUAGCCUCUUUCGAUAAGUAAGAGUGUCGAAUCCAACGAGGAGCUAAAGGUAGAACAAAUAUUCCCUCAAGUUCUAUCGACUACCGAUACAACUCUACGCACACUUAACGUUCGCUUUACCUAGAACAAGUAUGAAAGUAGAAGUACUUUGUAGGUGUUGUUGGAUAGGUUUGCAAGAUUAUAAAGAGCACGUAAAUAAAUUCUAGGGGUUGUUUAGAUAAAGACACAACUAAGUUAGUUUCAGUAGAGAGCUUUUUGUCACGAGAAAGUUGUUUGUCCCUAGGCAAUCGGUAACUAGACCGGUAGUCAUUAUUGCAAUUUUCUUCGAGGGAGAGGCAUAAGCUAACAUACUUUCUCUUCUUGGAUCAUAUGCACUUAUGAUUGGAACUCUAGCAAGAAUCCGCAACUACUAAAGAUCAUUAAGGUAAAACCUAACCAUAGCAUUAUAAGGCAUCAAGUCCUCUUUACUCCCAUACGCAAACAACCUACUUACUCGGGUCUGUGCUUUUGUCACUCACGCCACCCACCAUAAGCAAAUCAUGAACAUAUUGCAAACCCUACUGUGGGGAUCCCUCAUGCUUGAGCAACACGGAGAGCACCAUAGGAUAGCACCAAUAAUAAAACAUGCAACUCAAACCAAUCACGAUCAUCGAUUAACCCAUAGGACAACACGGAUCUACUCAAACAUCAUGGGAUAGCCAUACAUCAUUGGGAAAUAAUAUAUAGCGUUGAGCACCAUGUUUAAGUAGAGAUUACAGUGGGUAAAAGAGGGGUUACACCGCUGCAUAGAGGGGGUAAGAGUUGGUGAUGAUGGCGGUGAAGUUGUUGGUGUAGAUCGUUGUUGCGAUGAUGGCCCUGGCGGCGUUCCGGCACCACCGGGAGAGAGAGGGGGAGAGAGCCCCCUUCUUCUUCUUCUUCUUCUUCUUCUUCUUCUUCCUUGACCUUCCUCCUAGAUGGGAGAAGGGUUUCCCCUCUGGUCCAUGGCCUCCAUGGCGGCGGAGGGGCGAGAGCCCCUCCGAGAUUUGAUCUCUCUCUCUAUUUCCUUCUCUUUCUGCGCUCCCUGAUUCUGCCCUUUCACCGUUUCUUAAAUUCCCGGGGAUCCAUAACUCCGAUUGGGCUGAAAUUUGGACACGAUUUUUAUCCAGAUAUUGGCUUUAUUGCGGCGAAAGAAGGGUACCAACCGCCUUACGGAGUGGCUACGAGGGCCCAGGGUGCGCCCUACCCCCUGGGACGCGCCCCUCACCCUCGUGGGCCCCUCGGGCAUCGUCUAGCGUUGAUUCCACUUCCCAAAAUUCACAUAUAUUCCAAAAAAAAUCUCCGUAAGUUUUUAUCCCGUUUGGACUCCAUUUGAUAUGGAUUUUCUGCGAAGCAAAAAACAUGCAAGAAACAGGAACUGGCACUGGGCAUUGGAUCAAUAUGUUAGUCCCAAAAAAGUAUAAAAAGUUGCCAAAAGUAUGUAAAAGUUGUAGAAUAUUGGCAUGGAACAAUCAAAAAUUAUAGAAAAGACGUAUCAGCAUCCCCAAGCUUAAUUCCUGCUCGUCCUCGAGUAGGUAAAUGAUAAAAAGAUAAUUUUUGAUGUGGAAUGCUACCUAGCAUAAUCUUGAUCAUGUAAUCUAAUCAUGGCAUGAAUAGUAAGAAACGAAUGAUUCAAAGCAAUAGUCUAUCAUUUGACAUUAAGACAAUAAUACUUCAAGCAUACUAAUAAAGUAAUCAUGUCUUUUCAAAAUAACAUGGCCAAAGAAAGUUAUCCCUACAAAAUCAUAUGGUCUGGCUAUGCUCCAUCUUCACCACACAAAGUAUUUAAAUCAUGCACAACCCCGGUUUUAGCCAAGCAAUUGUUUCAUACUUUUGACGUUAUCAAACCUUUUCAACUUUCACGCAAUACAUGAGCGUGAGCCAUGGACAUAGCACUAUAGGUGGAAUAGAAUAUGAUGGUGGAGGUUGUGUUGAGAAGACAAAAAGGAGAAAGUCUCACAUCGACGCGGCUAAUCAAUGGGCUAUGGAGAUGCCCAUCAAUUGAUGUCAAUGUGAGGAGUAGGGAUUGCCAUGCAACGGAUGCACAAAGAGCUAUAAGUGUAUGAAAGCUCAAUCUGGAAACUAAGUGGGUGUGCAUCCAACUUGCUUGCUCAUGAAGACCUCGGGCAUUUGAGGAAGCCCAUCAUCAGAAUAUACAAGCCAAGUUCUAUAAUGGAAAUUCCCACUAGUAUAUGAAAGUGAUAACUCAAGAGACUCUCUAUAUGAAGAACAUGUUGCUACUUUGAAGCACAAGUGUGGUAAAAGGAUAGUAGCAUUGCCCCUUCUCUCUUUUUCUCUCAUUUUUUUGUUUUUUUGGUGGGCUUCUUUGGCCUCUUUUAUUUUUUGUGGGCUUCUUUGGCCUCUUUUUUUGUAAAGUCUGAAGACUCAUCCCAACUUGUGAGGGAAUCAUAGCUUCCAUCAUCCCUUCCUAACAUGGAACAAUGCUCUAAUAAUGAUGAUCAUCACACUUUUAUUUACUUACAACUCAAUAUUACAACUGGAUACUAGAACAAAAUAUGACUCUAUAUGAAUGCCUCUCGCAGUGUACCAGGAUGUGCAAUGACCUAGCAUAGCAAAGACAUAAAAAAACGGACAAGCCAUGAAAACAUCAUGCUAGCUAUCUUACGAUCAUGCAAGGCAACAUGAAAAUAAACGCUCAAGUCAUGUAUAUGAUGAUGACGGAAGUUGCAUGGCAAUAUAUCUCGGACUGGCUAUAGAAAUGCCAUGAUAGGUAGGUACGGUGGCUGUUUUGAGGAAGAUAUAAGGAGGCUUAUGUGUGAUAGAGCGUAUCGUAUCACGGGGUUUGGAUGCAUGGUAUGUCUCCACCGUAUCUAUAAUUUUUUAUUGUUCCAUGCUAUAUUAUAUUCUGUUUUGGAUGUUUAAUGGGCUUUAUUAUACACUUUUAUAUUAUUUUUGGGACUAACCUAUUAACCGGAGGCCCAGCCCAAAUUGCUGUUUUUUGCCUAUUUCAGUGUUUCACAGAAAAAGAAUAUCAAACGGAGUCCAAACGGAAUGAAACCUUUGGGAACGUGAUUUUCGAAACAAACAAGAUCCAAAGGACUUGGAGUCUACGUAAAGCAAUCAACGUGGAGAGCACGAGGCAGGGGGGCGCGCCUACCCCCCCACCCAGGCGCACCCUCCACCCUCGUGGGGCCCACGUUGCCCCACCGACGUACUUCUUCGUCCUAUAUAUACCUACGUACCCCCAAACCAUCAGAGGCAUCCACGAAAACCUAGUUCCAACACCGCAACCUUUUGUACCCGUGAGAUCCCAUCUUGGGGCCUUUUCCGGCGUCCUGCCGGAGGGGGCAUUGAUCACGGAGGGCUUCUACAUCAACACCGUAGCCUCUCCGAUGAUGUGUGAGUAGUUUACCUCAGACGUUCGGGUCCAUAGUUAUUAGCUAGAUGGCUUCUUCUCUCUCUUUGGAUCUCAAUACAAAGUCUCCUCGAUUCUCUUGGAGAUCUAUUUGAUGUAACUCUUCUUUUGCGGUGUGUUUGUGGAGACCAAUGAAUUGUGAGUUUAUGAUCAAGAUUAUCUAUGAACAAUAUUUGAAUCUUCUCCGAACUCUUUUAUGCAUGAUUGGUUAUCUUUGCAAGUCUCUUCGAAUUAUCAGUUUGGUUUGGCCUACUAGAUUGAUCUUUCUUGCAAUGGGAGAAGUGCUUAGCUUUGGGUUCAAUCUUGCGGUGUCCUUUCCCAGUGACAGCAGGGGCAGCAAGGCACGUAUUGUAUUGUUUCCAUCGAGGAUAACAAGAUGGGGUUUAUAUCAUAUUGCAUGAGUUUAUCCCUCUACAUCAUGUCAUAUUGCUUAAAGCGUUACCCCGUUCUUAUGAACUUAAUACUCUAGAUGCAUGCUGGAUAGCGGUCGAUGUGUGGAGUAAUAGUAGUAGAUGCAGAAUCGUUUCGGUCUACUUGUUACAGACGUGAUGCCUAUAUACAUGAUCAUACCUAGAUAUUCUCAUAACUAUGCUGAAUUUUGUCAAUUGCUCGACAGUAAUUUGUUCACCCACCAUAAUACUUGUGCUCUUGAGAGAAGCCACUAGUGAAACCUAUGGCCCCCGGGUCUAUUCUCCAUCAUAUUAAUCUUCCAAGACUUAGCUAUUUUUAUUGUCGUUUAUUUUACUUUGCAUCUUUAUCAUAAAAAUACCAAAAAUAUUAUCUUAUCAUAUCUAACAAAUCUCACUCUCGUAAGUGACCGUGAAGGGAUUAACAACCCCUGUUUUGCGUUGGUCGCGAGGUUCUUAUUUGUUUGUGUAGGUGCGCGGGACUUGCGCAUGAUCUCCUACUGGAUUGAUACCUUGAUUCUCAAAAACUGAGGGAAAUACUUACGCUACUUUACUGCAUCACCCUUUCCUCUUAAGGGAAAACCAACGCAGUGCUCAAGAGGUAGCAAGAAGGAUUUCUCGCGGUGUUGCCGGGGAGAUUCAAGCCAAGUCAAGUCAAGUCAAGACAUACCAAGUACCCAUCACAAACUCUUAUCCCUCGCAUUACAUUAUUUGCCAUUUGCCUCUCAUUUUCCUCUCCCCCACUUCACCCUUGCCGUUUUAUUCGCCCCCUCUUUUCCGUUUGCCUCUUUUACGCUUGCUCCUUGUUUGCUCGUGUGUUGGAUUGCUUGCUUGUCACGAUGGCUCAAGAUAAUACUAAAUUGUGUGACUUUACCAAUACCAACAACAAUGAUUUUCUUAUCACUCCGAUUGCUCCUCUUACCGAUGCGGAAUCUUGUGAAAUUAAUGCUGCUUUGUUGAAUCUUGUCUUGAAAGAUCAAUUCGCCGGCCUUCCUAGUGAAGAUGCCGCUACCCAUCUGAAUAGCUUCGUUGAUUUGUGUGAUAUGCAAAAUAAGAAAGAUGUGGACAAUGAUAUUGUUAAAUAGAAGCUAUUUCCUUUUUCGCUUAGAGUCGUGCUAAAGUUUGGUUUUCAUCUUUGCCUAAAAAUAGUAUUGAUUCAUGGAAUAAGUGCAAAUAUGCUUUUAUCUCUAAGUAUUUUCCUCCCGCUAAAAUCAUCUCUCUUAGAAACGAUAUCAUGAAUUUUAAGCAACUUGAUCAUGAACAUGUUGCACAAGCUUGGGAGAGGAUGAAAUUAAUGGUACGUAAUUGCCCUACACAUGGUUUGAAUCUUUGGAUGAUUAUACAAAAAAUUUAUGCCGGAUUGAAUUUUGCUUCUAGAAACCUUUUAGAUUCGGCCGCGGGAGGCACUUUUAUGGAAAUCACUUUAGGAGAAGCUACUAAACUCCUAGAUAGUAUUAUGGUUAAUUAUUCUCAAUGGCACACCGAAAGAUCUACUAAUAAAAAAGUUCACGCGAUAGAAGAAUUUAAUGUGUUGAGUGGAAAGAUGGAUGAACUCAUGAAAUUAUCUGCUACUAAAAGUGUUUCUUCUGAUCCUAAUGAUAUGCCUUUGUGUACUUUGAUUGAGAAUAAUGAUGAAUCUUUGGAUGUGAACUUUGUUGGUAGGAAUAAUUUUGUUAACAAUGCGUAUAGAGGAAACUAUAAUCCUAGGUCAUUCCCUAGUAAUUCCUCUAAUAAUUAUGGUAAUUCCUACAACAAUUCUUAUGGAAAUUUUAAUAAGAUGCCCUCUGAAUUUUAGACUAGUGUUAAGGAGUUUAUGAAUUCACAAAAGAAUUUCAAUGCUUUGCUUGAAGAAAAAUUGCUUAAAGUUGAUGAAUUGGCUAGGAACAUUGAUAGAAUUUCUCUUUGAAACUUAGAUCUAUUCCACCUAAGCAUGAUAUCAAUGAGUCUCUCAAAGCCAUGAGAAUUUCCAUUGAUGAGUGCAAAUAAAGAACCGCUAGGAUGCGUGCUAAGAAAGAUUGCUUUGUGAAAGCGUGUUCUUCUAAUUUUUAUGAGAAUAAAGAUGAAGAUCUAAAAGUUAUUGAUGUGUCUCCUAUUAAAUCUUUGUUUUGCAAUAUAAAUCUUGAUAAUUAUGGGACUGAAUAUGAGUUACCUUUACCUAGAAGGCAUCCCAAAAAUUCGGAGUUUUUAGAUCUUGAUGCUAAAGUUGGUAAAAGUGGGAUUGAAGAAGUUAAAACUUUAGAUAUUAAUGAACCCACUAUUUUGGAUUUCAAGGAAUUUAAUUAUGAUAAGUGCUCUUUGAUAGUAUGUAUUUCCUUGUUGCAAUCCGUGCUAAAUUCUCCGCAUGCUUAUAGUCAAAAUAAAGCUUUUAAUAAACAUAUCGUUGAUGCUUUGAUGGAAUCUUAUGAAGAAAAACUUGAGUUGGAAGUUUCUAUCCCUAGAAAACUUUAUGAUGAGUGGGAACCUACUAUUAAAAUUAAAAUUAAAGAUCAUGAAUGCUAUGCUUUGUGUGAUUUGGGUGCUAGUGUUUCCACGAUUCCAAAAACUUUGUGCGAUUUGUUAGGUUUCCGCGAAUUUGAUGAUUGCUCUUUAAACUUGCACCUUGCGGAUUCCACUAUUAUCUAUGUGCCCGUAGAUUUUAUUGUUCAUGAUAUAGAUUGCAAUCCUUCAUGUCCUAUUAUUCUUGGUAGACCUUUCCUUAGAACAAUUGGUGCAAUUAUUGAUAUGAAGGAAGGGAAUAUUAGAUUCCAAUUUCUGUUAAGGAAAGGCAUGGAACACUUCCCUAGAAAGAAAAUAAAAUUACCUUAUGAAUCUAUUAUGAGAACCACUUAUGGAUUGCCUUCCAAAUAUGGCAAUACCUAAAUCUAUACUUGCUUUUAUGCCUAGCUAAGGGCGUUAAACGAUAGCGCUUGUUAGGAGGCAACCCAAUUUUAUUUUUAGUUUUUUUUCGCUUUUUUCUUCUGUUUAGGAAUAAAUCUUUGAUCUAGCCUCUUCUUAGAUUUGUUUUUGUGUUUUAAUUAGUGUUUGUGCCAAGUUAAACCUAUAAGAUCAUCUUGGAUAAUAGUUAUUUGAUCUUGCUGAAAAUGCCCGAAACUUUCUGUUCACGAAAACAAUUGUUAAAAAUCACCAGAACGUGAUAAAAUAUUGAUUCCAAUUGCAGUAGAUCAAUAAACAAAUUUUCUAGGUCGUCCUAUUUUGGCAGAAUUGUUUUGGUUCCAGAAGUUUGCGUUAGUUACAGAUUACUACAGACUAUUCUGUUUUUGACAGAUUCUGUUUUUCGUCUCUUGUUUGCUUAUUUUGAUGAAUCUAUGGCUAGUAAAAUAAUUUAUAAACCAUAGAGAAGUUGGAAUACAGUAGGUUUAACACCAAUAUAAAUAAAUAAUGAGUUCAAUACAGUACCUUGAAGUUGUGUUUUGUUUUCUUUCGCUAACGGAGCUCACGAGAUUUUCUGUUGAGUUUUGUGUUGUGAAGUUUUCAAGUUUUGGGUAAAAGAUUUGAUGGAUUAUGGAACAAGGAGUGGCAAGAGCCUAAGCUUGGGGAUUCCCAUGGCACCCCAAGAUAAUCUAAGGACACCAAAAAGCCAAAGCUUGGGGAUGCCCCGGAAGGCAUCCCCUCUUUCGUCUUCGUCCAUCGGUAACUUUACUUGGAGCUAUAUUUUUAUUCACCACAUGAUAUGUGUUUUGCUUGGAGCAUCUUGUAUGUUUUGAGUCUUUGUUUGUUAGUUUGCCACAAUCAUCCUUGCUGUACACACCUUUUGAGAGAGACACACAUGAUUCGGAAUUUAUUAGAAUACUCUAUGUGCUUCACUUAUAUCUUUUAGAGCACGGUGGUGGAUUUGUUUUAUAGAAACUACUGUUCUCUCAUGCUUCACUUAUAUUAUUUUGAGAGUCCUACAAAACAGCAUGGUAAUUUGCUUUAAUUAUGAUAGGCAUCUAAGAUUAGUACAAAUAUGUUCUUAUGAGUGUGAUGAAUACUAUGAGAAGUUUGAUGCUUGAUAACUGUUUUGAGAUAUGAAGAUGGUGAUAUUAGAGUCAUGCUAGUUGAGUAGUUGUGAAUUUGAGAAAUACUUGUGUUAAAGUUUGUGAUUCCCGUAGCAUGCACGUAUGGUGAACCGUUAUGUGAUGAAGUCGGAGCAUGAUUUAUUUAUUGAUUGUCUUCCUUAUGAGUGGCGGUCGGGGACGAGCGAUGGUCUUUUCCUACCAAUCUAUCCCCCUAGGAGGCUGCGCGUAAUACUGGCUUUGAUAACUUGUAGAUUUUUGCAAAUAUGAGUUCUUUAUGACUAAUGUUGAGUCCAUGGAUUAUACGCACUCUCAUCCUUCCACCAUUGCUAGCCUCUCUAAUACCGCACACUUUUCGCCGGUAUCAUACACCCACCAUAUACCUUCCUCAAAACAGCCACCAUACCUACCUAUCAUGGCAUUUCCAUAGCCAUUCUGAGAUAUAUUGCCAUGCAACUUACCACUGUUCCGUCUACUAUGACACGCUUCAUCAUUGUCAUAUUGCUUUGCAUGAUCAUGUAGUUGACAUCGUAUUUGUGGCAAAGCCACCGUUCAUAAUUCUUUCAUACAUGUCACUCUUGAUUCAUUGCAUAUCCCGGUACACCGUCGGAGGCAUCCACAUAGAGUCAUAUUUUGUUCUAAGUUUUGAGUUGUAAUUCUUGAGUUGUAAAGAAAAUAAAAGUGUGAUGAUCAUCAUUAUUAGAGCAUUGUACCAAGUGAGGAAAGGAUGAUGGAGAGUGUGAUUCCCCCAUAAGUCGGGAUGAGACUCCGGACUAAAUAAAAAAAGAAAGGCCAUAAAAAAGAGAAAAGGCCAAACAAAAAAAAUGAGAGAAAAAGAGAGAAGGGACAAUGCUACUAUCCUUUUACCACACUUGUGCUUCAAAGUAGCACCAUGAUCUUCAUGAUAGAGAGUCUCCUAUGUUAUCACUUUUCAUAUACUAGUGGGAAUUUUUCAUUAUAGAACUUGGCUUGUAUAUUCCAACGAUGGGCUUCCUCAAAAUGCCCUAGGUCUUCGUGAGCAAGCGAGUUGGAUGCACACCCACUUAGUUGCUUUUCUUGAGCUUUCAUAUACUUAUAGCUCUAGUGCACCCGUUGCAUGGCAAUCUCUACUCACUCACAUUGAUAUAUAUUAAUGGGCAUCUCCAUAGCCCGUUGAUACGCCUAGUUGAUGUGAGACUAUCUUCUCCUUUUUGUCUUCUCCACAACCACCAUUCUAUUCCACAUAUAGUGCUAUGUCCAUGGCUCACGCUCAUGUAUUGCGUGAAGAUUGAAAAGUUUGAGAACACCAAAAGUAUGAAACAAUUGCUUGGCUUGUCAUCGGGGUUGUGCAUGAUUAAAUACUUUGUGUGAUGAAGAUAGAGCAUAGCCAGACUAUAUGAUUUUGUAGGGAUAACUUUCUUUGGCCAUGUUAUUUUGAGAAGACAUAAUUGCUUAGUUAGUAUGCUUGAAGUAUUAUUAUUUUUAUGUCAAUAUUAAACUUUUGUAUUGAAUCUUUCGGAUGUGAACAUUCAUACCACAAUUAAGAAAAUUACAUUGCAAAUUAUGCUAAGAAGCAUUCCACAUCAAAAAUUCUGUUUUUAUCAUUUACCUACUCGAGGACGAGUAGGAAUUAAGCUUGGGGAUGCUUGAUACGUCUCCAACGUAUCUAUAAUUUUUGAUUGUUCCAUGCUAUAUUAUAUUCUGUUUUGGAUGUUUAAUGGGCUUUAUUAUAAACUUUUAUAUUAUUUUUGGGACUAACCUAUUAACCGGAGGCCCAGUCCAAAUUGCUGUUUUUUGCCUAUUUCAGUGUUUCGCAGAAAAAGAAUAUCAAACGGAGUCCAAACGGAAUGAAACCUUCGGGAACAUGAUUUUCGGAACAAACGAGAUCCAGAGGACUUGGAGUCUACGUAAAGAAAUCAACAUGGAGAGCACGAGGCAGGGGGCGCGCCUACCCCCCCACCCAGGCGCGCCCUCCAUCCUCGUGGGGCCCACGUUGCUCCACCGACGUACUUCUUCCUCCUACAUAUACCUACGUACCCCCAAACCAUCAGAGGCAUCCACGAAAACCUAGUUCCACCGUUGCAACCUUCCGUACCCGUGAGGUCCCAUCUUGGGGCCUUUUCCGGCGUCCUGCCGGAGGGGGCAUUGAUCACGGAGGGCUUCUACAUCAACACCGUAGCCUCUCCGAUGAUGUGUGAGUAGUUUACCUCAGACCUUUGGGUCCAUAGUUAUUAGCUAGAUGGCUUCUUCUCUCUCUUUGGAUCUCAAUACAAAGUUCUCCUCGAUUCUCUUGGAGAUCUAUUUGAUGUAACUCUUCUUUUGCGGUGCGUUUGUCGAGACCGAUGAAUUGUGGGUUUAUGAUCAAGAUUAUCUAUGACCAAUAUUUGAAUCUUCUCUGAAUUCUUUUAUGUAUGAUUGGUUGUCUUUGCAAGUCUCUUCGAAUUAUCAGUUUGGUUUGGCCUACUAGAUUGAUCUUUCUUGCAAUGGGAGAAGUGCUUAGCUUUGGGUUCAAUCUUGCGGUGUCCUUUCCCAGUGACAGCAGGGGCAGCAAGGCACGUAUUGUAUUGUUGCCAUCAAGGAUAACAAGAUGGGGUUUAUAUCAUAUUGCAUGAGUUUAUCCCUCUACAUCAUGUCAUCUUUCUUAAAGCGUUACUCCGUUCUUAUGAACUUAAUACUCUAGAUGCAUGCUGGAUAGCGGUCAAUGUGUGGAGUAAUAGUAGUAGAUGCAGAAUCGUUUCGGUCUACUUGUUACGAACGUGAUGCCUAUAUUCAUGAUCAUACCUAGAUAUUCUCAUAACUAUGCUCAGUUCUAUCAAUUGCUCGACAGUAAUUUGUUCACCCACCGUAAUACUUAUGCUCUUGAGAGAAGCCACUAGUGAAACCUAUGGCCCCCGGGUCUAUUCUCCAUCAUAUUAAUCUUCCAACACUUAGCUAUUUUUAUUGCCGUUUAUUUUACUUUGCAUCUUUAUCAUAAAAAUACCAAAAAUAUUAUCUUAUCAUAUCUAUCAGAUCUCACUCUCGUAAGUGACCGUGAAGGGAUUGACAACCCCUUUUUCGCGUUGGUUGCGAGGUUCUUAUUUGUUUGUGUAGGUGCGCGGGACUUGUGCGUGAUCUCCUACUGGAUUGAUACCUUGGUUCUCAAAAACUGAGGGAAAUACGUACGCUACUUUACUGCAUCACCCUUUCCUCUUCAAGGGAAAACCAAUGCAGUGCUCAAGAGGUAGCAAUGCACCGGCGAAGUUUGCACCAACUCUCAAGGUGAAAAAGGGCAAUGCACGAUACCGAAGAGGCUAGCAAUGAUGGAAGGGUGAGAGUGCGUAUAAUCCAUUGACCCAACAUUAGUCAUAAAUAAUUCACAUACUUAUUGUCGGUAUCAAAACCGGCGGAUCUCGGGUAGGGGGUCCCGAACUGUGCGUCUAAGGUCGAUGGUAACAGGAGGCGGGGGACACAAUGUUUACCCAGGUUCGGGCCCUCUCUAUGGAGGUAAUACCCUACUUCCUGCUUGAUUGAUCUUGAUGAAUAUGAGUAUUACAAGAGUUGAUCUACCACGAGAUCGUUAUGGCUAAAACCCUAGAAGUCUAGCCUGUAUGACUAUGGUAAUGAGGCUAUCCCCCGAUCCGAACUAAACCCUACAAUUUAUAUAGACACCGGAGGGGACUAGGGUUGUACAAAGUCGGUUAUAGAGAAAGGAAUCUUCAUAUUUGGUCGCCAAGAUUGCCUUCCACGCCAAGGAGAGUCCCAUCCGGACACGGAAGAGAGUCUUCGGUCUUGUAUCUUCACAGCCCAUUAGUCCGGCCCAUGUCUAACAGGCCGGACGCCCGAGGACCCCUUAGUCGAGGACUCCCUCAGUAGCCCCUGAACCAGGCUUCAAUGACGAGGUGUCCGGCGCACAGAUUGUCUUCGGCAUUGCAAGGCGGGUUCUCCCUUCCGAAUACUCCAAGAUAGUCUUCGGACGCAAUGAACACGUCCGGAUCUGCAACACAAGUACCACACACACAGCCAUAGAGAGUAUAAUAUUUCACAAGUCCAAUCCGCCGACAACUUUUUGUAAUGUGACAUCACACUUGCCCGGUCAUUAUUUCGAACCGUUUCCUGUCCUGCCGUUCCACGUUUUGAGGCGCGGUUUUUAUUGGCACGUCUUGUCGAGGCAGAGAUCGUGUCCCCUUAUUGAGGGAUUUUCAUCAAUAUGAGCGCGGGUAACCCAACCAUUCCAUUGGAAAGAUUCCUUAGGAAUAGGCAGGCUUUCAGGCUUAGGAGGAGGCGUUCGAUACCCGUUGCCUUUAUAAAGGAGCCAAGGGUCAUCUUUAUUUACGCCAAACCUCUCCUCAGCCUUCCCAACCUCGAGUUCUAGCACCCAAGGUUCGACUCCAUUGCUUCAAGCUUCCCAGUCAUGUCCGGACCCAGCCCGCAAGGCCGAUGGGUGGCAUCCUCUGUCACAGAGGUGGACAUUGCGAAGCUUCGGGCGGCCAGAUACCCAACCGUGGAGAUUCCCCACAGGCUUCCUGCUCAAGGACAGGUUAUUCUGACUCCCAGAUCCGGCGAGAGGUUCGUAUUCAUCUCUCACUUCCUCCGAGGGCUAGGGUUCGCUCUUCACCCCUUCGUUCGGGGGCUCAUGUUUUAUUACGGACUAGAUUUUCAUGACCUAGCCCCAGAUUCCUUCCUCCACGUCUCGGCAUUUAUCAUUACGUGUGAGGCCUUCCUCCGAAUUCCCCCACACUUCGGCUUAUGGCUCAAGACCUUCAGUGUGGCGCCGAAGGUGGUCGACGGGAAACAAACGGUGUGCGGCGGUGCUGUAGUGAGCAAGCUUACCAAUACUCACUGGCCAAAAGGCUCUUUCACCGAAACUUGCACCCAAUGGCAGCAGGAGUGAUUUUAUAUCACAGAACCCCGCGGUACCAAGUGGGCCACUAUACCCGCGUUCCGUUCUGGCCCUCCGUUACAGCUUGCAUCAUGGAUUAAUAAGGGGCUGGACUGGGGAUCAGUUGAUGAAGUGCAGACUCUACAGAGCUGCAUCCGAACCCUCCUCGAGAGGGACAUCGAUCUUGUCAACGUGAUUCAAGUAAUGCUAAGCCGCCGAACCCUGCCAUGUCAGUGUAGGCCUCUCCGCAUGUGGGAGUUUAAUCCGGAAGGACCACGAACCUUCCAACACUUCUGCGGCACUACGCACAAAGGAAUGUGGAAGUUGUUUUUCGGGAAACAAAAAUAGUGGCCGGACACCACCGAGGACCUUGGCCUUGACUGCAACCAUCUGGAUACCUCGGUAAGCGCUCAACUUCCAAACACUUUGUAGUUAGGUACACCGUAGUACGUUACUGAACAGACUAUCUUCCUCCAGGGCUGGAUAAAGAAAGCAGAGCGUAUUAGGUGUCCGGCCCCCCUCCCCGAAGACUCAGCGGAUCCCGUACCAACGAGGAUGCUGGCCCCGGCGCCGUACCAGGUGCCUGCGAAGGGAGACAAGGCGGAGAGCGGUAAAGCCAAAGGUGGCCUCCCUUCCGAGGGUACAUCAGACACCGAGUCUGGGGAGAUAAAGAUUCCCCCGCCCUAAGGCCAAAGUGAAGGAGAAGCCAAUAUUCCUUCUCCCCAUGGUAAGAAAAGGGCCACCUCCGAAAGUUGGGAGGAAACGGCUCCUAAGCGAGGCAGGAUGCCCCCGUUGGGUGGCCCGGGCUUGGAGGGCGAUGUCAUCGCAUGGUCCUAGGGAGAGGACAAGCCUUCGGGCAAACCGUAAGUGAACGAGGGUGCUUUUAAACAUAUCCCGUCCCUUUCUUGUGACCGAGGUAACAUCUAGCAUAUAUGUUUUUUGCAGCUCGGCGAACAGUCUUCAGCAAUCCUCUUCCUCAGGGAACCUUCUCCCAGAGAUGAUGGAAAGCGAGACGCAUCCACCGGUCUCCUCGCCCAAUAGGGCGGACGACCUUGAGGUGUCGUCGCGGAGGGUCUCUCCUGAUCAACAAGUGGCGCGAGGGAUGGCGAAGACACAACCCGAAGGUAAUACUUCGGUAGCCCAGAGUCCGGGGGCCGAUAAUAAAGGCCGCGAGCUGUUCGGCCUACAGCCGGAGACAAUCACAGGGACGAAUAAACGGAUCCCUUCAAAGGGAGGCCGUACUCCUACGGCAGCUUCCGGAGAUCCCGAAGCGCCGGACGUAUUGACGAACAUGCUGCACAAGGCGUUUGUCUCAGAGGAACAUCGUACCUUGAUGGGUACGGUGGUUGAAAGGGUUCUAUUCGCGAAAGCGGGUUGAAUGAAGCCUUUGUGAGCUUGCUAAAAGCUUCGAGGUUUGUAAUGUAAUAUUUUUUGAUUGUGCUUGACUCACACACUGCACCUGUGUAUAGGUAGUAGCCCCUGAGACUCGGAUUGGCUUCCCAAGGGAGGCGAUCAGAGGAUCAAAAAAAGAUAUUUCUAGGAAAUAAUAUCAUUAAUUGAAAUGCAGGCUGUCGCUUCCCGGGCGUCCGCCCGGACUACAGAAGUUGUCGAUCUAGAGCGGAAGCUUGAUAUGGCGGGAGAUGACCUUAUGCUUAUCAACAAGCGUCUUGACGAGUCGCAAGGUAUGUUUUUGGGGCAGUCCUUACAAGCGCAUGCUUUGUAAUGUGAGCAUCACGCGAAAUAUUGUAUACUGAGAUAUGCAUUAAUGCAGAUGGUGCCGUCGCAGUCGAGAUCCUUCGGGCUGAGCUGGCCCGGGCCAAAGAGCAGGUCCGGAUUAAUAAUGCGGCUGCCGAGAAGGCAUCUGCCGAGUUAAAGGCCAAACAGGCUGCUCGGCGCCAAUGCGAGGAGGGAAUAUCCAUGAUGACGCGUGAGCUAAAGGAUGCCGCUAGCCACUGUGAAAUCCUCGAGAAGGAUAAUAAAGCCAAAACGGCUGAUCUUAACAAGGCCUUACGGGAGGCGAAAGAAGCGCGGUCUGAAUCUAGAGCGGCCCGGGAGGAGAUCCGACAAGCUGGAGAGAUCACGGUUGGUAAGCCCUUUUUAUUGCAAACUAAGUUCGGUGAUCCGGAUUAUGCUCCACUUAAUCAGGUGUGGAGUUCUCCAGACACGUUAUUGGACCUGCCGAAGAGUGCUUCCGAUGCGGCGCAGUUUUACCAAGCGCAAGAAGGGUGUGCAAUGGAGAAGCUUUCCUGGUCGCAAUUCGGUGCGUCAAAACGCCCACUGUUGCUGAACGAACAGAUGACCCAAUGGGCUGAGCUCCAUAGACUAUCCGGUUCUGUUAUGAGGGACAUCGUGAUCGGGCUGUGGCCGAACGAGCCAAUUUCGGAUAGUUAUUUUGGUUUGGCACGGCGACUUGCUGAUGCGGUGCCGCGUAUCGACGUCGUGAAACGGUCAGCGUGCAUUGAAGGUGCACGGAUGGCCUUUGCCCGUGUCAAGACAUAUUGGGCGAAGAUGAAGGCCACUGAUGUUGCAGCGAAGGGUCCACCCAAGGGCAAGGACCAUCAUGCACCAGAGCAUUAUUUCGAGGAUGUCCUGGAGGGUGCCCGCUUGAUAGAGGGCCAAUGCUCGAAAAACAUGAUAUUCGAGUGAAAUGUAUGGAAAUUUGUAAAAGACAAUAUUACAAUAAGGCUAUUUUUGUAGUUUCGCCUAAAACUUUUGUUCCUCCUGUGCGGCCGUUUUUGUAUUAAUCUGAAAGUUUUCUAGUCGUCGGCUUCAGCCCCCUCGUAUAAAGUACGGGGGUGUUCGGAAAAGCAUUUGGUCACUCUUAACCCAACGUCUUGGUCCAUUAAGGAGGUGUCCAUGCGGUGAACGAGGCAAUCGGACUAUAGGGCAUUAACACUUUCACUUAGCCAUAGGAGUUUUAUAGGGGGGACUACGAUAUAGCCCCUGGUAUGUGUACGGCUUAUUCCAAUAUGGUGUGUUACAUAUAUGACCUGAAGAAAAAUGUCCUUCGUAUAAUAUGGAGGGAAUCGUGAAAGAUUCCGAUAAGUCAUUGAGUGGUUGACCAGCUCUCGCCGCAUCAUGACAGUCAGUUUUUGGCUUUCUCUACUGAGGUGCUUGACCAGAUGAACCGGAAGCACAAUCGCGGUAGUUCUCCCUUUACUACCCUAGCCGAUAGAGCAGAACGUAAGGUAGCAAGCACAGGAGCCGGACAACCCAACUAUUGACCCAAUACAUGAUUCAGAGCUGAUGCAUAUAAGGCCAAACUCGCGACGCCGAAGUGCGCUAUAAAGUUGUUCGGACUUGUCGGCAACUCAUUUGUUCCCAUACCGAGCCCCUGGCAAGUUAUGCCGAGGUGUAUGUGUGAAACAACCACAUGAGCCAAAUUCAGUUCUUUUUAGAAAAAAGCGAAUGCUGGAUGCGGAUUAUGUUUACUGGGACCUGAGUGAUAUGCAAAUCGUUAUUUUAUAGAUAAAAAAGCCGCAACCCUGGCUAUUUGACAUGCCUGGGGUCGAAGGCGGAGGGAAAAGGCACAUUACAGGCUCAAAAUAAAGAGUGCGGUCUACAAAAAGUUAUUUUGGACCUCCUAUCGCACAUCUGCGUUGCCUGUCCUCGGUGAGGGGACUCCUUGACGGGAAUAGCCCUUAGGUGAGUGUACGAAUCCGAACUCCGAUAGAUUCCAUGAGAUGAUUAGCCUUUGCGUCACCUGUGGUAAAGGAAAGAGAAAGAGUAAUUAGAAAGGAAACAAAGGUUAUGGGAGUGCUUGCAGGCUCAUCCGUAUUGUGCUUCCGCCGAUGCCCAGGGUAUCUUAAGUGCAUAGUUAUGUAUGCGCGGUACAGAUUUCGCAGAUAUAUGAGGUUGGCGGCGGAAGCCGAACUGCUAUUUCCGCUCCGGAAUUGGUCGAUCCUGUUGAAUGGAGACCGGUGGCUUAAUGGCCGACAAGGUAUGCGGUUUAAUAAGACCGCUUUGUACUGAAGUUGCCGUAGUAUGAUCUUCAGUCCGGAGGGAGUGCUUCUCCUGCUCCCUUGUAGAGUUGUGUAUCGUGUAUACCAUGUUCACUGUUUUUUUACUUCGGGGGGAAAUUGCUUCUAACCCCCGGUAUUUGGUUGGCGAGUCUCUUCGUCGUCGCUAUCACCGGGCGGCCUCCUCCCCUUGUGUUCGGCGUUGAGCUUGCCGGCCUACUUGAAGACCCAACAACUUCUAUUGGUAUGAUUAGCUGGUUUGUCGGGGUGGCCAUGAAUCUGGCAGGGUCGAUCCAAUAUCCUGUCUAAAUUGGAUGGUCCGUCUCUGUUCGCCUUGAAUGGCUUUUUCCGUUGACCAGGUUUGGGACCGUUGAAUCCGGCGUUGACCGCUGUGUCACGCGUUCUUUCAUUAUCAUUGCAACGUUUGUGCUCGCUGCGUCAUGGCUUGCCAUUGCCGUCUUGGAUUUCGGAAGUGCCCGGAUCGCUGGCACUGUUGCUUCUACGAGCAAGCCAGCUAUCUUCUCCCGCGCAAAAGCGGGUCAUUAGAGCGGUAAGGGCUGUCAUGGAUUUUGGUUUUUCUUGACCAAGGUGGCGGGCGAGCCAUUCAUCCCAGACGCUGUGUUUGAAGGCCGCUAGGGCUUCCGCGUCCGGACAGUCAACGAUUUGGUUCUUUUUAACUAAGAACCUAGUCCAGAGCUUCCUGGCUGACUCUCCGGGCUACUGGACAAUGUGACUUAAGUCAUCGGCAUCCGGUGGCCGAACAGAUGUUCCUUGGAAGUUGUCGCGGAAGGUGUCUUCCAAGUCCUCCCAGCUGCCAAUAGAGUUUUUCGGCGGACUGUUUAACCAGUACCGAGCUGGUCCUUUGAGUUUUAGUGGUAGGUAUUUGAUGGCAUGAAGGUCAUCUCCGCGGGCCAUGUGGAUAUGGAGGAGGAAGUCCUCGAUCCAUACCGCGGGAUCAGUUGUUCUGUUGUAUGAUUCGAUAUUCAUGGGCUUAAACCCGUCUAGGAAUUCGUGCUCCAUUACUUCGUCUGUGAAGCAAAGAGGGUGUGCAGCGCCUCUAUAUUAGGCCACACUGCGACGUACCUCCGAUGGAGUCCGUUUGCGGUUUUUGGCCCGGGCAUGGCUAGGUUUGUCACGUCCGAAUAGGUAGCCGUCUGUAACACCCUGAAUGUAACUUUCUAUAUUUGUAACUCCAACUCUUGCCAUUUCCGGCUUUGUGAUAUGAUAUUUCCUUCGUGGUUGGGUUUUUGUCUCUCAUUUUGAAUUUUGUUCAUGUCAUGCAUUUCAUCUCAUGUCAUCAUGUGCAUCUUCAUGGUGUAGCUCAUUGCAUUGUGGCAUGUUCUAUGUGGAUCCAAGCAUCAUCAUCCCCCUUCUCUCAUCACCACCUCUCCUCCUCUUUUCUUUCUUUGGCAAGUGCCAUCUUGCCCUCCUCCAUUAAUGUUCAUCUUUGCCUCAUAAAUCAUCCACCUCAUCUUUAACCUCUCUGCCAAAUUUCAGCUCAUUUGGAGUUGUGUUGGUUAGGUUCAAAAAUGCUCCAAGUUUGAACUAUAUUCAAACUUGUUGUAUUUUUCUACCUCAAAAAAUGCCCAACUCAAUUUUAUCAAAUUGAGCAUAAUUCCAGAGUUAUGGGGAUAUUUUUAUAUUUCUCUAACUCCUCCCCUAUAUCCCUGUACUUUUCUGUUCAAUUCUCUGUCUGAGGGUAAAGGAAAAAGAAACAGCAGCAGGGGCAGUCAGCAGCACCAGCACCCUGCCUGGGCCUCAGCCCAACAGCGCGGCCCAGCCAGCCUCCCGCAGCCCACCUAGCCCGCAAGCGACAGGAGCUUCGUCCUCCUGUACCGCAGCACAUCCAACAUGUCCAUGUCGACACCCCGGUUGAUUUGACGGCCGUCCGGCGUCCCUAGCCCCUAUAAAGCAUGUCCAAACCCUACCCAGGUCUCUCCUCUGUCCAUCCAGGCCAUCUCCUUCCCUCGCCGCCGCCAAGUAAGGCUAGCCCAAGCCACGCCGUCGCCCUGCCCACGAUGCUCCGGCCGAGCAUGAGCUCGCGCUCGGAGUAGCUCGUCGCCGCGCCUCUGACCCCCUCGGACACGAUGGAGAGGAACGCCAAGUACCUNNNNNNNNNNNNNNNNNNNNNNNNNNNNNNNNNNNNNNNNNNNNNNNNNNNNNNNNNNNNNNNNNNNNNNNNNNNNNNNNNNNNNNNNNNNNNNNNNNNNNNNNNNNNNNNNNNNNNNNNNNNNNNNNNNNNNNNNNNNNNNNNNNNNNNNNNNNNNNNNNNNNNNNNNNNNNNNNNNNNNNNNNNNNNNNNNNNNNNNNNNNNNNNNNNNNNNNNNNNNNNNNNNNNNNNNNNNNNNNNNNNNNNNNNNNNNNNNNNNNNNNNNNNNNNNNNNNNNNNNNNNNNNNNNNNNNNNNNNNNNNNNUCAGAGCUCCCUCGCGUCGUCUCCGGCUCGUCUCCGUCGAAUCCAUCGUGUCCUAGGGUGAGCUGGGUAACGCGUCUCCCUCUCCAUUUCUUUCCAUGGCAUGUAGAACCCCGUAGCACUCGCCCGAUCCAUGUCUUCUCCGCGCUCGUAGUGCUCCGGCAAUCUCUGAAGUUUUAGUUGCGCAUGUUUUGCUCCUGCACGUGCACACGCGCACACGCGCACUCGCGCUCUCCCCUGUUCCCACAUGCUUGCGCACGCUCGCUCGCCGCGCCCAUAGCCCCACAUGCAUCUGCACUCGCGCGCGCACCUUGCCUGCUCAUGCCGCUCGCUCGCCGUGCCGUGCGCACCCGAGACGAGCUCGAGCUCGUGCUCGGGCACCGCAAGCACGCGCCUUCCGCAGCCGCUCCGCGUGCACACCCUGGCCCCGCCUUCAAAUUCCACACCCUCGCCGGUGACCCUCUGCUUCAGUGGUCGCCGUCGUGCUUGCUGGCAGCGGCGCCGUUCUCCUCUGCCGCCGGCAGGACCAGCCAGCCCCGCGCAGCGUUAGGUCAAGAGGUUCAGCGACCGUUUCUUGCAACAACAGCAGCAGGAGCAUAGUGGUUGUGGUCUUGCUGUUCCACCCAGAAGUGCAGGGUUUGAAUCCCAGACUCCAUAUGUGUACCUUCGGCCUUUUAAUUUUUCUUGGGACACUCACGUCUCGGCCCCACUGUCAUACAAACACGCACACAGCUCUCUCCUUUUUUUUUGUGUUUUGUUCAUAUUACCCCACGUUUUCCAUUUGUGGAACGGACCCUCUUUCCUAUUUGGGCAAGUCCAAACCUGAAAAGUACAGAUCAGGCAGUUUUCCAAUUCUGUCAUAUUUCCCUUUUAGGCAGGUUUUAACUUAAUGCACUUGUGGAUGUUUUUCUACAGUGACCCCAACAUAUUAUAUAUGUUUUGGGGGUAAAAAAAUCCAAUGAGUCUAGUGGUGGCAUUAUUUACUGCAUUUGAGCAAGUUUGCACACAUGUCAUUUUGCAUCAUGUUGCUGUUUUGUCUUUUAUGUAUAUAUUUAUGCAAACAUGCUAUGGGGUAGUUUUGCACAUGAACAUGCUCUCCAACAUGCCUACUACAUGCUAGAUUUUGUUACAUGCCAUGACAUGCUUUAUGUUGAGUUAAUCAAGCUUGUAAACAUGCCAACAUGAAUCUGUUUUUGCCAUGCUAGUCAUUUUCACUAAGUCUGCUAGAACUGUUGUCAUUUGCAUUUUUGCCAUGCUGUUUGAGAGCUGUUCGAGUGAGUUAUAGCAGUAGCUCAGUGUUCAUGUAUUGUAGAGAUUAACAUGUAGUUCACUCCCAUGUAUUCAGUUUUCAUGUUUGUUGCUGUAGCAUAUUUAAACCUUGCAUCUAAGUGGCCAUGUUGCUGUUUUAAGCAGUUUGCAUCAUAUCUUGUUUUGCUUGUCGUUUGCAAACCGUGUACCCGUUUCCGGUGAUCCUUAUAUCGAUUUCGACCGAAAUCACCUCCUCUUUCCAGCGGCAUACUUGGUUUGCCAAGUUGAUGCCUCAUUCAUCUUUUUCCUUCCGGAGUACCCAUACGCAUUGCACAUCAUAUAUUGCAUAUCGUGCCAUGUCUUGCAUCAUGUUGCUUGUGCAUUGCACUGUGAUUGAUUGUUGUUCUGUUGCUUGGGUUAUUGCUUUGGGUAGAGCCGGGAGACGAGUUCGUGAACUAGGAACCUGUUGAGUAUGCUAACGAGGAGCAAGCUUUCGACAACUCUGAGAACUUUGCAGGCAAGAUGACCAUUACCCUCGAUAUCACUUCUAUCUUUUCUUGCUAGUUGUUCGCUCUAUCGCUAUGUUGCGCUACCUACCACUUGUUUACCAUGCCUCCCAUAUUGCCAUGUCAAGCCUCUAACCCACCUUCCUAGCAAACCGUUAUUUGGCUAUGUUACAGCUUUGCUCAGCCCCUCUUAUAGCGUUGUUAGUUGCAGGUGAAGUUGAAGUUUGGGCCAUGUUGGAACAUGAUGAUGUUGGAAUAUCACAAUAUCUCCUAUUUAAUUAAUGCAUCUAUAUACCUGGUAAAGGGUGGAAGGCUCGGCCUUAUGCCUGGUGUUUUGUUCCACUCUUGCCGCCUUAGUUUCCGUCAUACCGGUGUUAUGUUCCUUGAUUUUGCAUGCCUUACGUGGUUGGGGUUAUGGGACCCCCUUGACAGUUUGCUUUGAAUAAAACUCCUCCAGCAAGGCCCAACCUUGGUUUUACAUUUGCCUACCUAAGCCCUUUCCCUUGGGUUUUCGCGAGCCCGAGGGUCAUCUUUAUUUUAUCCCCCCGGGCCAGUGCUCCUCUGAGUGUUGGUCCGAACCGGGCAGCCUGCGGGGCCACCUCGGGGAAACUUGAGGGCUGGUUUUACUUGUAGCUUGACCUAUCCGGUGUGCCCUGAGAACGAGAUAUGUGCAGCUCCUAUUGGGAUUUGUCGGCACAGUCAGGCGGUCCUGCUGGUCUUGUUUUACCAUUGUCGAAAUGUCUUGUAACCGGGAUUCCGAGACUGAUCGGGUCUUUCUGGGAGAAGGAAUAUCCUUCGUUAAUCGUGAGAGCUUGUGAUGGGCUAAGUUGGUACACCCCUGCAGGGUAUAAACUUUCAAGAGUCGUGCCUACGGUUAUGUGGCAGAUGGGAAUUUGUUAAUGUCCGGUUGUAGAGAACUUGACACUUGACUUAAUUAAAAUGCAUCAAUCGUAUGUGUAGCCGUGAUGGUCUCUUCUCGGCGGAGUCCGGGAAGUGAACACGGUUUGGGUUAUGUAUGAACGUAAGUAGUUUCAGGAUCACUUCUUGAUCAUUGCUAGCUUCACGACCGUUGCAUAGCUUUCUCUUCUCGCUCUUAUUUGCGUAUGUUAGCCACCAUACUUGCUUAGUGCUUGCUGCAACUCCACCUCAUUACCCCAUCCUACCCAUAAGCUUAAAUAGUCUUGAUCUCGCGGGUUUUGAGAUUGCUGAGUCCUCGUGACUCACAGAUACUACCAAAACAGUUGCAGGUGCCGAUGAUACCAAUGCAGGUGGCAACCGAGCUCAAGUGGGAGUUCAAUGAAGUUCUUGGUCGUUACUAUGUUUCGUUUCCUGAUGAUGAGUAGUGGAGCCCAGUUGGGACGAUAGGGGAUCUAGCAUUUGGGGUAAUCUUCUUUUCAUUUGAAUUCGUCCGUAGUCGGACUAUGUGUGUACUCUGAAUGAUGUAUGUUUAAUUAAUGUAUUGUGUGAAGUGGCGAUUGUAAGCCAACUCUUUAUCCCAUUCUUGUUCAUUACAUGGGAUUGUGUGAAGAUGACCCUUCUUGCGACAAAACCACCAUGCGGUUAUGCCUCCAAGUCGUGCCUCACGUGGGAGAUAUAGCCACAUCGUGGGUGUUACACCAUCGUUGCGUGUCGAGGCAUGUCCUCGCGAUUCAUAGAUCGAUCUUGUAUGUCCUGCUCUACUGUCCAGCUCCUGCCGAAGGUCGUACGUAUAACCCCGAGCUGUUUAUUCCUGCCUUUAUGGCGAGGUGGGGCGGUCUGGUGUUCGGCUUGAGUUGCCGCUUUAUCCCGACUGCGUGGCGGUCGAUCGGCCGCGUUGCGUGAUGAUGGUACGGGCUCCAGCGCCUCGUCAUCGAACUGAGGUAGUAAUUUGCGCUUUGGGUAAUUUUUUGGCUGGCCACUAAGGCCAUAUUCCUCGGCGGACAGGACUCCGGUCCAUCUAUCGUUGAGCAGAUCUUGGUCAGCUUGAAGCUGCUGCUGCUGCUGCUUCUUUUUCAGGCUCCUUGCAGUGGCUACUAGCUGGCGUUUAAAGUGCUCCUGCUCGAGAGGUUCCUCAGGCACUAUGAAAUCCUCAUUACCGAGGCUCUCCUAUUCCUCGGAGAGCGGAAGAUAAUUACUGUCCUCCGAGUCUUCGUGUAUGGCCUGUUCAUCAGGGCUAACGUGCACGUCUUCCCGUUCAUCCUGUUUGGAGAUUGCCCCAACAGGGUCUUCAUUGUCUUCGGCAUCGUCCGGAGUAUUGUUUUCUCCGGUGCCGGUGUAUUUGUCUUUUGCACGACGUGACUUAGAGCGGCGCCACUGACGCCGGCGUCUGGGCUGUAUCUCAGGCGGUUUGUCCUCAUCUGGAUCCUCUUUGUCAGCGUUGUUAGUUUCUUUAGGUUUAUCCACCAUGUAUACGUCGUACGAAGAAGUGGCCGUCCAGCAUCCGGUAAACGGCGGGUUUUGGACCUGCUCCUCAUCGGCAUCGUCGUCCAUACCGUCGAUGUCUUCGGAGCCGUAAUCAAGCAUGUCGGUUAAGUCCUCGAUAGUGGCUAUGUAGUGGGUGGCGGGUGGGAAACGAAAUUCCCCGUCAUCAGCCUCCAGUUCAAACCGGACAUAGCUCGGUUGUGAGUCUCCCGCCAAGGACAGAUUUUUUAAUGAGUUUAGCACAUCGCCAAAAGGCGAGUGUCGGAAGAUGUCUGCGGCGCUGAAUUCGAAGAUCGAUAACUGAUCAAGCUCGGCGUCCGCGGACGCACAUGGUUCGGAACUUAUGGCCGGAAACGAGUCCGAAGUUCCGGAGGCACAGGUAUCACCCGAGGUUAGCUCUGUGUGCGGCUCCGACGCCGUGGAAUCUGCGGCCUCCGUGGCGGGGUUGAACUUCCCGUCCUCGGAUGGCGCGAUUUGCUCCGGAUCUAAGGCCGGACUAGUUUCAGGUGCAAUUUCCUGAGCAUGGUCCGAUGACAGAUUUGGGUCAUGUUCAUCGUAGGGACAGGGAGCGGCUGCCGUGGUCUCAAAGCCGUCGAAGAUCAAGUCUCCAUGGAUAUCCGCGAUGUAGUUCAAGCUCCCAAAUCUGACCUCAUGGCCAGGGGCGUAGCUAUCGAUCUGCUCCAGAUGGCCAAGCGAGUUGGCCCGCAGCGCGAAGGCGCCGAACACGAAGAUCUGUCCGGGGAGGAAGGUUUCCCCUUGGACAGCAUCGUUGUUGAUGAUUGAAGGAGCCAUCGAACCUUUUGGGAACGGCACAGUGGAACUCUCAAUGAAAGCACCAAUGUCGGUGUCAAAACCAUCGGAUCUUGGGUAGGGGGUCCCGAACUGUGCGUCUAAGUUCGAUGGUAACAGGAGGCGGGGGACACAAUGUUUACCCAGGUUCGGGCCCUCUCUAUGGAGGUAAUACCCUACUUCCUGCUUGAUUGAUCUUGAUGAAUAUGAGUAUUACAAGAGUUGAUCUACCACGAGAUCGUUAUGGCUAAAACCCUAGAAGUCUAGCCUGUAUGACUAUGGUAAUGAGUCUAUCCCCCGAUCCGUACUAAACCCUCCGGUUUAUAUAGACACCGGAGGGGACUAGGGUUGUACAAAGUCGGUUACAUACAAAGGAAUCUUCAUAUUUGGUCGCCAAGCUUGCCUUCCACGCCAAGGAGAGUCCCAUCCGGACACGGAAGAGAGUCUUCGGUCUUGUAUCUUCACAGCCCAUUAGUCCGGCCCAUGUCCAACAGGCCGGACGCCCGAGGACCCCUUAGUCCAGGACUCCCUCACUUAUUGCAAAUGUCUAGAAGCUAUCGAAACAAAGCAUUUGUAGCGACCCGACCCGAAUGGAUCAACUCUCUGUGCUUAAGUGUCAUCCCUGGAUCGGUAUGCUGACACACACAGUACUCGAGGAUUUAUAACAGAGUGCAAUCACAUGUAAAAGUAACGUAAAUACUAUUACCUAAAUCUAUAUAGUGGAAGUAACAACAAAGUUGUGGAGUUCCCAACAACGCCAACGGCAAAGUUGAGUGUAGACAUCGUAACCCUAAGGUAUCACUUACUCAUCGUAAGAAUCCUGCAACAUGAGACAUUGCAGCCAUGUAGGUCAGUACAUUGAAUGUACCGGCAAAUUCACACUGUAGAGCAAUGCUGAAUAAUGGCUAUCACAACAUGCAUAUUUGGAUGGUGGAGGCUCUAAGUUUAACAUUUGCAUAAAGCUAAUUUUUCCCUACAACAAAGGAAAACAUUUUAUUUACUACUAAGUUAAAUUACCCAUAUUGAGAAGGUAAGCCCAACUCAAUCCAAAAAUUCCCAAAUCAUUAAUAACCUAACAAUUUCAUUAAAUAGAGUGAUGCGAUCAAAUCAAUAAUUCAAGUACCAGAUACUCAAGAUGUCCAUAACAGGGGACACGGCUAAUCAUGAUUAGUAUGUACACUCUGCAGAGGUUUGCGCAAUUUUCCCCACAAGAUUCGAUCUCCUCCAUUGAAUUUCUUGCACUACAUGAUGCUUGAGAAACGGAUGACCGAGACACAGUCUUUCCGAAGAGUUCCCCUUAACCGAUAGAUAGGCCGGUACACCUACAAUCCCCUACAUCUGCUAGCCCAUCAUGGAAAGGUUUCCCACAACUUACUCAACUAUGCCAGAGGCCAUAAUGGCUUGUGGCUGCACACGGAAGUUUCUAGCAUUAAUAAUCUUAUGAUCCCUUUGAGCCUGGGUGGCAAACCAUAGGAUGAUCACACGGGUUUCCCGAGAUCUCCUAGGACAACAUUGGAUUCCCUAGGUGUCCGGGCAAUCCACUGGUAUCCCCAGGGUGCCCCAACCAAUCCACCCAGAUGUGUAUUAAAGUAGCCACCUUAAGUUAACCAUUAAUAAUAACUCUCACAUCUUCCAUGAUUCACUCAAACCAAACCACGUCUACAAGCAUAGCAUAGCAGUAUAAGCAUAACGUAAUAAUACCCGGGGUUGACAAAAUACAAUAGGUUCCUACCUCAGCAACUACUUCCCAGUAACCACAUGUUAACAAAUCCCAACCAUGCAAUGUUUGAGGGUUGAAACUAAUGCAUAAAAAAACUGGGUAAUAAAGAGAUAUGAUCAAAGUGUGAACUUGCCUUGUACUGUUGAUGAAGAUUCGUCGCACUCAUAAUUCUUGAUAGUUCUACUCGUCACACUCCGGUCAAUCUAUCGUGAGCAAGCAAUUGCAUACAUAAGCACUCAUGCAAAAGAAUCGAAGAAAAGAUCUCAGAAAACUUCAAAAAUAGGAAAAUAACUCUUGCAACAGAAAACAAUUUCUAACAGUACCAAAAUUAAGUGAAUUUGGCCUUAUCAGAAAGUUUAGGUCAAGAGCUUCGAUUUGCAACAAGAAUCAAUUAAAUCGGAGUUAUAAAACUCGAGUUAUGAACAGAAGAAGUUUGAAUACAAAUCUGUUGAAAUCAAAUUUUAUACUUUUAAAAAUAUGUUUAAGUUGCUUAUCUGGGUAGAGGGGAUCAUAACGAAGAAGUGGGCAUUGGUUUCGUUGGAUUUGGACAAACGAUUAAAAAGUUGUGAUCGUUUGAAGAUCAGGGGCUAAUCUGAAAAUAAACUAAUUGCAUCUAGGUCCCUGGCCGAAAUUAAAACAGAAAAAGAAAAAAUCUAACGAACGCUCGCUGCAGAAGCUUAUAUGACGAAAACCGUUCGCUACAGAACCUAAACUAGCGAACGUCCACUAAAUAACCUAACUAAAUAAUAAAACCGGCUUUUAAAAGAAAAACCCGAGAAAACCUAAAAAAAAAAAUUGGACCGGGGCAGUUUAUUACCGGUUCGGCGGUUCGACCUCGGAUCGUCGGCGGCGGCGGCGGGCUCCGGCGAGGUGGUGCAGGGCGGCAGCAGCGGCGACGGCNNNNNNNNNNNNNNNNNNNNNNNNNNNNNNNNNNNNNNNNNNNNNNNNNNNNNNNNNNNNNNNNNNNNNNNNNNNNNNNNNNNNNNNNNNNNNNNNNNNNNNNNNNNNNNNNNNNNNNNNNNNNNNNNNNNNNNNNNNNNNNNNNNNNNNNNNNNNNNNNNNNNNNNNNNNNNNNNNNNNNNNNNNNNNNNNNNNNNNNNNNNNNNNNNNNNNNNNNNNNNNNNNNNNNNNNNNNNNNNNNNNNNNNNNNNNNNNNNNNNNNNNNNNNNNNNNNNNNNNNNNNNNNNNNNNNNNNNNNNNNNNNNNNNNNNNNNNNNNNNNNNNNNNNNNNNNNNNNNNNNNNNNNNNNNNNNNNNNNNNNNNNNNNNNNNNNNNNNNNNNNNNNNNNNNNNNNNNNNNNNNNNNNNNNNNNNNNNNNNNNNNNNNNNNNNNNNNNNNNNNNNNNNNNNNNNNNNNNNNNNNNNNNNNNNNNNNNNNNNNNNNNNGGUGGCGAGAUCCAGCGGCGGCGGCUUGGGAGGAGAGAGAGGGCCGGGGCCUCGCCUUUUAUAUGCGGGAGGAGGUGGUGGGGUGGCUUGGAGGAGGGGCGAUGCGAGGCAGUGGCGGUGUCCGGAUCGGGGACGAGCGGCGGCGGGCGUGCUGAAGUCGGUCCCCGACUCGAGGUCGGGGACGAGCGGCUGGGCCGGCUGGGCUACGGCCCAGUUCGGUCCGAAAGAUUUUUUUACACACACACAAACACAAAAUAAAAUAAAACGUCAAAAAUAAUAAAAAAUUAUAUAUAGCAUAUUAUAUGUCAAAAUUUUCAGAAAAAGAUUUUCUAAAACAUGAACAUUUUACUAGUGUCAAAUAAAAUCCACAAAAACUUAAAUAAAUCAAAUAGUGCUACUGGUUUAUUUAAAAACCAAAUAAAAAUAUUUUAAAAUACCAAAAGGAUUUCAAAACCAUUUUUCUCCAAUUUUCUACUAUAGGGAAUCAUUUUAGCCUAAUUUCCAUUUAUUUUAUUUUUAUGGAGAAAAAAUAAUUUGAAUAAAAACCAAAUAACUCCAAUUUGAAAAAUAAUUUCAAAGGGACUUUAAAUUUGAUUUCCUUUAAACUCCCAACUCAUAUUUCAUAUGGUUUGAAGAAGUCAUAUUAUCUUCUCUCAUGAAAAUCAUUGAGUUGCUUAGAGUUUCUGAAUUGGAAAUAUUUCCAAAUGAAAUUCAAAUCUUUUCAAAACCCUUUUCAUUUAUUUAAAUGGAAGAAGUCAUGUCAUCUUCUCUCUAGGGUUUUGUAUUUGAAAAGAAUUUGAAUUCAUGGAAAUCAGAAAGCAAAGUGAAAGUUUGGGAAAGUCAUUUUAUUCCCUCUCAUUUAACUUUCAAAAAGUUUCAAAUUUCACUCAAUUUCACACAACCAACCACACCACAAUCUAACAAUCAAUCAAAACUAUUUAUUUAAUAAAACAUUCCAAAAUUUAGAAUUUUGGGAUGUUACAAACCUACCACCCUUAAAAUGAACCUCGUCCUCGAGAUUCGGAGAGGCUAGCAAGAAAUAGGUUAGGUUUGGGGGUCUUCUCAAAAUCCAGCAAUCGUCUCCGGGGGUCUCGGGUGCUACCACCCCUAGAAGCAUUGUUACGGUUCCAUCAAAACUCAUAUACUCCAUCCUUAUUCUUGAUAGUGUCGGUCUUCUCAGAUUUUCAGGAAAAUUCCUUCUUUGGGCUCUUCCUGUAGUGGCAUAACCUUUACCGCAAUUCUUCUGUCCUUUCAUCUUGAUACAGUUCUUCCAUGAUUGGGUCUUCUUAGCUGACGGGUCUGGCGCCAAUACUAAACAACUAUCGAUAUCUCAUGGUGGUCAAAAAUUUAUGGUUUCUCCUGCAGGAAAUUGGUCUGGGCUUCAUUCUCACCGUAUGACCUACGAUUGGGAACAGCUGCCUUGUACAAGGGAAAAUACUUAUACCAUUCUAUGGUUCAAACAAGGUUUAAUAUCGUCAUCUCUCUACUAUAGGCAAGUCACUCAGAUUUACCAUCCCAUAUAGCAAGGCGAAUAAUAAGAGUAAGUCGGUAUGGUGAUCAAUCCAUCCCGCACCCAAAUCAUUACCUUGUAUAUGGUUUAGCGAAUCUCGCAUUAUAACACUCGGUCAUCCCCACAAGCAUUGCAGAAUUUCUCUUGUCGACAAACCAAGUUCGGAUAAAUCCAUUGAUUCUGUAAGCCAAACAAACAUCUAUCGUUUCUUCACAACUCUCAGGUUUUGCGUAAACUCCUAUGAGAUCGUCUGUUGAUAAAGUUGUAACUUCUUCCAGGGUUUUUCCUUCAGCAAGAGUGUGCUUGCUUCUUGGCAGGUCCUGGGGCCUGUGGGUUAUGAGCCAACCUCAUCACUUGUAAACCUUGAACUCUUCUUCGGGGCAACUGAUCAUUAUUCCAAUAUCCAUCUUCCUAGCAUUCUUAAAUCCAUCCAAUUGUACUGUAUCGCUUCCUUCUAUUGGUACCAAACUAAGAUGUGAUUACUCAGACUCAUCAUGGAGUUACAAUUGCUCCAUCUACCAACAUUAUACCUCCUUUAUAAGCAAUGGUACUUCAUCCCUUCAUAUUCUUGGGGCAUCCCACAUACCGAGAUAAAAAUUGCACUUAUUUUGUCUGAAGUCCACUCCGUGGAAUGUCCUUAUCUUUUCCAGGGGUCAAGUAUCCUCACAGGGUACUACCACCCUUGAAAUGCUCAAAUUCUUCCAUAGACCAUAUUUCUCAUAUCCUCGAAAAUGGUCAAAACCUUCCUUCAUAGAGUCACUACUAAAAAAUCCAAAUCAGUACCAAUGCGAUUGAUUCUCAAAUUGUUACAAUCUCCGGCAUUUCCAUUACAUGCCUCAACUCAACACUUCAAUAUAAAAGAAUUGUUCACACUACUACUACUAUUUUUUUUGCAAACUCAACAAUUUAGCACAAGCCUCCUUCUCUUUGGGACAAUCUCUGGCAAAGUGCCAUGCUUCAUUACAGCAGAAACAUAUUACUUCUGACAAGUCUCGUGGUUUCCUUGUGAUUUCAUAGCCUCCUUGGGUCCUCGGCUUCCUUUUUGGGCAACCGCUGAAGUAGUGCCCUGAAUCUUUGCACCUGAAACAGGUGAUAUGACUUAGGUCUUUCCUGGAAUCCAAUCUAUUUCUCUUCCUGGACUUUUCCGUACCAAUUAGGGCUUCUAUUUCCUGUGGGUCAUAAUCUACUUCCUCUGUCAGGAAUUCUACUAGAUCUCCCUUCAGACAAUUCUGGGAGAUGUGUCCUUCCUCUGUCCUCGUCGCCGUCGCCCCGUGCCCCCUGCCCCGACGCCGGCCGCCCCGACGCCGCCCCGCGCCCCCGGCCUGCCUCGAUCACGUCAUCGCCGCUCCGGCCCCUGCUCCGUUCCCGAGCCCCUGCCCCGGCCCACCCCCACCCAGGCCCGCCUGUCGGGGGAAACGACACCAAUGGGAUCACAAGAAUCCCUACUACGGUUGCCGGGGCGCAGGGUUGCAAGAAGAGCAAGAUCAGUAGCCAGAACAAGGAGCGUUUACCCAGGUUCGGGCCGCGAGGAUGCGUAAAACCUAGUCCUGCUUUGGUGGGUGUAUUUCAAAGAGCUCUUGAGCUCUCGAACUAGCUGUGGUGAGUGCGUGGUUCGAAAGAGCCGAAUACUUCUCCAGUAUGCCAUGGGCCUCCUUUUAUACUCGAAAGGGGCUGCCAUAGUGGCACACAUGAGGUGGAAAGGCGCAUAGUGCCCUGAGCUUAUCGCUUGUAUUACAGGACAAGAUGCAUUUAAUGCGUAGCUUAGGUGUCCCCCUGCUUUAUCGGGGACGGGGCGAGGCCCGUCCCGUUCGCCGCCGCUCCUCCUUGCUUCGACACGCGCCUUGGCCAGCGAUGCGUGCGGCGCCAUGUAGGCAGGCAAGCAGCUGAGGUGGCAUGGUGGUGGAGCCUUCACGAAGAUAUGCAUGCCGCCACGCAGGCGCUCGAUGAGUUGGCCUGGGGGCUGCAUGUUGCCACGCAGGUGCCGCCCAGCUGGUUGGGCUGGCAGCUGCAUGUGAACGACGGUGGAAGCUUGGUUGGCGUGGGCCUGGCGGUGGCCCUGCUGGCGUUCUUGGUCAGGGCCUUGCCGGGUGGCCUGGCAAGGGUCUUGCCGUGUGGCCCGGCAAGGGUCUUGCCGUGGCGCGCUGUUGUCCCCGGCAAGGGCCUUGCCGGGGGUCUGCUGGCCUUCCUCGGCAAGGAUCUUGCCGAGGAUCGUCGUCUUCUAAUCCUCAUCUGAUCUUGAAUAUGUCUUCACAAAGAUGCAUGCCACCACAGAGGUGCCUUCACGAGCCCUGGCCCCACGUGGAUGAUGGCAUUGGGGACCGUGGGCUCAAGGGUGGCUCGCUCUGUUGGUGUGGGGCGAGCUGCCCCGACAAGGGUCUUGCUGGGGCUGCUGAGGCUUCCCCGGCAAGGGUCUUGCCGGAGGAGCCUGCUUCGUCCCUCUGCUCCUUGUGGUCUCGGCCUUGGCGUUGCUCUGAUUAUCUUGGGCUUCGGUCUUACCUUGGCUCACCUCCCCUCUUCUGCUUGGUGUGACCAUGGGCGCGGCUCCGACUGCCCGUGCACAGGUAAAGGGGUACAAAAGCGUGCCCCUCUUUUUGUACACCAACAGGAGCCCCCAGGACUGGGCCACACAUAAGCUCGACACGUUGUUGGGCCAGGCCCAAAACGGUGCGCGGGCAGGCGGGGCGGUUUUUACCGUGGUAAGACUUUUCGCGCGCUGCGCUUCCCAUGACCCGCGUGCGUCGCGUGGCGUGGAGGGGUGUGCGUGACGUGGGCGGCAUGCGUGGAGCGGUUUCUGCACGCAUGCGUCACAUCGCAGUAAAUGGGCAGCGCGACCCACGGCUUCCCCAUAAAAAGGGAUAACCGCGGGCGCACUGUUCCUUUUACCCUUCGCGCAACCCCAAUCUCGGAAACCUCCGCUUGCUUCCUCUUCUUCUCCAAGCUUCGUUCCUGCUCGCUGCCGUUGUGCUUCCGCUGCCCUUUAUCCUGCCCUCCUCCCUCAGCCGCCAUGGCGCCAAAAUCCACCAAGGGCAAGGGAGUGGCCAAGGACGCUGGAACCGUGGAGCCACCGGAGAGUGUGCUGGCGGUGCAGCGGACGCAAUCCGCCUUCUUCCCCUCGACAGUUGAUGUGUUCGAGCUUCGGGACUCCUUCAGGCCCCUGUGGGGAGNNNNNNNNNNNNNNNNNNNNNNNNNNNNNNNNNNNNNNNNNNNNNNNNNNNNNNNNNNNNNNNNNNNNNNNNNNNNNNNNNNNNNNNNNNNNNNNNNNNNNNNNNNNNNNNNNNNNNNNNNNNNNNNNNNNNNNNNNNNNNNNNNNNNNNNNNNNNNNNNNNNNNNNNNNNNNNNNNNNNNNNNNNNNNNNNNNNNNNNNNNNNNNNNNNNNNNNNNNNNNNNNNNNNNNNNNNNNNNNNNNNNNNNNNNNNNNNNNNNNNNNNNNNNNNNNNNNNNNNNNNNNNNNNNCGCGUCAUCCCUGCCGACUGCGCCGAGGCUGCCCCAAAUCGGUACCCCUUCUUUGUCGAUUAUUUUUCCUGUGGGCUCUGUCCUCCCUUCUCCGAUUUCUUCAGCGACGUCAUGCAUACCUUUGGCUUCUGCCUCCUGGAUUUUACUCCGAAUGCGGUGGCGUGCAUGGCCCUUUUCGCGCAUCUCUACGAGGGCUUCGGCGGGGUGCACCCCAACACGGCGCUCUUUCGCCAUUACUUUUCCCCUCGGAUCCAACCAGGGGGCGCCAUCUCCGGUUGCAUCACCUGGGUCUCAAGAUCCAAGGGAGCGUAUCCGGAGGGCGCCAUGAAGGAGAGGUGGGAAGAAUGGCGGGGCCGGUGGUGCUGGAUUGAGGAGAAGGACCCGCCGGCGUUCUGCGAAGUUUGCCGGGCGUCGCCGGUCCGCAGAAGCGAUUGGAGCGACGUCGAUGCUGACGACGAGAAGCUCACGGUCGCCACCACCAGGAUCCUCCAGCUCACCGAGGCAGGCCUCACCCUUGAGAUGAUCGGGGCGGACUUCAUUUGCCGCCGGAUCGCUCCACAGCAUAACAAGGGGAGGCCAGCAUGGCUCUUCACGAACCCCGCCGACAUCAUGCGGCUUCGUCCCGGCCUCGACCACAAUUUCACGGUGAUGGGGCAUGCCCAUUUCUGCCAGCGGCUCUUCCAGCUUGACAUGGGCCGUGACGGCGAGGUCGAGCGGACCGGCAAGGUCGCGAGGGCCGCCGCGAAGGCCGGCAAGGUCCUCAAGGGGCCUCUGUUCAAGCUGCCGGCGGGGGUGGUCCCAUUGUGCAAUAACUCGCGCCGGUCCGAUAUCAUUGCCAUGAUGCCAGACUGCAACGCGCAUGGCCCUGACCCGAGCUAGAAGGAGCCGGAGGAUGCCGAGGUGCAGCAGUUCUUUGAUACUCUGUACGAGGGGUACGUCAAUGCCGAUGCCGAGCGGCUGCUUGUCCAGGACACCACCCAGGCGGAACUGGACUACAUCGCCACCAGGGCGAGGGAGGCACAGCUUGCCGAGGAGGCCGGCAGUGCUGGCGGUGUGGAGGACAAGGCCGCGACGGCCGUGGAGGAGGAGGAGCUCACCCGGUGGGCGGCGGCCGCCGGGGAAGCCAGCAGCGCGGGCACCGAGGCUCCUCUGGUUGAAGAUGUGGUCGACGAGUCGUCGGAGAAGGAGGCCGGGACCGCCGGCCCGACGCCAGCUAUGGGAAGAGGGUGAGUCCUGCGGCGGGCCAGUUCCGGCGAGCCGGUCCGGCCCGACAGGGCUGCGCGGCCGCAGCUGACCUUGGAGGGGUCCGGGCGCCACACGAUGGCAGCGGCGGCAAAGAAGCCGGCGAAGGCCGCGGUGAGGAAGAAGACAGCCGCCCCUUCUUCGUCCAUGCGUUUCCAGACACUACCUCUUUCCCCCCUCUGGCGGAUGUUGACACGGAGGUUACUUUCGAUUAUGUGUCCCUCAGCACGAGGAGGAAGAGGAAAACGGCAGAGGAGGAGGCGGACGACGAGUAAGUAUCUGGUUCCUUUUUGUUAUCUCUGCCUCCUCAAUCUGUGCUGCUCGUCUUGACUUGUCUUCGCCUUUGCAGGGACGUGAAGAUGCUGGCCCAGAGAGUGAAGAGGGCCAAGGUCUCGGCGGGUGGCCAGCCCCCGGUUGGUAGUUCGAGGGUGCCACUAGUGGUGUUGAGCAGCCCGAACAGCAGCCUCCGGCAUAGCCCCCAGUAUAAGUUCAUCAUUCUUCCCCCGUUGACAUGUGUCAGGGGCACGAUACUUUGGUGCUGACCUUGCCAGGUAUGCUGGAGGAGAGCAGCAGGAGGAGGAGCCGCAGAGGGCUACGCCUAACACGCCGCCCCCAUCGACCACGCCACCCCGAGGGGCGUCCCCGGCAAGGGCGCCAAGCACCGAGCCCACGCACAUGGAGGAGGAGGAGAACUUGGGCGCCGGCGGCUUUGCCUCGACGCCAAAUGUUGGCGGGGAGGGGACUUCCGUUUCCCAGCCUGGUACUGGCACAGGUAAGUCGUUCACCGUUCGUCCCUGUUUCUUUUUCUUUCUGGCUCUUGGUCCUGGCCUUGCCUCACCCCCUUCUUCGGCGUCCAGAUUCCUCCUCGGUGAACCCAGAUGACAUGGGCGCCGUCAUCGAGGACGUCGCCAAGGCCGCCGAGGCGGACGCCGAGAAGAUCGCCGCCGAAGAGGCCGCCAAGGGGCCUACCGGGGAGGCCGGCAAGGCUGCCACCGAGGAGACCGGCAUCGGGCCUGCCGGAGAGGCCGGCGGGGCCGCUGCCGAGGAGGAGGAGGUGGUGGCUGAUGACUAGCCUUCCUCUUCUGCUGCUUCCUGCUCCGGCAAGUACCUGAGGGUGAGCGACGACUUGUUUGUCCACCUUCCAGGCGCGUCGAGCACCAGGACACCCGUUGAGGGAGAGGUGUUCGACGACGAAGUGCUUGCCGCCGCCGGGCUUGAAGUCGUCGAUGAGCCGAUCAUUGGUGGCGACGGUUCGCAGGAAGUGCGGCUCCUCCACGCCAUGGGCGCCAGCUUCCGGAGGCUCCAGGCGCUCCACUGCGCCCGCCUAGACAAGGCUAAGUCCAGGACGGCGGUGGUGGAGAAGGCGGAGGCGGACCUCCAGAAGCGCGUUGCCGAGACGCAGGACUGGUUCCGCGAGGCCCACAAGGAGCUCAAGGCUGGUCAGGGCGAGCUGGCCAAGCGCGACGUGGAGCUCACCAUGAAGCUCGCCGACGUCGAGAAAGCUCAAGAGACGGCGAGGAACUUGGGCGCGGCCGCCGAAGCCGCCCGGACCCAUGACGAGGCCGUGCUGAACUCCCAGGAGGAGGACCUCGCUGCACGCGAGGAGAAGCUUGCCGCCAUGCUUCGCGGCAAGGAUGCAGAGGUGGAGAAGCUUGUCUUGCAGCGGACCAGUGAGCUGGAGUAGAGGCACAAAGAGGCACUCAAUGCCCAGGCCCAGGUUCACGCCGGCAAGGUGGAGGAGCUGGAGGCGGAGCGCAACAGGCUGAAGGAGCAGGCCCUGAAGCUGUCCCAGGAGAAGGACACGCUUAACAGUGCCCUGACAGAGGCGCAGGGCGCGGUCGUCAGCAAGGCUGGGGAGCUCUCCGAGGCCAACAACUCCAUCAAAGACCUCAAGCUGAAGCUGGAGGGUCUCGAGAAGGUGCUGUCGGAUGCCAAAACCCGAGAGGGGACCCUGGCCAAGGAGCUGGAGGCCGAGAAGCAGUUGCGGAAGAACGAGGGCCUCAACUUCGCGGAUCACGUGGAGGGCAAGAACCGUUGGCUCGAUCGCCUCGCCACUGUCACCAACCAGGCCGCCGCGCAGCUGGCCAUCAUGGGGAUGCCGGAUAUGAGGUAUGUCCCGGAGCGGAGCGUGAGCGCCAAUUGAUCAGCCUGACCAUGUUCUUUGAGAAGGUCGUCGGCGCUCUGGAGCGGCUUCACGCCAACCGGGCAGCCUCACUGGCCGACGAGUCCCGGAGGCUUUGCCAGGGUGCCAUGACCAAGGUUCUCACCAAGGUGGCACACUGGUACCCCGACCUCGACUUCGACGCCGCGCUGGAGAGCUUGCCGGAGGGUACUGACCUCGCGCCGCUCAGGGAGCGCAUCAAGCCCAUCAUCAACCGAGUCGGCGAAAUUCAGAGGGUGGAGGGCCAGCGCCGGGAUUAGGCACCCCGUUAUUUAUCGCCGCUGCAGGUUCACAACCAAGACAAUCGCUUUCUCUAGUUAGAACCGCAGCAACAAUUCGAUGUAAUAUAACUCUGCAGCACUUUCAGUAUCAUGCAUGUUAUUUUCCUGUUUGAUUUUCCUUUGUAUGUCCACCCUACGCUAACUGGUAGGUUUGCGGGCGCGUAAACCCAGGGCGGCGUCUUGGGGACGGAUCCCCAUUGGCCUGCCGGGUGUGCUUGCUGCCGGGCAAACCACCUUGCCGUCCUUAGCGCGGCCGCCCGAACUGUCGAGCUUGACUCGAGUCAGAAUCGAGAGCGUUGCCAGGUGCGGAAGGCUACCCCGCCAUUCUCGACGCUUCCACUUGAGCUGUUGAGCGGACUCGAAAGAGAACAAGGGCGUUGCCAAUUGUGGGAGGCCCCUUUGCGUGCAGGUCUCUCAUACAUAGGCAAAAUCUCCGAGGACGAUAACCAUAUAUAUAUAGGAGGAAAUAACUCAGAGCUCUGAAUGACUUAGCUUUUCUGUUGCCGCGCCGGCGUCGUUCCUCCGGCUGCCUUCUUCUCAGGAGCCAAGGGCGAUGAAGAACCGCUAGGUUAGCUACUAGGCCAGAUUCUCACAAUCGCGCCCCCUACCUGGCGCGCCAAAGAUGUCGGGGGAAACGACACCUAUGGGAUCACAAGAAUCCCUACUACGGUUGUCGGGGCAUAGGGUUGCAAGAAGAGCAGGAUCAGUAGCCAGCACAAGGAGCGUUUACCCAGGUUCGGGCCGCGAGGAUGCGUAAAAUCCUAGUCCUGCUUUGGUGGGUGUAUUUCAGAGAGUUCUUGAGCUCUCGAACUAGCUGUGGGAGUGCGUGGUUCGAAAGAGCCGAAUCCUUCUCCAGUAUGCCAUGGGCCUCCUUUUAUAGUCGAAAGGGGCUGCCACAGUGGCACACAGGAGGUGGAAAGGCGCACAGUGCCCUAAGCUUAUCGCUCGUAUUACAGGACAAGACGCAUUUAAUGUGUAGCUUAGGUGUGCCCCAUGCUUUAUCGGGGACGGGGGCGAGGCCCGUCCCGUCCGCCGCCGCUCCUCCUUGCUUCGACACGCGCCUUGGCCAGCGAUGCUUGCGGCUCCAUGUAGGUAGGCAAGCAGCUGAGGUGGCGCGGUGGUGGAGCCUUCACGAAGAUCUGCAUGCCGCCACGUAGGCGCUCGAUGAGUUGGCCUGGGGGCUGCAUGUUGCCACGCAGGUGCCCGCCCAGCUGGUUGGGCUGGCAGCUGCAUGUGAACGGCGGUGGAAGCUUCGUUGGUGUGGGCCUGGCGGUGGCCCUGCUGGCGUUCUUGGUGAGGGCCUGCCGGGUGGCCUGGCAAGGGUCUUGCCGUGUGGCCCGGCAAGGGUCUUGCCGUGGCGCGCUGUCGUCCCCGGCAAGGGCCUUGCCGAGGGUCUGGUGGCCUUCCUCGGCAAGGAUCUUGCCGAGGAUCGUCGUCUUCUAAUCCUCAUCUGAUCUUGAAUAUGUCUUCACAAAGAUCUGCAUGCCACCACAGAGGUGCCUUCCCGAGCCCUGGCCCCACGUGGAUGAUGGCGUUGGGGACCUUGGGCUCAAGGGUGGCUCGCUCUGUUGGUGUGGGGCGAGCUGCCCCGGCAAGGGUUUUGCCUGGGCUGCUGAGGCUGCCCCGGCAAGGGUCUUGCCGGGGGAGCCUGCUUCGUCCCUCUGCUCCUUGUGGUCUCGGCCUUGGCGUUGCUCUGAUUAUCUUGGGCUUCGGUCUUACCUUGGCUCACCUCCCCUGUUCUGCUUGGUGUGACCGUGGGCGCGACUCUGACUGCCCGUGCACAGGUAAAGGGGUACAAAAGCGUGCCCCUCUUUUUGUACACCGACACCGCCUCCGCGUGCCGGCGCAGCCAUCUCUGUCGCCGUCGCCAGCCGCCAUCGCCGUCGCCAGCCGCCCCCGCUGUGAGCCGCCGCGCCGCCCCGGCUCAUAGCAUUCUUUUUAUAUGUUCAUAGCAUUUUUUUAAUAUAUAUGUAUUUUCUUUUUCAUAUAUGCGGCUAUGUAUUUUUUUUGUUCAUAUAUGUUCAUAUGGAUGGAUGUAUAUAUAUAUAUGAUGUUCAUAGAAUAGAUUUUUUGUUCAUAGAAAUUAGUUAAAAUGAGGGGGACGUCGGACAUGACAUUAGGGGGGAUGUCGGACGUCAGACAUGUCAUGAGGGGUGAGCGUCGUUGUUGUCUACCCCCUCCCCGAUAACUUUGACAUGAGGGGGGACGUCGGACAUGUCAUGAGGGGUGAGCGUCGUUGUCGUCUACCCCCUCCCUGAUAACUUCGACAUGAGGGGGGACGUCGGAAGGAGAAGAAGAAGGAGAAGAAGAGGAGAGGAAGAAGAGGAUAAAAAAAUAAGAAGAGGAAGAAGAAGAAAAAAAAGAGGAGAAGAAGAAGGAAUAGAGGAGAAGAAGAAAAAAAAGAGGAGAAGAAGAAGGAAUAGAGGAGAAGAAGAAAAAUAGAAUUCUAUUUUUCUUCUUCUCCUCUAUUCCUUCUUCUUCUCCUCUUUUUUUCUUCUUCUUAUUCCUCUUCUUAUUUUUUAUGGGGAACGAGGGUGUCGAGGAUCGCCGAGCGGUCGAGGGUCGGGAACUAGGGUAGAGGGUCGAGGGUCGCCGAGGGGUCGAGGGUCGAGGUUUGUGGAUUUUUUUUCAUAGAAAUUAGUGUGAUAUUUUUGUUCAUGAUGAUCUUGCUCGAUGAAUUUUUUAUGUUAUAACUCAUAUUAAGUUUGUUCGAUGGUGAUUUUUUUGUUCGUAGAAUUUACUAAGUUAAAAUGUUCUCGUGUUGGGGGGCAGGAGUCCUCGAAACAUAUCAAGUGCACUUUAUAAAUUAUUAUUUUUUAUCGGGAACGAGGGUGUCGAGGAUCGCCGAGCGGUCGCGGGUCGGGCACUAGGGUAGAGGUUCAAGGGUCGCCGAGGGGUCGAGGAUCACCGAGGGGUCGAGAGGGGGACGUUGAUCAACCCCCUCUCGCUCGACCAACUCUCGAGGACACCCAAACCCUAGAAAAAAAACGUUGUCGAUCUCCUACCCCCUCCCGCCCCUACCUGACAAACUCUCUCGAGAUUUAUAAGAGAUUUAUCAAGAAUGCCCCCAUUAUGGAUGUGCAUAAUUAAGUUGAUCCAUAUUUUUCCUGAUCUCAUCUACGCUUCUAUAUGUGCACGUUCUCUUGUGUCAAAGUAUUGAAGAAAUCCAUGGUUUCAUAAUUAGCCGGAAGUAACAGGCGCAUGAUGGUAUGAAGCUCUCCAAAAUUAUUUUGGAAAGGAGUCCUGAUAGGAUAAUUCACGUUUUGGUACGAAGUUCAGCAAAGGCCUUCCAAAUAGCGAUAUUCGAAAGGCUAUUGCUGAACUUCGCACCAAAAAGCAAAUUACCUAUCAGGACUCCGUUCCAGAUUAACUUUGGAGAGCUUCAUACCAUUCAUGCGCCUGUUACUUCUGGCUAUUGAUGAAGCCAUGGUUUUCUUGAAUCCUUUGACACUAGAAAACAUGGCAUAUAGAAGGGUAGAUGAGAUCAGGAAAAAUAGGGACCAUUUUCUACACAUCCAGAAUGGCGCCAUUUUGUUAAAUCCCUUGUUUGACAUUCAUGAGAGAGGCGGUCCGGACGUCAGACAUUCAGGAGAGAGGCGGUCCGGUCUAGAAGCGUUGCCGAGGCCACCCCAAACCCUAGAAGCGUCAAGGCCACCCAAAUUUACUAAGUUAAAAGAGCAUUGUCGAGGCCGCCCCAAACCCUAGAAGCGUUGUCGAGGCCACCCCAAACCGUAGAAGCGUCGAGACCACUAAUUAAUAUUCCUUGUUGUGAUUAGCUAGCUAGGUGUCUAUCUUUGCCACUAAUAUAUCCAUCUCUCAUGUUUGUAUAUUAAUUGCCAUGUUGUAAUAUUUGCAGAAACUAUGGAGCAAAGAGAAUUGGAAACAGAGCAGUUGUUGGGGGACAUAAUCCUCGGCGGAGGUGAUGUCUUGUCGUAUCUCAACGACACCGAUGGUAUGGAACGAGAGGGUGAAGGCUCCGGUGAUCGAACAAUGGAGGAGGAAGGACAUGAUCAUGAUGGCUCCGGUGACCGAAUGCCGGUGGAAGAAGGAAGACCGUGAUGACGGCUCUGGUGACCGAACGGAGGAGGGAGCUGUUGCAAAGUCCGGUGAGGUAUAUAUAUUAGUUAAGCCUGUGCUGACUAGCUAAUUGAUGCAUUAAUUGUUUUGGUAUGUACAUAUAUUAACUCUUCUUCCUUCUUUUAUAGCCCUCCGGAUCGAGCCCAACUUCGGUAACAAGACGAGGCCCGAAGAAAAGGUUGCGCUAGGAUGAAAGGUUCACGAUCACAGCAAUCGCGAACGAUGGCCAACGGAUUGAACCCAGCGGACCAAGGAUGCAUUUUCUGCUCAGUGCGGGGCUAUUGUUAGGGACAUGAUCCCAAUCAGCAUCCAGCUAUGGAAUAAUCCUAAGAACGAAGACCCUCAAGUUUCUUAUGUCACUGAUAGACAGAAAGAUGAUCUUUGGACCUCGCUGAAGGCAAAUUUCACCCUACCGCUAGAGGAGGAUCCGGAUAAGCCAGUUAUAGAGCCAUUGGUCAAGGCGUGUGCUCUUAAGAAGAUGGCCGAUCUAUUCAGGAGGUGGAAGAAUGAGUUAAAAUCAACGUAUGUCGACAAAGGGAAGACUCCAGAAUUCACCGGCUGAUUUGAGAAGAUAAGAGAUCACUGGCCCGCAUUUGUGGCCUACAAGACAUCGGACAGGAGUAAGAAGAUGUCAGAGACAAACAAGAACAAUGUUGCAAAGAAGAAGCUUCACCAUCGCACGGGGUCAGGUGGCUACCUCAAAGCCCGGCCGCUAUGGGACAAAGCUGAGAAUGACCUGCUUGCUAAAGGGGUCGAACCAGAGACAUUGAACUGGCCAGACCGUUCAACGACUUGGUUCUUCGGGGUUGGGGGAACCUUGGACCCUGAAACAGGGAAGUGCGUUUGGACGGACGAGCAACUUGCAAUACCAGUCAAGAAGCUUCAGAAGUGUAUCGCCGCAGUGCAGCAAGGGACGUUCAUUCCCGACAGAGAGAAUGACGAGCUAACUGAGGCCCUCGGGAAUCCUGAGCACCCUGGACGAACACGAAGCACGCCAGGUUCCGUUGCGUGGAAGGUUGGGUUUCCCGGCGCAGGCGGUUACAUAAGCCGGGAGAGGAAGAGUAAACUGGAGCUCAGUGAAAUGCAGAAGCUGAAUGCAAGAGUAUAAAAGCUAGAGGAACAAGUUGAGAGCCAGCGAGCUGCCGGAGCUACCCGAGAAGCUACCCCGCCAUCUCAGCGGAGAAGCAGCGUGGCUUCCACCAAGCUCGUUCAGCAGCCUGACUUCACGGCUCCUAGCUACCCCGUGGAUGCUAUCACGGAGGCUCAACAUUGCCAGCUUAUGACGCAAUGGCAGAACCUCAAAGUCAAGGAAGCUGUCGGCUCUGUUGCACCUCCUCAACCCGACGGAACUUUUCACUGCCGUCCGAUUCCACAUGGCUAUGCUGUUGUGAUGGUGGUGAAGUAACGGAGGGAUUUGAGGAGCUCGAGCUAGACCACCCUACAGGUGAAGGGGAGACUCAGCUGGGUCUUGUUCUGAAGACUCCAUGUCUAUGGCGGAAGGAGCACAUCAAGCUUCCGAACUGGAUGCCUCCACCUCCUCCUCCUCCUCUGGCGAGUCAGGGCACUCCUCCUCCUCCUCCUCCUCCUCCUCCUCCUCCGGCGAGUGAUCAGGGCACUCCGCCUCCUUCUCCGGCUGCUCCAGCGCGUGAGGCCGGCACUCCGCCUCCUCCUUCACCUCCUCCGGUGUGUCGGAGCAAUCCGCCUCCUCCUUCGCCUCCUUCGGCGCCUCGGAGCAGUCUGACUCCUCCUUCGCCUCCUCCGGCGCAUCAGAGCAGUCCGCCUCCUCCUCCGCCUCGUCAGUAAUGGCGAAAGACAGACGCCGCCCCUCUGGCUGCUCCGGCGCGUCGGAGCACUCCGCCUCGUAAGCAACGGCGGAAGAGAGACGCCGCCACUCCGGCGGCUAGCAGUACAGCCAGAUGCGGGAGGCAAUUUAGAUAUGGUCCAUCUCUCAAGCCUCUGGAAAAGUUACCAUACGAGAGGACCGAUGAGGAAAACGCGGAGAUCUCUCAAACCCAAGUGAGGGAAUUUUUUGCAAAGAAACCUCCACCUCCGAAGGAGACAAUAGAUCCGGUGAAAUUGAAGCACACUCUCGAUGCCCUGAAGUGACCACCGCUGCCUUCGCCGGAUGACAACUAUGUCUGUGCUCUUAAGAAGACAUAUGAAGAUGCGCGACAGUCGGGAACUACUUGCAGUGAUAAAAGGUUAGAAGAACGAAGAAGUGGGAAAAAUUCCCCAACUCGGCGAACCAAUCAUAGCGAUAUCAUCGCUAAUCUGCCGGGGAUGGUGCUCGGUACCAAUCCUGCUGAUUACCUGAGCGAUGAUGUACACUUUGAUACAUUGGAGGUGGAUGAAUUCAGAUAGCAGUACGGGCAGCCUCUCAUCAAACCUGAUCAUCCUCUUCUAACAACGAUGAUGCGAAGAUUCCAUGAAUGGUACCUGAAAACCUGCAGCGAGUCUGGGAAGGAUGUUUUGACGAUGAGAAUUAAAGAGGAGCACGACCUCGUUGGAACUGGUCUAUUUUCUAUUACAUGUGAGGAGUUAUUCUAGUUAUACAAUAAAAAGGCCCUCGACAAAACACUCAUGACUUGCUACUGUCUGUAAGUACUACUUCUGUAAUUAAGUCCCUCUCUCUAUAUAUAGUUCAACUCUUUCAUUGCAUGUAUAUAUAAUUAUCCUCACUAUUAUGCAGAUUGAAGAUCGUCGAAUGCAGGAAAGCACAAAUCUGGGACAUUGGGUUCAUUAACCCAGAUAUCAUACAUAAAUGGACGGUUAAACACAAUGUCACAAAAAACGAGGACAACUUGCUACAAUCGUUGCUUAAAUAUCAACACAAAGAUAAAAUACUAUUUCCUUACAACUUCAAGUGAGUGUUAAUGUCUUAUGCAUAUUCGGUUUCCCAUAUUAUUACUCGAGGUUAUAGUAAUGUAAUUAAUGAGUUAUGCAUGCGUGUGCAGCUUCCACUUUAUUCUGCUAGAGAUCCAGCUUGAGCGGGGAGUAGUAACCGUCUUAGACUCGAGAUGAAACGAUCCCCAGGACUAAGCAAACAUGACUGCAAUGCUCCAGAAGUAAGUUCAAUCGAUCAUUAUCGCACCAUAUCGGCAGCUUUGUUCAUUUGAUCCUGAUAUCGAAUGAUUAUUUUCUUUGUCUGGCAGGGUUUGGAAAGAGUUCACCGUAAUUGUUCCGGCACUGCCGAAGGAGCUGCGAUUUACACACCCGAAAGUAAGUACUACUACCUAGUUCCACACAUCUCCCGUUGAUUCUUGUUUCAUCAAUACCAUUUAUAAUUCUUGAUUAUCAGUUUGAUUGAACUCUAUUUCUCGUAAAGUGGUUGUGGCAGGAGCCAGGAAUGAUUUUUGUGGAUACUACGUUUGCGAGUACAUCUACAACGCGACGAUCUCUAAUAAGUGGGGCUACUCUAAAAACCAAUAUGAUGUGCGUAAGCAAAAAUAUUCACAAUUUUAUUUUAUUACCAUCAUUUGUGUUGGGUUUCAUUCAUAUAAAAUGUAUUGACCCCCUUCUUCAAAUUAGAUCUGACAGAUCCAGGAUGAACUCCUACCACAUGAUCGCAUAAAAGCAAUUCAAGAGGAAUUGGCGGGAUUCUUUCUGGACCACGUCAUCAAUAAAGCCGGAGAAUACCAUGUGGAAAUUUAGAUAGACAUGAGAUGUUAGGGAUUGUAAGAGAUCUUAUAUUGUAUAUAUGUACCUAGUAGCAUCGGAUAGAUAUAGGAAAACUUGUUGUUCGACCAACAUCUCUCGGAGAAAGAGAGGUCACUCCUCUCUGUAUAUGUUCAUGACAAUCUUGUAAUUAAUGGUUCCUUCAUUUGCUUACUAGCUAGCGCGUCGAGUCCUCUCUAUACGUAUAGUAGCUAGCGUUGACCAAGCACGGAGAUAAGAGAGGACACUUCUCUCUAUUAGCUAGCUAACACCAUAAAUUAACCCCCCCCCCAAAACCCCCUAAACCCACCCCCUUUCAAAAAAAACAAAAACCUCAGCUCCUGCCAGCUGCUGACGCGUGGAUGCCUUUUGGUCCCGGUUGGUGUUACUAACCGGGACUAAAGGUCCUCCUGCCUGGGCGCCCCGCAGCAGCCACGUGGAGCCCCUUCUGUCCCGGUUUGUAAGCGAACCGGGACUAAAGGGUUUGCGCUUUAGUCCCGACCUUUUUGUCCCGGUUCCAGAACCGGGACUAAAGGCCCUCUGGAACCGGGACAAAUGGGCUGUUUUCUACUAGUGUUCCCCGCUCACAAAUGAUUUCUUUGAUCUCACGUGAGGACAGUGCAUGCAUGUAACUUCUUAGAUUGUGGAAAGUGGAGGGGUCAACGCAAGAUGACUUCGAUUUGGUGGUACUUCUCGAGUAUCCGGUCUCAAGCUGUGGGUGAAAACCCUUGGUCUGACCCUAGUUGGUCAUACCUGGCAAUGGCAGUGUUUUGAUGUCAUUACCUUCUUGUAGGCAUGGUUUGGAGUUUGCUCAGACUUGAUCUUUAGGGUUAAAACCCAUGAUCUGCCCUUCGGGUUGGAUCCCGCGACGGCGAAGCUUGAUCCCAGGAGCCCUCAGGCAUACGGGCGAUCGAACACAGAGGAUCACUCACUCACACACACAUAGAAAGCAACACCCAAGGAGAGGGAGCAGCCUAAGCCUCGGCCUGCCUUCCUUCCUCCUCCAUACAGCUCUAGGAGCAACUCUGUACUGAUACACAUCAACUACACUCGGCAGGACUUGGGGUGUUAUCUCUCCGGAGAGCCUCGAACCUGGGUAUGUCUUGCGUCCCGCGCUCGCUCAUGCCGACCUCGCCUCUAGAGCCCACCAGUGCCCUCGAGCCUCCUCCUAUCUUUAGCCAUCCCUUGGUAUCUGUCGUGCGCCCACCACGACACAAAUAUUAUGUGUACAUGCAGCUCCGGAGCAAUAGAGAAAUUGUUAGGUGGACAAGAACAGAACACAAUUACCCUCAAUCGUCAAGUCCUGCAAGAUAAUUGUUGAUGUGGAGAGCAGGGACAAAGUCAGGACUUUACAUUGAGGGGGGCAAGUAAGACUGGCUUGGUAUUAUGAGUUUAAUCAGGGUUCUAGAAGUGCUAAAAUAUCAUGAACAUGGUGUUCUAAUGAGUGGUGACAACAACACAAAAAAAUGAGUAGUAAUAUUAAGGAAAUUUGAACCUUGGGCAUGGGUUAGCCCCUACUCGCCCCCCCCCCCUGCCCCCCCCGUCCCUGGUGGAGAGAACAAGAGAGACAAUGAGAGAUGGAACUUACGAGUAAUAUAAUAAGAGUCGAGACACCCAACCUACUCUAUGAGUUAGUUUGUUCGUUUGACUCAAGAUGAUAGUGGACAAACAAUCAACAAUCGAUUCUAACGUUAUGAUGUUCAAGCUAGUCUUUAAUUUUUAGGGUGUGUUUGGUUGGAGGAAUACCACGGAUGGUUUGGGGUUAUCCUUGUUUUUUUUGGCUCAUCGGGUUGUUUGGUGAACACUUGUCACGCAUAGACUCAACAGUUUUAUUCAAAAAAGGAAAAGAGAUAGACUCAUUUUCUGAAAAUGCACGUCACUUCAUUAAGAGAGAAAGGUAAUUUGAUUACAAGAGGGUUGGAAUAGAGUUCUGAAGCCCCUAACGACACAACACCGCAUCCACAUAUACGAAAUGAACAUGUUGACUAUUCCCUAUCGCUCGGAGUUCUACGGAAGAAGAAGAAGAUAGAAGGUCGGUCUAUGUAAAAGUUACCCCUGCCUCGUCCAGACAGCCAACAUGGGACGCGAUCAUGUUCCAAGUUUUAUGGUCCUCCCCGUCAGACCUUCCUCUCCUCGCCGCUACCAAAUGCUGCCGUCGGGCAAAGCCUGAGCAGCCCAUGCAUGGUGGCGGCGGUCCUGUAGGUGGUUCCAUGACGGUCAUCGAUCCUCAGCAGUGACUCGAAGAGAAUAGUAGUAGCGACAAGAAAAGCACCGACAUGGCAACGAUCCGGGAGCAGCAUCAACGCUCAGCAUCGGUCCUACAAAUCACGCGUAGUGACAAGAAAUGCAGCAGCAUGGCAACAAUCGGGGAUCACCGGUAGCGACGCAUUGCACUUAGUUGUGGUUGUAUGUAUCGCGCGUCAGCAACAUCAAGGCACCUUUUGUUUUGUGCUCAUAGAGUAGUUGUGGCUAAGCGGCUCCUGGGGCAGUACACAGUCAUGGCUUGCUAGUGGCCACUGGUUGCGGGCGGCAUGAAGUCCGGAAGGCCAUGCUCGCGCCACUGCGGUGGCUGGCGGUAGACGGUCCCCACAUCCAGCCCGUGGGUUGCUCCUCUUGUGUGAUGUCAUAGUGGUGCGGUUUGGUCUCAGUGACAACGUGCAUAGCCAUGGUGGGUGGCAGGUGUGGCCUCUCAACUGUCGUCAUUGCCCUCCUCCACCCAGUCGUUCGGCGCGACUCCAAGUUGCUCGACAUUGGAUCUUAGCGGUACGACAACACAUCUAGCGACAAGAUAGAGCGGCAGGUCCGGACAACUGCGAGUUAAUUGCAAGAAACCACCACAUUUGCGGCAUCGUUUGCAGAAAACCACGAGGUCACUAAUUUUUUGCAAAUGCCACCGCGUAUUCGGUAAACCUUUUGCAGAAAGCGCCGAUCGCGUGCUUUGCCGCGUUUGAUCGCGUUUCUGACAGGUGGGCCCCGCUAGUCAGGUUCUAACUUGGGAAAAAAAUUGCCACGUGUGAGUGUUAACCAAGUCUUCUACCUUCUCCUCUCUUCCACUCUCACACACAUUACAACAACCAUGUUGUGUGCGUGAACUGGGAGGGGCAGGACCCGACGCCGUCGGCUGGGACGGGGAGAGCGCAAUCGUCGGCCGGCGAGCAGUCGCCGCUCAUGUGCGUGGUGCAGGAGGACCCUCCUCCCGCGAGCACGCACCCCGGCGAAGAGAAGGACGACCUAACAACUGCGGUGAGGCGGCCACCCUUCUCCCGCGUGAGCACGCGCACCGGCGAGGCGGCCACCCUUCUUCCGCGCGAGAACGUGCCCCGGCGAGGCGUUCUCCCUCCUCACGCGCGAGCAUGCGCCCCUGGCUUCCGGCAAGGCGACGUCCCUCGUCCCGCGAGCAUGCGCCCUGAUCCCGGUGAGCACGUGCCCCUGACCUCGCGCGCGAGCGCGCCCUUCAACGCCCGCCAUGGCUGCCCCUUGGCUAGCUGCAACGGCCGCCGUCGGCCAUCAGUGUCAAUUUGUUGUAUGUCAAUUUGUUGCCAAAUCAGCAUCUUACAACCCGAGCCUACUUGUCAGAAAGUGAUCAAACGGUCCAAAUACUCCGAUCAGUGAUUUUGCAAAAGGAUUACUAGAAGCGCGGUGAUUUUUCCUUUUGCAAAAAAUAGUGACCUCGUCGUUUUCUGCAAACGAUGCCCCAAAUGUGGUGGUUUUAUGCAAUUAACUCGGACAACUGCCAUCUACAUCCCCAUGAAGCACUCUUCCGCUCGAAAAUGCAUGUGUUAUGUGGUCUUGGGUUGCUGGCAAGGGUGGCGACACGUGGUAGUGUUUUCUCUACCAUCGGCUACCACUAGCGAGAUCGAUCCAGCGCUGCCAGGUCAUCCUAAACUAGGAUUAUGGCAAUGCCAGUGACAUUCCCCGCUCACAAAUGAUUUCUUUGAUCACACGUGAGGACCGUGCAUGCAUGUAACUGCUAAGAUUGUGGAAAGUGGAGGGGUCAACGCAAGAUGACUUCGAUUUGGUGGUACUUCUCGAGUACAUGGUCUCAAGCUCUGGGGUAAAAGCCCUAGGUCUGACCCUAGUUGGUCACACCUGGCAAUGACAGUGUUUUGACGUCAUUACCUUCUUGUAUGCAUGGUUUGGAGUUUGCUCAGACUUGAUCUUCAGGGUUAAAACCCAUGAUCUGCCCUUCGGGUUGGAUCCUGCGACAGCGGAGCUUGAGCAGCAUUGCUACCGAAGAACCUUUCUCGUCGUCCUUGAUGUCAAGAGACCAUAGAUGAUGUGGAUGGUCAUUUCACUAGUUCACCGAUCGUUUUUUGAUCGCUUGAGAGUUUUCUUUCCUUUUAUUCAUCUGCCUAGGCAUGGCUUCGGUCUUCGAUAUGUGUUGUGUGUGUGUGUGUGUGCGUGUGUGUGAAUUGAUGUUGAUUCUGUGCAUUCUAGUCAUGCAAAAGUUGGAUGUGUACUCAUUCCCCUUAAUACUUUAUUUUAAAUCUAUAAAGCCCACCCUUUAUCGACAAAAAAUCAUCUACACAGUUCUGCCGGCCGACUCAAUCACUUCAUGUAGAGUCAUCACAAUCCAAUGUGUUUCUUAUCCCUCCAACAAAAAAGAAAUUGUACUCAUCCAGAGAAACACUUGUCCCUUGCACCAAGCUCAUCCCACUUAGUCAAAGAAGGAAUUUGUAUGUUCCAUCCAUAAAAAAUAGUAGAUCACUGGAUGGCCACCCCGACCUACCAAUCCCUUGCUCUCUGACCAAAACGGACCCUAGAAAUGCUCCUCAGAAACAACAAGCACGUACGUACAACCAAAACAAACGACACACAAGGAUCGACAGUCAACAGACAAAUUGUUGCAGCGAGCUAACCCAGAUGUUGUCGUUGAAUUUUCAUAAUGGCAAGUUUGUGGUCAGAGAAGUGCAGCUGCUGCCGCAGCAUUUUGGUAGUACGUUGAUGAGAGCAGAGUUUCUGCUGGAUGGGCGUUGGAACUCUGUUGCGAAAGCUGGUCUUCGACAGUGGGCCCGUUCUGCUACAUAUGCACGACUAGUAGUCUGAUGAUGUACUCCAUGGCUUUUCUUGAGGGGGCAUGCGCAUGUGCAGCAUUUUGGUGUGCCAAACCUCCGGCGAUUGCGGUGCGGUCGGAUCCACAAGUCGUUAUUUGCUUCCGGCAAUCAGCACUGAAUUUCUUUUGACUAGAGUGUGGAGUACUUUGAAAGUUCUAACCCGUAAAGCACCAGAACAGAACAGCAAGCAUCUACUAAGAAAUAGAGUUAAUAAACGGUACAACUGUGAACAAGGCACACUCAAAUCAAAAGGUUAAGGCUCAAGCUAAUUAACUAAGUGGACGUAUGAUUGGUGCCCAAAGGGUAUUACACUCCCCUUUGACUAAACGUAAUACUGUUAGGCGCAGGAGUAGUACUAGGAAUAAGACUUCUCCUAAUUCUUCAGUAAAAAGUGAAGAAGGUAAGAGUAAUAUGCGGUACUAUACGGUCAGGGGAUAGAUCUUUUUCACAUACGGACCUACUCUACGUACAGGGCCAUGCUAUAGAAUUUGCUGAUGCACGUAUGUAUAUGCUACCUUGAGGAGAGGAAUUCAGGUUGAAUUGUCCAUGCUUGAUAUAGAUAUAUAAAUGUUUUGACCAUGACCACCAUGCAUGCCUCCAGUUUCUAAGGAUGAGCAUGGGCCAAAUAGUACCGCCGGAGACCCGGUCAGACGUCUGUAUGUCCCCGAAACUUGAAAAAACCAUUAUGAGAAAAAUCAGCAGGCAAGAUAGUCGGAUCAUCAUCUCGUUCAUGAUCAUGUACCGGCAGGCAGUAGGUAGGCUAACCUUGACAUUUGUUGGAUACGGAAACAGUGAUGCAAAAAAUAAUUAAGAAAAUCAUAAGCGUGUUAAUGUACUCUUCCUGUGCCAAAGUGUCGCCUUAAAGUCCAUGCGAGUGUUACAUUAGCACGCUGAUGAUUUUCUUGAUUAAAUUUGACCCAGAGAACUAUGUAGAGUAGUAAGCUAGCAAACACCGUCCGUAGCACAGGAAAGAAACAUGAGGAGACGGAGACAUGCUUGCACAUGUAUGCAAGCAUGAUUGCCAUGACUCUUACUUAACCGUGUCGAUGGCACAGUGUCGGCAUGCAGCUUUUUCUACCAAAACUGUACAUUUUUCACGAGCUACGUUACAUAUGCAUCUGGUGUGAAACGCGUAAUUCCAAAGCGCCGCGCCCGUUUGGAUCAACGCUCAAAGUCCACCGGAGUUGGUGAAGACGAUGGGGGCAUGAUGAUGCAAUCUAAUAGUAUAUGAUGGCAGACUAGUAGCUAGAAUAAUCAUGGCCACCGGCGUGAGCUUAGCCUUUUCUUCCUAUAAAUACCGGCCGCCCCGCGUUCCUCCACCACAUCCAGCAAACAAGCUCUCUCAAGGCACUAUCUAGCUGACUAGAAUAGACCGAUCAUGGCAGCGCGCGCCAUUGCUGUCCUCUCGCUCAUCCUCGCGCUGGUCGCCAUCGCCAGCGGAGGAGCCUCGGCGCAGCUGUCGUCGGGCUUCUACUCCCGCUCCUGCCCGGGCAUGCUCAAAGCCGUGCGCUCGGCGCUGCACCCGGCCAUCGCCAGGGAGCGCCGCGUGGGCGCCUCCAUCGUCCGCCUCUUCUUCCACGACUGCUUCGUCCAGGGCUGCGACGCCUCGCUGCUGCUGGACGACGCGCCGGGCCUGCGCGGCGAGAAGAACGCCACGCCCAACAAGAACUCCGCCAGGGGGUUCGAGGUAAUCGACGCCGUCAAGGCGGCCGUCGAGGGGUGUUGUCCCGGCGUCGUCUCGUGCGCCGACAUCCUCGCCAUCGCCGCCGAGGAGAGCGUUGUCUUCGUAAGUAUCCAUACAUUCAUAGUCAUGCUUAGGUAGUUAGUACUGUACGUACCCUUCAACAAAGUCUAACACGUACUACUGUGACAUCUGACAUGCGUUGUGUACGUGUAGCUGGGUGGCCCGAGCUGGGAGGUGAAGAUGGGGCGGAGAGACUCGACCACGGCGAGCUUCAACGGCGCCGAGAACAACAUCCCGCCGCCGACGUCGGGGCUCGCCAACCUUACGUCCCUCUUCGCCGCGCAGGGGCUCUCCCAGAAAGACAUGGUCGCACUCUCAGGUACGUACAUAUACAUGCAAAAUAAACCGUACGUACAUCGAUACAUAAUCCCAAAUCAACCACUGACAUCUUCCAUCAACCUUCUUCUACGUACUUUAUUUUCAUAUAAAUAAUUAGGCACUCUCAGGUAGUAUAAUUUUGUACUUCCUCUGUCCCAUAUUAAUUGUCACUGAAACGGAUGUAUCUUAACGUAUUUUGCUAGAUACAUCUGUUUGAGCGAUAAUUAAUGCGAGAGGGAGGGAGUAGUUUGCACGCCGAAGCAACAUAAUUUGUCAUAGCCAAGUAAUAUUUUCCUUUGCUGAAGAAGCAAGUUAAAAUUCUGUACUACUUUCUCAGACUGUUAAUUCCUCAAUGGACUGUUAAUUCCUCAAUGGAGUCGGUAGCUUUUUAGCCGCAAAACAGCUGGUAUCAACCAACGGGACUCAUAGCCACAUUUUGACUCCUAAGCUGCUCAAAAAUUCUACAUAAGACAAUUUCUCGGGAUUAAACAAAUAUAUUACUACUUUACAGGUGAUGAGUUACAAAGUUGAUCGAUGACUAAUUACCACUGACCUAACCUUUGGUAUGUCCGCUUAAUUUGUAAGACUGGACAACGUCAAAAAAAUUGUUCCUUGGUCACUUAAACAUGUAGUACUAAUUAGGAAAGUUGGUCAAUGGUUCCUACCGAUGGAAUGACAAAAAGAGUAGCUGGAAAAUAGGUAUAACUUGAGCUGACGGUAUAACUUGUGUUCCAGGAGCCCACACAAUCGGCCUAGCACGCUGCACAAACUUCCGGGACCACAUCUACAACGACACAAACAUCGACGCCGGCUUCGCCAGGAGCCGCCAGUCAGGCUGCCCUCGUGCUACCGGCUCAGGCGACAACAACCUGGCACCGCUAGACCUGCAAACCCCCACGGUCUUCGAGAACGAAUACUACAAAAACCUCGUCCAGAAGAGGGGCCUCCUGCACUCAGACCAGGAGCUCUUCAAUGGUGGCGCUGCCGACACGCUGGUCCGGGAGUAUGUCGGUAGCCAGAGUGCCUUCUUCAAGGACUUUGUGGAGGGAAU